rnacentral:lncRNA from 1 species
CGGUAACAAACAAAGCAACCUUUCAUGGAGAGAAACUUUAGUCUCAGUAUGAUCACUGUGUCAUUAACCCACUUCCUGCUUCUUUGCUUGGUUGUUGCAGCAGCAGCAGCAGCAGCAAGCAACAAUAUUACCACAGACCAACAAGCUCUUCUUGCCCUGAAAGAUCAUAUAACUUAUGAUCCAACCAAACUUUUUGCCCAUAAUUGGACCUCGAAUACCUCUGUUUGCACCUGGAUUGGCCUCAGUUGUGAUGUCAAUAGCCAUAGAGUCACAGCCUUAGAUAUUUCUCAAUUCAAUAUACAAGGCACCAUCCCUCCUCAACUUGGAAACCUCUCUUCACUCACAACACUUAAUCUUAGUCGUAAUAAGCUUUCUGGAAGCAUUCCCCCCUCCAUCUACACCAUGCAUACGCUAAAAUUUCUAGACUUCACUGAUAACCUGCUCUCUGGUUCAGUGUCUUCCUCCGUCUUCAACAUGUCUUCAAUAUUAGACAUUCGUUUGACCAAUAACAGACUUUCUGGUGAGCUUCCGAAAAAUAUUUGCAACUAUCUUCCUUACUUGAAAGCCCUUUUUCUGGACAAAAACAAGUUGCAUGGCAAAAUUCCUUCAGCUUUAUCAAAUUGCAAACAACUGCAACAAUUGCAUUUGCAGUUCAAUAAUUUAUCCGGUGCAAUACCGAAAGAAAUCGGCAACUUGACUAUGCUCAAAUGGAUAGAUCUCGGCUACAACAAACUCCACGGUAUGUUUCAUAAUGCUAUCUAAAUAUUUUAAUUUAUCACUUGUUUAUUUUAAUUUCUCACUUGUUAUUUUUCUUGAAUACUUUAGAUAAGAUCUAGUAAGUGAGAUUUUUUGCAUCUAUGUUAAUUUACCAGGUGAGAUACCCCCCGAAAUCGCUAAUCUUCGAAAUCUAGAGGCUUUGGUGCUUGGAAUGAACAACCUAGUGGGUGUGUUACCAGCUACAAUCUUCAACAUGUCAACACUGAAGGUAGUUAUCCUCAUUAAUAACUCUCUCUUCGGAAGUCUCCCAUCAAGAAUAGACCUUUCACUUCCAACUAUUGAGCACCUUAACUUGGCACUUAAUAGAUUUUCUGGAACCAUUCCUAGUUCCAUCACCAAUGCUUCUAAGCUCACCUUUCUAGAGUUGGGAGGAAACACAUUUUCGGGCUUUAUUCCGAACACAAUUGGUAAUUUAAGAAACCUUGAGUGGCUCAGCUUGGGUAAUAACUACUUGACAUCUUCAACCUCAAAAUUGAGCUUUCUUUCCUCUUUGGCAAAUUGCAAGAAAUUAAGAGACAUAGGCUUAACAGGCAAUCCACUCGACGGUAUCCUUCCAAGUUCAAUAGGUAAUCUUUCCAUGUCUUUGAAAACACUUUACAUCGGCAAUUGCAGUAUUAGUGGCAACAUUCCUCAAUCAAUUGGCAAUUUAAGCAACUUAUUGGCCUUAGUAUUAGAAGGCAAUAAAUUGACCGGACCAAUCCCAACUACAUUCGGCCAACUGCAGAAACUCCAAGGCUUAUUUCUUACAUUCAAUAAGUUGGUAGGUUCAUUCCCAGAUGAGCUUUUCCAUCUAGCUAGGCUGGAUAAAUUGGUAUUAUUGGGAAAUAAGCUUUCAGGAUCUAUGCCUUCAUGCUUAAGUAACCUCACUUCUCUGAGAUCUCUCUACUUAGGGUCCAAUAGGUUUACUUCUGUUAUUCCCUCAACUUUCUGGAGCCUAAAAGACAUCUUGUUCUUUGACUUUUCAUCAAAUUUCUUGGUUGGUACUCUUUCUUUCGACAUAGGUAAUUUGAAGGUGCUUCUAGGAAUAAGUUUAUCAGAAAAUAACUUAUCGGGUGAUAUGCCAGCCACAAUUGGAGGGAUAAAAAAACCUUCAAAUUAUGGACCUAGCAUAUAAUAGAUUGGAAGGGCAAAUUCCUGAAUCAUUUGGUGACUUGACAAGUUUGGAGGUUUUGAAUUUGUCAAAUAAUAAAAUCUCUGGGUCUAUUCCAAAAUCCAUGGAGAAACUCUUUUACCUCCGAGAGUUAAAUCUCUCUUUCAAUGAACUAGAAGGUGAGAUUCCUAGUGGAGGAAUUUUUGCCAACUUCACAGCUGAGUCAUUUAUGGGAAAUGAGUUAUUGUGUGGUUUACCAAAUCUUCAAGUCCAACCAUGCAAAGUUAGCAAGCCGAGGACAGAACAUAAAUCAAGGAAAAAGAUACUUCUCAUUGUGAUUGUUUUGCCAUUGAGUAUUGCUCUAACAAUAGCAAUCACUCUACCUCUCAAAUCUAAGCUGAUCGAAUGUGGAAAAAGAAGCACAGUGUUGUCAAAUGAUAGUGUCUUGUCAUCACAAGCAACACUAAGAAGAUUUUCAUACUUAGAACUUUUACAAGCAACAGAUAAUUUUGCUGAAAACAACGUAAUUGGCAUAGGAGGUUUUGGUUCUGUUUACGGUGGAAGACUUGAAGAUGGGAUGAAGAUUGCAAUAAAAGUGUUUCACCAGCAAUGUGCAAGCGCAUUGAAGAGUUUUGAGGCUGAAUGUGAAGUGUUAAAAAAUAUUCGCCAUCGAAACCUUAUUAAAGUUAUCAGCAGUUAUUCAAACAAUGACUUCAAAGCAUUAGUUCUAGAAUACAUGUCCAACGGGAGCUUAGGGGACUGGCUGCAUUCUAGCAAUUAUGUGCUGAAUAUAUUUCAGAGGUUGAACAUAAUGAUUGAUGUUGCAUCAGCUUUAGAACAUCUCCACUUCGAUCAUUCGACUCCUAUUAUUCAUUGUGACUUAAAGCCUAGUAAUGUAUUGUUGGACGGAAAUAUGGUUGCUCAUUUGAGUGAUUUUGGCAUAGCAAAGCUUUUAAGUGGAGAGGAUGAGUCUAUGAUGCGAACAAAAACCCUUGCCACUAUAGGUUAUAUGGCACCAGGUUUGCUUCAAACAACUUUUUUUUUUUAGUUCAUUUUAAAUUUUGCAACUUAUUGAUUUUUACGAUCCUCACAUCAAAAUGUUAUUGAUUAUUUAUCUAAUUUUGAAAUUAAUUUGAUUCAUAGAGUACGGCAUAGAAGGAGAAGUAUCUACAAAAAGUGAUGUUUACAGCUAUGGGAUUAUGUUGAUGGAAACUUUUACCAAGAAAAAACCCACAGAUGAAAUUUUUGUUGGAGAAUUGAGCUUGAAGCGUUGGGUUAAUGACUUGCUUCCUACUUCAUUAGUGGAAGUUGUGGACAAAACUCUGCUAAGUGGAGAGGAAAAACAUUCUGCAGCAAAGGAGCAAUGUCUGUUGUCUAUCUUUAGUUUGGCUCUGGAGUGUACAAUGGAAUCACCGGAAAAGAGGAUUAAUGCAAAAGAUAUUGUUACAAGAUUACUCAAGAUAAGAGACACAUUGAGUAAAAGGAUAGGAAAUUUAAGUUAAUUUCGUUUGCUUUCAUUGAUAGUUAAUUCGAAUUCAUGUAAUAAGUCUAAGAAUCUUAUAUCUUCAAAUUCGCAUUUUAAAAUGCACAAAUGUUUGUGUAUACAUAAUUAGUAAUCGAUUCUCAAGCUUUGGACAUUUAAAAGCACUGCUAAAAGACAAAAUUUUAAUUCACUAUUUUUUUGUCUUUUAAUUUUCUUUAAGUUUUAAUGAUUCCGCAUUUUAAAAUCCUGUGGAACGUGCAUGUAAAAUUCUUUUAUCUUUUAGAGGAAAAUGGGCAAGAGAAGAAGAUUUGGCAAAGGAAUUGCAACCGCAUUUGGAGCUAGUUUUAAUUUUGUCUUUUAAUUCUUUUACACUUGGCUUUUGUUAUUGAUGUUAACUUCGAUGUGUGUGCGUGUGCGACUGAAUUCAACUUACAUGCUAUUGAUGCAGCCACCAAAAAGGGGUGGUCCAUCAUCAAUCAACAAGGUUUAUUAUUAUUAAUUUCCAUAUUGAUUUUCUUAAUUAUAAAUAAUACUAAUGCUAUUUCAUAGUUAUAAAUAUAUUAGAAUUAAUCGAAAUCAUUUUUUAGUGUGGCAUGGCUAAAACUACCUUUUUUUUAUUAUAAGUAAUUACUACUUUCACAUUAAGAAAAAUACUCCUAUUUUUAAGGAAAAGUCAAGUACCUGUAGUUGUGAAGACUCGAGCUCACUCCCUUAUGAUAAAUCUUCAUAUUAAUUACGUAAAUAUCCUCUAAAAUUUUAAAUUAGCUAUUCAAAAUUUGAUGUUAUACGGGUAUUUCAUUUAUUUGAGUAGGGGUUAGGGGUCAAUUGGAUACAAAUUCAAAAUUAUCCUUACUUGAGAAGGUGAUAAAAAUUGGGGAUUUAGUUUGGAUGUCAUUAGCUACAAAUAUUAAACUCAUACAUUUAAUUCAAAAUUAGAGGGCUGAUAUAUGCGCAUCAUCGUCCACGUUAUAGUGACACUGCGUCACCAUUCCACAACCUCUCCAAUGAAAAAUUGACAUGCUUCUUGUGCGCAUCUAAUCAGAAUCUUGAAAAUUAAUCACAAAAUUGUACUUUUAUUAUAAAAAGAAUAAAGAAACUCCAAGAAAAAAAAAAGACUUACAUAAAUAGAUUGAAAAAUCUAGAUUUCAAGUUGUCUAUAUUAGCUUGAUAUUUUUAUUAAUAGUCAUCCUCCCAAAAAAAUUCCAUCAAAAUAUAUUUUAAUUUUAUGUUAAUUCAUAAACUUGAAAAAAUCAUUUUAGAAUUAAUUAAAACAUAAUUUAUUGUUGCUCAAAAAAGGUAGAACUUAGUUAUCAGAAAAAAGUGUCUAAAAUAUAUGUUAAAAAAAAAUCAUGGUUGGUUGGACUGAUUGAAUUUUUUUUUCUUUUUUAAGAAUUAAGACAAUUGGAUGGAUUGAGUAAUAAUAAUACAUAUUUAUUUGGCAAAUGGCAGGGAGGCUUUCGUCUGAUGCAGAUUGAUUAGAGAGAAAAUAUAACAAUUUUAAGCUCGUCAGAUUCGAAGCUGCUUACCUGUCGUGUGGGGAUCACUUCCGUGUCUUAUUUUUCUAGAAAAAUCUGGACCAUUGGAUUUACCAUUAGUCAAUAGAGAAAUGUUGAUCUUGAUUCUUGAUCAAGAUCGAAGUUUGAUUCUAACUAACACGAUAUCAGAUUGCGAAGCAAGCAAAUUGAAAGUCACUUGUUCUAUGGAAGAAACACAAGUUCUAAUAAAACAUUCUCAUAGUAAAGUGAAUUACCAUCCAACGAUCCAACUCAUGUUUUCAAAUUGUAAAUUGCAAAUCGUGUGUUUGCUCCAUUACAGAGUUUCUUCAAUCUGAAAUAGCGAAUCAUUUGUGUUCUAGAUUAAUCGUGGGUCUAUAUCCAAAUCUAAAAAUUGACUAACUUGAUUUCUAUUAAAUUCUUAAUCCUAACAAGAAAAAUUGAAGAUUAAAAACGACUAAUUUGGUACCAUACCACUAUUGUAACAUAGGUAGAUCCUCUAUUAAUUGGAGUAAAGAUUGAAUUAUCUCAUUUAUUAAGGUUUAUCAAAAUCUUGUGUCAAAAUCUAUUAAUGAUAUAGGUUCAAGGAUGAAAAAGUCACUGCAUUACUUUUGAGUUCCCAAAUAGAUGAAUGGAUGUUAUUUUUAGAUUCCGGAGAGUCGAAAAUAUUAAGAUAGGUGCUAAAUCGAAUUAAGUUGUAGAUACGAUAGAAAUGGAUUUGGAGAGAUUGGAAUCCUAGGUAAUCCGGUGCACGUUGUCGUGUUAAAUUCUCGUUGACUUCACGUUGACUGAAGCAUUAUUGGAAGAAACAAGUUUAUUGAUGUGAGGCCUUUGAGGUUGUAAGUGUUAAAUAUGAGAAGAAUACCCACACACCCAUUAUCCUAUUACUCUUAUAUCACAUGAAGAGAAUUCAACAUUUGAUUCACACGGAAAAAAUUUGUGAGGAUUGUGAGGGUUGAUGGAAUAUAAUUUAGAUACAAAGUGUUUUACCAGUGCGAUGCUUCGCAAGUGUUCUUGAAUCAAUAUAAACUCACGUUAUUUUCAUAGUGAUUGUUUCAUGUGCACGUGGAUAUAAUCACAUGUCGAGAUUUUUUUCCUUAAAUUAUGGUCUUAUUUAGUAUUAAGGUGUUAUAUCUUUUAAGGUACAAUUAUUGUUGGAAAAAAGUUGCAUCUAUCAAAUAAAAUUAGUACUAUGUGCUAAAUAUAAUUGUUAAAUAAUAAUUUUGACAAAAUUAGUGAAGUUAUAUAGAUUUUUUUUCAUCAUACAAGCAUAAAAUCAAAUCAACUUAACUUCUAAGUUAUAUAUCGGCUACUUAGGGAUGGCAAUGGAUUGGAUCUGACCCAAGAUCCACGUGAUCCAAAUCUAAUCGGAUCGGAUUUGGGUCAGUUUAAAAUGAAUUUGGAUCGGAUUUGGAUAUUGAUGUGCGGAUCUAAGACGGAUCUGGAGCAGGUCUGGAUCUAUCUUAGUAUCUAAAUCCAUAUCCAUAUCCACCCAUCUUUUAAUUUAAUUUUAUUUUAAAAGUUUCUUAACAAUUGUGGAAUUAUAAUGAUAAUGAAUUUUAUUCAUAGCAUAUUAGUGGUAUUUACCAUGCAUUUAAACUCUUUAAAAUUAAAGGUUAGUUUUGUAAAUUUAAAGACUAGCCAGGCCCAAAGCAUGUACAUGCAAUAUUCAAAUUGCAAGCCAAGUAAUACAACCUGGCAAUUUAUUUUAUUAUAUUGGCCAAAUAAUUUUUAAGGAAUAUAGGUAUUCAUAUAUUUUGUCAAAUAUGGUCAUAAUAAAAAUAAUAAAGGACUGAAUAUAAAUCAUAUUUUAUUUAUAUGUCAUUAUCUAAUAUUAUAAGAAUGAGGGUGGGUGUGUUGUAGAUAUUAGAAUGAUGAAUGAGACAAUAGAAUAUUAGAUUGAUCUUACUCCUGCAAUUACUUUUAAAGGAUAUUUUAUUAUCUUAUUUGUUGUUUUGGUGUAAAAGUAUAAGUUACAAUAUUUAUUAUAUUUUUGAGAAAAAUUAUAUAAUUUAUUUGUUAUCAAUACAUUUUAACCUUCAAUUUUCAUUCUAAAAAAUUAUUACUUUUUAAUUGAUGAGUUUUAGAAUUCAUGACAGAUCUAGAGCAGAUUUGGAUUUUAAUUUUUUUUUUCAGAUUUGGAGCAGAUAUAAAUAUUUAUUUCUUUUAUGGAUAUGGAUAUGGAGCGAAAAAUAUAGAUUCAUGAUGGAUCUGGAGCAGAUACGGAUCUUGAUUUUUAUUAUGGAUUUGGAUCUGGAGCAGAGUAGAUCCAACCCAUAUCUGCCCCAUUGCCAUCCCUACGGCUACUGUUAAUCAUAUGUUUUAGUUCUGUAACUUUUAAGUUAUAGUUACCCAAUCUCAAUUCUAAACCAGACCUAUAAAGAUCAAAGAUUUCCUCAUUAAAUUAUAUGUCUUGUGAUUGCUUAUUUAAUUUAUAUUUUUUUUUAUUUAUCUUUAUUAAUUAUAAUCAUCUUUUUAUAAAUUAAAAUUGAAGGAAGUUGAUUGAUGUUGUUGACACACGCACACACGCACACACUCACAAAGAUAUAUUGGAAGUGCUUACGUCGACUCGAAGUUGUUGGGAAUUAAUGCAUGUAUUGAUUUAUUGGGAGUGUUUAAAUGAUUUUUUGAUUUACUUGAUUUAUUGAUUGAAUAUUGUUUGAUUGCUUCAUAUCCAUUCUAGAAAGUUUAUUUCUUUGUGAAAUUUCAACGAAAUAUGUUUUUUUUUUUAAAUAAGGGUGUUCUAAAUAAUUUAAAAAUAUAUAUGGACUAAUUAGAAUUAAUUAUUAGGUAAUUAACUCAAUCUGUAUAGGGUGAAACAACAUUUAUCCUAAUUAUAUCAUGAUAAAUACUUUUCCUAUUAGAAUUAGGAAAUCAUAGGUUUAUUGAAUUGUUUUUUUUUUUCCUUUGCGGAAACGGAUUAGAGAAUUAGAAAACAAUCAUGUUGAUGUCAAAAUCUGAUCUAGUCGGUUAGCGACUUAAUAUCAUAUUACUGCACCAACAUUAAAUUUAUUGGGUGGAGAAUCGACUGGUCAAUUGUCAAGAUGUCCUGCAAUCACUAGCGAUUAACCUACGAAUACCUAAAAUCACAGAAGACGGUAAGAGGCACCGGAAGUUUUUUCGGCGUGAACCUUCCGACGCUCAAGUCAGUUUAUAGGUUUACCAUAAUAAAAAUAAAUAAUUUCUAUUUAAAAAAAAAUAGAGUUCAAAAGCUCAAAAAUAAAACCCAAUCCCAAUAUGAAAAUGAAUUUUUUUUUUUUUUUUUCUAGCUUGGCCGAAUCCUUCUGCCUCCUAAAGAAACAUAACAGAGAAGCAGGUAGCCAUGUUCCCUAGGUAACGCCCCACUCCCCUCUUUUAUUCCUCCCCCUCUCUUCCGUUUCCUUCUUUUGCUCACUAUCCUUCAUAAUUUUUUAUGCUUGUCUUCCCAAAAUAGCCUUUUAAUACACAAGUAAAUGUCUAGGCUUUGGUGAGGAUAGUUUGGUCAUUGCAUUUUACAAGUAAGAUGAGUGGUGGAGAAAAAUGAGGAGUGCACAUAUAACGCUUCAGCAAAUCCCACCAGCAAUUCCAUUUUCUUAAUUAAUUAAUCUCUUCAGCAAAUCCCACCAACUCUUCAGCAAAUCCUAAUGAUAUUAUUAUCAGGUUUAAAACAGUACACAAAUAGUGAAAAGCUAACUAGUCUGUAGAGUAAUUUGCUAAUUGCUAUCUCCUCUCUCCGCGCGCUGAAUAAUUUGUUGCAUGCAAACUUUUUAUUUUAUGCAAAUCGUACGUACUGUAACAUUGGAAUUGAUGUAAAAGCAAAAAUACAAGAAUAUUUAUGUCAAUAAAAAUAGUUUUUUUGGCCUUUUUAAAUAAACACAACGCGAUAUUGCUCUGCUCUACAUUUUUGCUAUCUCUUUAUUCUUCUUUUUUUUUUUGGGCUUCUUAAAGCCUCAAACUUUGAUAACCAAAACUUCAUCGACCUAUGAAAAAAUCUGCAGAUUAGUUUUUAUUAUCGGAAUAAUCAUUUGAGAAUACUAAAACAAAAUAUAAAUAAGAAAAUAGGAGGUUAAAUUAGAGGGGGGAAAAAAGGUAUGUUGGAUAGAUUACUAUAGUUUAAGAAAAAAAAAUCCAAUUGGGAAUUUUUUUCUUUAAUUUUUGUUUUACUUGAUUGAGAUUUCUCCUUGGUCCUUACAGUUUUAAGUUUGGAUGCCGUAGGGUUAGUAAUUUAGUACUUCCUUUGCAAGCUGAGUGCAAGAAUGAAAAUCUUUAAAGAAAUAAAAAAAAAAAAAAAAAGCAUACCAAUAGGUAAUUAUAAAUAACCAUACAUAAACAUAAACAAAAUGAGGUAAUUAUUAAUAUUAUUUUUUGUUUUAUUUCUUACUUGUCUAUUUUAUUUGCUGCUUGAUAACCCGUAAAUACUAAUCUAGUACUGCUAAUUUCAGACACAAAAUUUUUAACUCUAGGCUGCAGUUUUACUCAAAAUGAUGACCACUGGCUUCGCACCAUUUAACCGGCAUACAUUUCUACAAAUUGAACAAGGCUAUUGAUUUUCAUUAUUAUUUUUUAUUUUUUUAUAAAUUACUAUUUUAAUUUUCACUUUUCAUUGGGUUGUUUAACGGAUUAGUGAAGUUGGUGGUCGUGAUGCACUCACAAGGUACAAUUUUAUUUUAUAAUUUCAAAUUUGUAUUUUAAAAUGCAGGUACAUUAUGUAUACAUAAUUAUUGAUUUUCGUAUGUGGGUGUUUUGAAAUAUUGCUAAAAGACCAAACUUUAAUAAACUAUUUUUCAUCUUUUUUUUUUCCUAAAGUUUAAGUGAUAUCCGCAUUUUAAAUUCAUGUGGAACAAAAGCUAAUGUAUGCACAAAAUCCUUUUAUUUUUUCCGAGAAAAAUGGUUAAGAGAAGAAGAUUUUUCUCUUGAAAAAGAAAAACUAAUACGAUGCAAGCAUAGGAAAGAGGUCAGUGUUUUGGAUUAGAAUUUAGUAUUGAGCUGAAUUUUAUACUAAACUCUUUUAUAGUACUGCGAUUAAUAAACUCAUGAUUUGCUUUUGCUUUUACCUCAAGUGAAAGAAAGAGGAAACCUUUUGUUUUUUGUUUGAUUCUUGACUAUAGGUGUUACCUAUAUAGAGAGUUGAGGUAGCUGCCUUAAGUGAUGGUGAUAAAAAGAUUAAGCAGCGCACACAAUCUUACUGUCGUCCAGACCAUCCAGCUGUGAUGACUCUUGUUUUUUGGUUACAUUAGCUUUAGUGGAACGGAGGGCCAAUUUAACAAAGACUAGAUUUGGUGGCUUACUAUAAUGCUUAUUCUCAGGGAAUCUAAUGUUAUAAGAUGAUUUAAUGAUCUUCUAUGAUUGUGAGUAGUAUAGUAUAAUUGAAAAGAGCUUGGGCUCCUAUGAUGAAUAUUUAAUAGUAACACAGUACUGUUAUUGAAAAAAACACAGUUACAAUAAACUCUUCAUUUAUUCAUUGUGGAGAUUGAAUGGCAAACAGAGAAUAAAAUGAAGCAGAGGAAUCUCAUUGCCAGUAAAAUUGACCCUCUUUAAUGUUAUAUGGCACAGGUGUGUGUACAGCAAGAUCAAGUUACUUGCAGUUUUUAUUGUAAAAUAUAUAGGUUAUGACCAUGAUCAUUGUAGUUAGGUUUUGAUGAUUUUAGAUGCUUUUUUUAUUUUUUUUAAAAUUGUGACACCUUUGAUUUAUGGUAGUUUUGCAGAAGAAAAAAAUAUAUAUAAAAAUUAGGAGGGAUGAGUUAACUAACGAUUGCAAUCAUUACAGUAAUGUUGAUGAGUGAUACAUCAUUUGAAAUUUACUUGUCAGUUGCUGAAAUGAUGAAAAAAAACAGUAAACAAUAGCAGUAAUAUUUUUUGGCAAUAUAAAAAAUUAUUGCGGUUAUUUUUUGGCAAUAUAAAAAAAUUUUAGCAAAUAAAAAUUAAUUUUUUUCCGAUUAACUAAAAAAUUAAUUAAAAACUUCUGCGAUGGCAUUUUUUAUGGGUGCAUAUACCCUCCCUUUAAAAGAAAAAAUAAUAAUUAAUACUUAAUAUAGUAUUAAAUACGAAAAUAUCAAUAUUUGACUACACAAAUUUAAUAGUCUUGUGUAAUUAGUGAGUGAGAGAUUGGGUGUAUUGGAGUUUUGGGUAGUGAGCCAAAAUAUUACAAUACUUGUAAUCUUUAUUUCACUAGUGAAAUAUUUUCCUUCUGUUUUUGCCCGUGGACGUAGGCUAAAAGCCGAACCACGUAAUUUCUGGUGUCCUCUAUUGUACUUGUUCUUUAUUUGCUUCCAAUUUUAUUUUAACUGCGCGUCUGCUUCACCCAUCAAUUUCCUAACAAAUCUUGAUCCCAUGCACACGCAAAUAUGUUAAUUUCUAUACGCUUCACUUACCUGUAGAAUCAAUUAUCUAAAAUGCAAGUUUGUGGCCACAAAAAAAGCCAAAGAAAGAAGAUAAUAACAAUUGACUUGUAUAUUAUACUCAUACAAUCCACUCGACAUAAUGAUAUCAUUUUAAUAAGGCAAUGGCUGAUGAUCUCCAUUGAAAAACUAAUUCAAUUUUUUUGCUUCAUUUAACUUUUUGGUUGUUGAAAAUAACCUUAAUUAUCAAAUAAUUGGAGAAAGAGUAAAGAACAUUUAACAAAUUUAUGUGCAAAAAAAAAAAAAAAGAAGUUGAAGAGAAAGGGUGCUUGCAGAAGUGGGUGUCAAAGAAACAUCGGUCCAUAAGAAUUAUUGCGGUUAUUUUUUGGCAAUAUAAAAUAUUUAUAGCAAGUAAAAAUUAAAUUUUUUCCGAUUUACUAAAAAAUUAACUAAAAACUUCUGCCACAACAUUUUUUAUGGGUACAUAUACCCUCCCUUUAAAAAAAAAAUAAUAAUUAAUGCUUAAUAUAGUAUUAAAUACCAAAAUAUCAAUAUUUGGCUACUCAAAUUUAUAUCAUUAGGUCCUUAAAAUUAAAAAUUGAUGAUACAAAAGGAAAUAUAUAUAAAUUUCAUUCUCAUGGAAAGGAUUCUCUUAUAAUCUUAUAAUAUUUGAGUUUUGAAAUUUUUUGAAGCAAAUGUAAUUUUAUUUGUGUACAAUCAAUAUUUACUUAUUUAUUAUAUUUUAAUUUGUUAACUAUCAAUCAUUUAAGUAUAUUUAGUCAGAAAAAUUAUAUCAAGAGAGAAUCCUAAUUUCACGCAAACACAAAUACAAGAUAAAUAUGUCAAUUUCUAUACUAUCCACUUUCCUGUAGAAUCAAUUAUCUAAAAUGCAAGUUUGUGGCUACCGAAAACUCGCCAAAGAAAGAAGAUAAUAACAAUUGAGCAUUGAUAGCAAAACUAAUGCAUCAUUUUCUUCUUGACUUGAUGAGAUGGUGCCAUUACAAAAAAAAAAGUACCUUAAUUGACGGGCACUGAGUGAUGUGAAUACUACCAGCCAGUUCAUCUCUUCCAGUCUUGCUUAAUCACAAUCACAAACACCACGAGAUUGACAUUUGCAUUAUAUAUAUCUUCAGCAAUCGAAACACCUUGCAUUACCAAAUUAACCGGUAACAAACAAAGCAAUCUUUCAUGGAGAGAAACUUUAGUCUCAGUAUGAUCACUUUGUCAUUAACCCACUACCUGCUUCUUUGCUUGGUUGUUGCAGCAGCAGCAGCCGCAAGCAACAAUAUUACCACAGACCAACAAGCUCUUCUUGCCCUGAAAGAUCAUAUAACUUAUGAUCCAACCAACCUUUUUGCCCAUAAUUGGACCUCGAAUACCUCUGUUUGUACCUGGAUUGGCAUCACUUGUGAUGUCAAUAGCCAUAGAGUCACAGCCUUAGAUAUUUCUCAAUUCAAUCUACAAGGCACCAUCCCUCCUCAACUUGGAAACCUUUCUUCACUUACAACGCUUAAUCUUAGUCAUAACAAGCUUUCUGGAGACGUUCCAUCCUCCAUCUACACCAUGCAUUCGCUAAAAUUUCUUGACUUCACUGAUAACCAGCUCUCUGGUUCAGUGUCUUCCUUCGUCUUCAACAUGUCUUCAAUAUUAGAAAUUCUUUUGACCAAUAACAGAUUUUCUGGUGAGCUUCCGAAAAAUAUUUGCAACUAUCUUCCUUAUUUGAAAGCCCUUUUCUUAAACAAAAACAUGUUUCAUGGCAAAAUUCCUUCUGCUUUAUCAAAGUGCAAACAACUGCAAAAAUUAAAUUUGCAGUUCAAUAAUUUAUCCGGUGCAAUACCGAAAGAAAUCGGCAACUUGACUAUGCUCAAAGGCAUAUAUCUCGAAUACAACAAACUCCACGGUAUGUUCAUAAUACUAUGUAAAUGUUUUAAUUUCUCAAUUGUUAUUUUCUUGAAUACUUUAGACAAGAUCUUGUAAGGGAGAUAUUUUUGGAUCUGUGUUAAUUUGCCAGGUGAGAUACCCCACGAAAUCGCUAAUCUUCGAAAUCUAGAGGAUUUAUUGCUUGGAAUGAACAACCUAGUUGGUGUGUUACCAGCUCCAAUCUUCAACAUGUCAACACUGAAAUUAUUUGACCUCAUAAAUAACUCUCUCUCCGGAAGUCUUCCAUCAAGAAUAGACCUUUCACUUCCAACUGUUGAGUUUUUUGGCUUGGCACUUAAUAGAUUUUCUGGAACCAUUCCUAGUUCCAUCACCAAUGCUUCUAAGCUCACCGUUCUAGCGUUGGGAGAGAACACAUUUUCGGGCUUCAUUCCAAACACAAUUGGUAAUUUAAGAAACCUUGAGUGGCUCAGCUUGGAGAAUAAUUACUUGAAAUCUUCAACCUCAAAAUUGAGCUUUCUUUCCUCUUUGGCAAAUUGCAAGAAAUUAAGAUUCUUAAACUUAGCAGGCAAUCCACUUGACGGCUUCCUUCCAAGUUCAAUAGGUAAUCUUUCUGUGUCUUUGGAAACACUUUUCAUCGGCAAUUGCAGUAUUAGUGGCAACAUUCCUCAAGCAAUUAGCAAUUUAAGCAACUUGUUGACCUUAGUAUUAGAAGGCAAUAAAUUGACUGGACCAAUUCCAAUUACAUUUGGCCGACUACAGAAACUCCAAGGCUUAGAUCUUGCAUUCAAUAAGUUGGUAGGUUCAUUCCCAGAUGAGCUUUGCCAUCUAGCAAGGCUGGAUCAAUUGGUCUUAUUUGGCAAUAAGCUUUCAGGAUCUAUACCUUCAUGCCUAAGUAAUCUCACUUCUCUAAGAUCUCUCUACUUAGGGUCCAAUAGGUUAACUUCUGUUAUUCCCUCAACUUUCUGGAGCCUAAAAUACAUCUUGUUCUUUGACUUUUCAUCAAAUUUCUUGGUUGGUACUCUUUCUUUCGACAUAGGUAAUUUGAAGGUGCUUCUAGGAAUAAAUUUAUCAGAAAAUAACUUAUCGGGUGAUAUGCCAGCCACAAUUGGAGGACUGAAAGAUCUUCAAUUUAUGGACCUAGCAUUUAAUAGAUUGGAAGGCCCAAUUCCUGAAUCAUUUGGUGACUUGACAAGUUUGGAGGUUUUGAAUUUGUCAAAAAAUAAAAUCUCUGGGUCUAUUCCAACAUCCAUGGAGAAACUCAUUUACCUUCGAGAGUUAAAUCUCUCUUUCAAUAAACUUGAAGGUGAGAUUCCUAGUGGAGGAAUUUUUACCAACUUCACAGCUGAGUCAUUUAUGGGAAAUGAGUUAUUGUGUGGUUUACCAAAUCUUCAAGUCCAACCAUGCAAACUUAGCAAGCCUAGGACAGAACAUAAAUCAAGGAAAAAGAUACUUCUCAUUGUGAUUGUUUUGCCAUUGAGUAUUGCUCUAACGAUAGCAAUCACUCUAGCUCUCAAAUCUAAGCUGAUCGAAUGUAGAAAAAGAGGCACAGAGUUAUCAAAUGAUAGUAUCUUGUCAUCAGAAGCAACACUAAGAAGAUUUUUAUACUUAGAACUUUUACAAGCAACAGAUAAUUUUGCUGAAAACAACAUAAUUGGCAGAGGAGGUUUUGGUUCCGUUUAUGGAGCAAGACUUGAAGAUGGGAUGAAGAUUGCAAUAAAAGUGUUUCACCAGCAAUGUGCAAGCGCAUUGAAGAGUUUUGAGGCUGAAUGUGAAGUGUUAAAAAAUAUUCACCAUCGAAACCUUAUCAAAGUUAUCAGCAGUUGCUCGAACGAUGACUUCAAAGCAUUAGUCCUAGAAUACAUGUCCAACGGGAGCUUGGAGGAUUGGCUGCAUUCUAGCAAUUAUGUGCUGAAUAUAUUUCAGAGGUUGAACAUAAUGAUUGACGUUGCAUCAGCUUUAGAAUAUCUCCACUUCGAUCAUUCAACUGCUAUUAUUCAUUGUGACUUAAAGCCUAGUAAUGUAUUGUUGGACGAAAAUAUGGUUGCUCAUUUGAGUGAUUUUGGCAUAGCAAAGCUUUUAAGUGGAGAGGAUGAGUCUACGAUACGAACAAAAACCCUUGCCACUCUAGGUUAUAUGGCACCAGGUUUGCUUCAAACAACUUUCGUUUUUAGUUCAUUUUAAAUUUUCCAACUUAUUGAUUUUUACAAUCCUCACAUCAAAAUGUUAUUGAUUAUUUAUCUAAUUGUGAAAUUAAUUUGAUUCAUAGAGUAUGGCAUAGGAGGAGAAGUAUCUACAAAAAGUGAUGUUUAUAGCUAUGGGAUUAUGUUGAUGGAAACUUUUACCAAGAAAAAACCCACAGAUGAAAUUUUUGUUGGAGAAUUGAGCUUAAAGCGUUGGGUUAAUGACUUGCUUCCUAAUUCAUUAGUGGAAGUUGUGGACAAAACUCUGCUAAGUGGAGAGGAAAAACAUUCUGCAGCAAAGGAGCAAUGUCUGUUGUCUAUCUUUAGUUUGGCUCUGGAGUGUACAAUGGAAUCACCGGAAAAGAGGAUUAAUGCAAAAGAUAUUGUUACCGGAUUACUCAAGAUAAGAGACACAUUGAGUAAAAGGAUAGGAAAUUUAAGUUAAUUUCGUUUGCUUUCAUUGAUAGUUAAUUCGAAUUCAUGUAAUAAGUGUAAGAACCUUAUAUCUUUUACUUUGAUUUUUUUUUUCUUGAGAAAACUGUUGUAGUCAUCUUGUUUCCAUGGGCGGAGUUGAUUUAGUUCUUCCAAGAAAUGCUACUGAUGACAUUUGUUUUAUACUUUCUCUUUUUUUUUGCAUGUGUUUAGGUAGAAUAGUGGUUUGGUUGCACUCUAAGAAGUCUAACUACACUAAAAGAAUAUGAUUUAAUUUAUUAAACAAAACUUCAAGUUCAAGAAAAGUAUCUCAUUGCCCCCAAUGCUUUGGACACCUAUUGGUAGGUUUGUACGUGUCCUCAACUUUUUUUUGGAGCACAAAAUUCGAGUCCCAUAAAGGCUCAAACAUUCCUUUCCUUCAUCCCGAGGGCGCCUUCUGUCCUCUGUUUUCUGUUUCCACACACAAAUAGCAAAAAGAAAUUAGAAUGACAACUGGGACAUAUAUAAGAGUGAAAUAAUUAAAAAAAUUAUGCUUUUUUGUCUGUCGUGUUAAAAUCGUAAGUACCGAAGUACUGUGAAAGAGAUUAAUUUACAGAAACUGAAGCCAAGGGUUCAAAAAAAACUAUUGAUGUAGGUAGAAUGCAAUGUCAUAUUCAUACAGAGAUGAAGUAUAUUAUUUACGGCUGGUAAGGACUAAGAAUUGAUGUAGCUAGAAUGCAAAGAUGAUGAGGUAUGUUGUACACUAUUGUUUUUAUUCUACAAUCAAUCUUGACCCCUGAUGCUUGGCUCUCAAUCUUGUCCAUUGAUCUUCUCUGAUUUUGGAGACUUGAAGACCUUUCAGUAUCAUGCCUUGUUGUUGGUGUCUUCCGUGCUGUAGAAUUCAUAUACAAGUUUUCCCGCCGACUUGCCAAGUAUUUGUUCAUUGAUGCAUUUUAUCAAACAGUUGGCCUGCUCAGAGCAAACAGCUCCUGUUUUAACUCCCCCUCCGUAGCUCAACUAUCUGGGAAGACAAUUAAUUGAGCUUGUUUCACAAUUAUAUGAAUCUGAAAGUUCAAUUAUAUCCUCUAAUGGAGAGAACUCAUUGCCUCAGUAUGAUCACUGUGUCAUCAACCCACUCCCCGCUUCUUUGCUUGGUUGUUGCAGCAAGCAACAAUUUUACCACAGAUCAACAAUAGUUUGUCCAUUUGUUCCAGUGAGGUCGUCAUUAAAAAUUAAUUUUCAUAUUGAUUUUCUUAAUUAUAAAUAAUACUAAUGAUAUUUCAUAGUUAUAAAUAUAUUAGAAUUAAUCGAAAUCAUUUUUUAGUGCGGCAUGGCUAAAACUACCUUUUUUUUUUUUAAGUAAUUACUACUUCAAGGAAAAUACUCCUAUUUUCAAGGAAAAGUCAAGUACCCGUAGUUGUGAAGACUCGAGCUCACCCUCUUAUGAUAAAUCUUCUUAUCAAUUACAUAAAUAUCCUCUAAAUUUUUAGUUAACUAUUCAAAAUUCGAUGUUAUACGGGUAUUUCAUUUAUUUGAGUAGGGGUUCGGGGUCAAUUGGAUACAAAUUCAAAAUUAUCCUUACUUGAGAAGGUGAUAAAAAUUGGGGAUUUAGUUUGGAUGCAUUAGCUACAAAUAUUAAACUCAUACAUCUAAUUCAAAAUUAGAGGGCUGAUAUAUGUGCAUCCUCGUGCACAUUAUAGUGACACGUGUCACCAUCCUACAACCUAUCCAAUGAAAAAUUGACAUGCAUCUUGUGCGCUUCUGAUCAAAAUCCUGAAAAUUAAUCACAAAGUUAUACUUUUAUUAUAAAAAGAAUAAAGAAACUCCAAAAAAAAAAAAAGACUUACAUAUAUAAAUAGUUUGAAUAAUCUAGAUUCCAAGUUGUCUAUAUUAGCUUGAUCUUUUUAUAAAUAGUCAUCUUCGAAAAAAAAUUCCACCAACAUAUAUUUUAAUUUUAUGUUAAUUAAUAAAUAGAAAAAAAUCAUUUUAGAAUUAAUUAAAACAUUAUUUAUUGUUGCCAAAAAAAGGAAGAAUUUAGUGAUAAGAAAAAAGUGUCUCAAAUAUACGUUAAAAAAAUUAAUCAUGGUGGGUUCGAUUGAUUGAAUUUUUUUUUUUAAUCUUUUUCUUUUUUAAGAAUUAAGACAAUUGGAUUGAUUGAGUAAUAAUAAAAUAUAUUUAUUUGGCAAAUGGCAGGUAGGCUUUCUUCUGAUGCAGAUUGAUUAUAGAGAAUAUACAACAAUUUUAAGCUCGUCAGAUUCGGAACCUGCUUAUCUGUCGUGUGGGGAUCACUUCCGUGUCUUAUUUUUCUAGAAAAAUCUGGACCAUUAGGCAGUAGAGAAAUGUUGAUCUUGAUUCCUGAUCAGGAUCGAAGUUUGAUUCUAUCUAACAUGAUAUCAGAUUGCGAAGCAGGCUAGUAUGUAAAUUUCUUUUAUCUUUUAGAGGAAAAUGGGCAAGAGAAGAAGAUUUGGCAAAGGAAUUGCAACCGCAUUUCUAGUAUGUUCUGAUCAGAGAAGCGAAAUCCAUCACGGUCUUUUAUCUUUACCCAUGUGGAGAAAUCAAGGGAUUUCGAAUCAGAGAAGCGAUGGGAUUUAGUUCUGAUCUGGGAUUUUGGAGACUUAGGGAGUGUGCGGUCUUGGACCAACAUUGAUGACGAUGACGCUUCAAAUUCAAUGACUUGAAAGCAGAAAACAAAGACAGACAAAAACAGACAUGCACUACAGCAAGAAAGAUUGACUGAAUCUUGGGUUACUGUGUCUGUGGUCUCAAAUGAAACACAAGUGGGAAGCCUUGCUGCAGUUUCAGCUUUGGUUUGUGUUUGAAGUUUUGAAUGUAAAAAGAGAACCGAGCAUGUGGUUGCCGACAAGAAUGGCCUGAGGUUUCUUAAGCUUCAUUGUAAUGUUACAACUGCUACUAAUUUGGUGGGGUGGGAGGUCGCUGGGUCGCUGUCAGUCCAUUUGCUUCUUUUCUUUCUUUUUGUUAUUUGUUGAGUUUUUUCCAUUUCUACUUUUCUUAAUAUAUAAAUUAUCAUUUUUUUAACAUGCAAAAUAUAUAGAACAUUUUAUGAGUUUAUAAAUAAAAAUUAUAUUAUGGGAUAAUAGUGAAUGAGUUCCUGGUGCUUUGGAGUUCUUUAAAUUAAGGGCCCAGUUUGUCCAUUUGUUUUAGUUAGGUCCUUCUUAAAAAUUGAUUUUCUUAAUUAUAACUAAUACUAAUGAUAUUUCAUAGUUAUAAAUAUAUUAGAAUUAAUCCAAAAUAUUUUUUAGCGUGGCAUGGCUAAAACUACCUUUUUCUAUAAGUAAUCACUACUUUUGCAUUAAGGAAAAUAUUCCUAUUUAAAAAAAAAUUGAAUAUCUAUAGUUGUGAGGACUCGAACUCACUCGCUUAUGAUAAAUCUUUGUUGAUGCGAGAUUCUGGUUACCCACUCGACCACGUCCAGGAUCUCUGCUCAAUCAACUAACUCGACCACGAUCAGGAUCUCUCCUCGUAUGCUUUCUUCUUCAAAAAUUCCUGCGUACACAGAAACAAGUCAGAGCACGCCAGUUGUUUUCCCGGCGUAAACCCUCCGACGCUCAAGUCAGAUAUGAAGGUUUUGUGUUCCUGGGAACGUUAGCCACUAGUCUUAAGCUUUGCUUUUGGUAUCGAUUGCUGAAUGCUCUCUUUAUCUCAAUUUCCGUAUUAAAAGUUAACCCUUUUACCUUCGUUGGCUGCCUUUUUAUAGGCUCCACCUGAGUCCAGAUCCUCCCCUCCAUUCACGCCCGUUACCUUCCCACCUCUCGAAAGUGGAUGCUUUGUUUCCGUAAUCGUGGGUGAUUGCAUGGCCUUCGUGCCUCGAUUCUCAGGCUGGAGAGUACGUCUCGCCAACUGUCGUUGACUGGGUCUCCUCGCCUCAAACCUUAGCAGGAAUGGCUUUAUGCUUCUAACAAGAGACCGGCUUCGCGGAUGGCGUAUUCAUGGACGAGCAGAUAUUCCUGCUUAUGUUCCAAUGCUACCAGACCUCUGCUCAUCACGGCUGGUCUCGUCGAAGUACAUCCCCCAAACACCGGUCCCCCAGUUUCUGGUGUUGGGUAACAUAGUGAGCCAACAGUAGAAACUCGACAGUUCUUGCUCGCGCGAGAUAGGAAAAGACUGCCAAGAGUCGUGUCGCAUUUAAUGGCGGAUGAGGUGAUGUGGCAGAAAUCUACCCCUCCAUUUGAAUUUCAAACCGACGGUUACGAAACCCUAGGGAUUUGUGCCGUUAAAUGCCGGCAGCCCAAGAGUUUGUUCUUCAUUAGGAAAACCCAAAACCCCCAAAAGAGGAACUCGUCUUUUACUCCGUUUCUGUCUCUCCUGCGAAUGAGUCCUUCCUCUCCCUCGGCGUAAAAGCUUCCUUCCUUGUCUCUCUCCGACUAAGUCACAACUUCAGGUACUAUUUCUUUUUUCCUCGGUCGUGGAUAGUUGUAAACAAUUUCUUUUACAUUUUGCUUGGGUAGUGUUUGGUGGUGCAGUUCUGGUUAUAGUUUAGGGAAUGUCGAAAGGUAAGGAGAAAGUCAUUGAGAUUGAUGACGACGAGUUAGACUUCUUGCCUAGUCUGCUCGCCGAUUCUGCUUUCGACACCGGGAUCCCCUUAGAACCCGUUAGACCUAAUGUUGCGACUAGUGCUAGGAGGAUGUCCCCCCAAGUAACCUCCUCAACUGGAAAUAGCGACGACGAGGGUUCUUCUGGUUCGGAAGACACUUUGAGUGAAGAUCAGGGAAAUGAUUCUGGUGAGAUGUCCUCACCAGGAACAUCGUGACCAGAUAGGAGGGGCAUAGUAGGAGGUAGAGCUCUAUCACAGAAUUACACUAUUGAUUUUAUGACGUGCACGACCACAGUAGAUGAGCUAGUUAGUCUCCGGGCUAGAUACGGCAUCCCUGAUGAAAUUUCCCUUAGGAUCCCAGGAAAAAAAGAUACCCCCAGCCGGCCUCCUAGGGGAUAUAUUACUCUGUUUCUAGAGAGUUUUAAACUUGGGCUAAGGUACCCCAUACAACCCUACUUUGCCCGAAUACUCAAUGGGUUGAAUUUAGCUCCUGGUCAACUGAACCCCAAUGGGUGGUGAGUACUUUCUGGUCUGUUCAUAUUGUGAGACAGAUGUUGCCAAAGCGAGCCAACAAUUGACGAGGUGAAGCACCUGUACCAGCUAAAGAGCAGCCCCAAAGAUGUCGGCUGGUAUUACUUCCAGUCUAGUACCAAGACCAGGAAACCCAUAACCGAUCUUCCAACUGGUGGUGGUAGGACUUGGAAGAAAAAAUUCUUUUUUGCUGGGGGUCCCUGGGGUCAAGUUGCACAGAUUGACGAGAAGGAUUACCGUGUCCCACCUCAUUUCGUGGUCCCAGGUUGCCUACUCGCUUAAGAUGUUUUGUCUCCAUAGUCGUUCUCAUUUUGCUGAUUUGUUUCUAAUCCAAAAUCUGUUCGCAUUGCAGGUUCCUGGGGUGUGCACUACCAGCUUAAACCCGAGCCGCUCAAGCGAGUCGAAGCUGUACUGGCCAAUUUCUACACGAACCGAGAGCUGCUAACUACUUUCAAUUUGGUCGAAUCUCGUUUGGUGUCUACCGGCCAUAAAAUGGAGGAUGCUGUGAUCGGGGCUCUGACUCGGAAACGUCCCCAACCUCAUGCUACCAAGCAGGACCAGAAUAAAUAUGCUCCCACUGCGAAGCGGGUGAACAUUGUGCAGCAGGUUCCUCCCUUGAAGACCCUACCACCUCCUUCUGCCAAAGUCGGAGAAACUAGCGGAGCAGCCACCGAUCCCGCUUCCUCUUAUCCUCCAGUCGGGCCGAGAUCUCGUUUAUCUGACAAUCGAGCAAAACAUUUGGUCCCCUAUAUCAACGAGUUCUCUAAACUCGUGAGCAAGAGGGACCUAGAGGACUUUGACGACAGCACCUUGGGUGAGCUGGUGGGGGCCAUGCAAUAUAGCGCUUUCCAUCUCGACUGUAUGGCCACUUACUACAAGGCCAAGGUUGGUCGUUAUGACCGAAAGAUGAAGGAGGACAUUCAAUCGGCCAUGAUCAAAGCUGAUGCUGCCGAGAAGAAAGCAGGGGACUUGAAUCUCGAGAAUUUGAAGUUGAUAGAGCGAGAAUCUCUUGCUCAAGCAAAAGCCAUUACUCUCGAGGAUGAGCUAGCUAAGGUCAAGGAGGAUCUGCAAAGACAGCAGGCUAUGUACGAGGCCCAGCUCGAAUCUCUUCGGGAUUCCCACAAGGUUUAGGUCGAGAACCUGGAGAAGGAAGCUGAUAAUCAAUAUGACCAGGGGCUUCAGCACUCCUAUCAUUGCAUCAUGGCCGUCCUUGGGAAGCAGCAUCCGGAUAUGAAAAUGGACGAGCUUGCUACUGGUGUUGCUCAGCAUAUGGAUGAGGAGGCAGCAAAAGAGGACGCCGAAGAGGUGGAGCCAACUGAGGUUGAGGAGGGAAACACUCCUCCUCGUGCAAUCCUUGCUGAUGUCGCUGAGGCGAGUACCCCCCGAAUGCAACUGGUGAUACCCCCUGCCCCUGAGGUGGACCAGCCAACCAAGGCUGCUCGGCUUACUGACCCGCCGUCCUCUUGAUUGUAUUUUGUGUUGUAGUUGCUUUCUUGAAACGCUAUAUGUUAUGACUAGCAGUUUUUUCUGGUUGUUGAUUAAUAAAUAAGAAUGUUCUCAUUUGCUUUCUCGUCGUAAAUCAUUUUAAGUUUGAGGGUCUACUUGCCUUCUCUUGUACUAGCAGUUCUUGACACGCUUGGCUUCUGGUCUCGCCAUAGAACAUGCUUGUGACUUGGUGAGCCUUUGCAUGCCUUAGAAAUUUUUUCAAUGUUGGGAUUCUGCUCGCCUUCGCUUGGUCGAGCAGAUCUUGGCACGCUUGGCUUUUGGUCUCGCCAUAAAAACAGGCUUUGAAAAUUGGUGAGCCUUUGCAUGCCUUAGAAAUUUUUUCAAUGCUUGGGAUUUUGCUCGCCGUCGCUUGGUCGAGCAGAUCCUGGCACGCUUAGCUUUUGGUCUCGCCAUAAAAUAGGCUUUGAGACUUGGUGAGCCUUUGUAUGCCUUCGAAAUUUUUUCAAUGAUAGGGAUUCUGCUCGUCGUCGCUUGGUCGAGCAGAUCCUGGCACACUUGGCUUCUAGUCUCGCCAUAAAACAGGCUUUGAGACUUGGUGAGCCUUUGCAUGCCUUAGAAAUUUUUUCAAUGCUUGGGAUUCUGCUCGCCGUUGCUUGGUUGAGCAGAUCCUGGCACGCUUGGUUUCUGGUCUCGCCAUAAAACAGGUUUUGAGACUUGGUGAGCCUUUGCAUGCCUUAGAAAUUUUUUGCACAGUUACAAGUGAAUGAAAUUCCUCGACGUUUCAUUAAUUACAGAAUUCAACUUACAUAGGAAUGCAUAGCAACGAGAACAAAUUAAAGUAAUUUUUGAACAUGAGCAAGUCUUACUGGAAAUAUUUCCUGAGGUGCGCUGCGUUCCAUAGGCGUUUCACCUCGUGGCCAUCCGUGCGAACAAGCUUGUAAGCUCCGAGUCCCACUAUCUGCUUGACCCUGUAUAGCCCCUGCCAAUUCGGUCCAAGCACUCCUUGAGUCGAGUCUUUGGUGUUCUGAUUCACUCUCCUUAGCACCCAAUCUCCGACCCUAAACUGCCGUACAUUCACCUUCUGGUUAUAAUACCGAGCAACCCUCUGCUGGUAAAUGGCUAAUCGCUUCGAUGCUUGCUCCCUCUUCUCUACAAGCAAAUUCAGAUUCAAGCACAUCUGCUCGUUGUUAUCUUGCUCAUUGAAAUGAUCUGUCCGGUGCGUGGUCGUUCCUAUCUCGGCUGGUACGACCGCUUCAUGUCCGAAGGCCAAGGCGAACGGUGUUUCUCCAGUUGCUGUUUUGUAGGUUGUCCUGUAUGCCCAUAAAACACAUGAUAGCUCAUCAACCCAUGCUCCAUUUUUUGCUCCAAGCCUGGUUUUCAAAAGCCUCUUGAUCGUCUUGUUGGCUGCUUCUACUUGUCCAUUGGAUUGAGGGUGAGCAAGCGAGCAGUACUUCAACUCUAUCCCGAGGUUCUGGCAGAAAUCCCUGAAACUGUGAUUAUCGAACUGCCUGCCAUUAUCCAUUACCAAGGCAUAGGGGAUCCCGUACCGACAGACCAGGUUUCUCCAUACGAAGUCUGUUGUCUUCUUCUCUGUGAUCUUGCUGAGGGCUUCUACUUCUAUCCACUUCAUGAAGUAGUCUAUUGCUACUAUUCCAUGUGUUGUUGCUCCUCGUCCCCUUGGCAACGGCCCGAUCAGAUCAAUUCCCCACUGAGCAAAUGGCCAAGGGGAGGCUAUAGAGGUGAGCUUCUCUGGUGUUUGGCUGGAGAAACUUGCAAAACUCUGGCAGCUUAAGCAGCUCCUGGUCUUCUCCUGCGCAUCCUGGUGCAUUGUCGGCCAGAAAUAUCCCUGCCUUAGAACCUUAUGGGCAAGGGACCUCCCACCAGAAUGGUUUCCGCAAAUUCCUUCAUGUACUUCUCUCAGUACGUAGUCUGCGUUGUCCUCAUCUAAGCACCGAAGGAACGUGAGUGUAUAUCCUCGCCGAUAUAGCACCCCAUCAAUCAUUGUGUACCUUGAGUCUUGGGCUCUAAUCUUCCGAGCUCGUAGCUUAUCUGGUGGUAACACCCCGUCUCUGAUAUAUGAAAUUAUCGGAUCCAUCCACGAGCCUUUUUGUUCUAUCUGCAUCACCUUCAAAUUCUGCUCGAUGCUAGGGUUGGUUUUCACUUCCAAAGGGACCGUCUUAGGCAUUUUAGGGUCUGCUACAACUGUCAUCCUGGCCAGAAUAUCGGCUCGACUAUUUUGUUCCCUUGGGAUUUGUAUCAACUUAACCGCUUCGAACUUCCUCAUCAUCUGCCUGACUUUCUUCAAGUACUGCUCCAUCUUCUCAUCUCUCGGUUGAAAACUUUCACUGACAUGAUUUGCGACCAGCUGAGAAUAAGUUCUGAUCUUCACCCUAUCUGCUUUCAUUGCCUUAGCCAAUUCCAAACCUGCUAUCAAGGCUUCGUAUUCUGCCUGGUUAUUUGUGGCUGUGAACUCUAACUUUACAGCAUAAGAAAUCUCCUCCCCCUCUGGGUCUUUUAAGACAAUUUCUGCUCCUGAUCCUUGCUCACCUGAUGACCCAUCUACAGACAUCUGCCAUACUCGAGCUUUGCUGCUAUCUGUAGCGGUGUCCAGUUGGUCCAAACAUACUUCAAGCUCCGCGAAUUCUGCUAUGAAAUCGGCCGUUGCCUGAGCCUUUAUUGCUGCUCGGGGUUUGUAAUCUAUGUCGAACUCGCUAAGCUCUAUAGCCCACUUCACGAGCCGACCAGAAGCAUCUGGCUUGUGCAGAGUUUGACGCAAUGGCUGGUUUGUUAUUACCGUGACGGGGAAUGCUUGAAAGUACGGCCUCAGCUUCCGAGCAGCAACCACAAGGGCGAGUGUCCAUUUCUCCACCAAUGGGUAUCUGGUCUCGGCAUCGAGCAGGGUCUUGUUGGUGAAGUAUAUCGGGUACUGAACCCCUUCUUCUUCUCUUACUAGAACAGAACUUGCAGCAUGAUUUGAUACCGCCAAAUAUAAGAACAACCUAUCGUCAUCCCUUAGUGUGGACAGCAAAGGUGCUUGUUGCAAGUACUGCUUCAAGUUCUGGAAGGCUUCUUCACAUUCUGGGGUCCAUUCUGUAUUCUUUCCUCUCCUUAUCACUUGGAAAAAUGGCUGACACUUAUCUGUAGCCUUGGAUAUGAAUCGGCUUAAUGCCGCCAACCUCCCCGUAAGGCUCUGUGUCUCCUUCAGGUUACGAGGUGACCUCAUCUGCACGAUCGCCUGGAUCUUCUCAAGAUUUGCCUCGAUCCUGCUCGAACAUGGGGAUUUGGUUGUAUCCCGAGAAUGCGUCCAUGAAGCUGAGCAAGCCAUGUCCGGCUUUUAAGUCUACAAGCUGGUCAAUCUUUGGUAAUGGAAAGCUGUCUUUCGGGCACGCCUUGUUGAGGCCCGUGAAAUCCACACACAUCCUCCACUUGCCAUUAGCCUUUUUUACUAACACCACAUUCGAUAUCCACUCGGGAUAAUUGACUUCCCGAAUGAACCCUGCUUUCAAGAGCUUCUCCACCUCGCCGUUUAUAGCCUCAUACCUCUCCUGGUUGAAGCACCUCCUUUUCUGCCUUACUGCCCGAGCACCUUUCUUUAUUGCCAGUUUAUGACAUGCGACCUAAGGGUCGAUUCUUGGCAUGUCUUCAUGUGUCCAAGCAAACACAUCUGCAUGAGCCCGCAAGCAUUGCACCAACUCCUGCUUCUGCUAUUCUUUAAGCCUCAACCCAAUUCGGAUCGUUUUUCCCAGAUCCUUUGGUCCUAGGCUCACUGUCUUCAACUCCUCUACAGGUUCUUGUCUACCAGUCUUGGUUCCCACUCGGGUAUCAAGGGAUGUUAUCUGCAUUGCUUCCCUUGCUGACGAGGAGUAAUAGCUUCGUGCGAUUCUCUGGUCUCCUCAUACCACUCCAACUACCCCAUUCACCCGGUACUUGAGAGCUAGAUAAUGGUUGGAUGACACCGCUUUACUCAUCCUCAGAAAUGGUCGACCUAGGAUCAUCUGGUAAGGACCCUCUUCAUCGACUACCAAAAAAUCCAGCAUCAUAGUCCUUUCUGUCGGGGAGCUUCCAAUCGUGAUAGGCAGCUCAACCACGCCCAGGGGGACCAGCUUUCCUCCUCCAAAUCCCUUCAAGGAGGUAUUGGUGUGCUCCAACCUCAGGUCUGUUAUUCUCAUCUCCUCCAGAGUUGACUUAAACAACACAUCAACUGAGCUCCCUGUGUCAACCAGUAUCCGGUCAAACUUCUUGCUGGCGACGGUGGCCUUGAUGACUAAGGCAUCCUUGUGUGGGUAUAGAAUCCCUUAUUCAUCCUCAUCUGUCCACAUGAUUGGCACUUGUCAGACUCUUGCUCGUUUGGCUGCUGGGGUGUUGAAGAACACAUCUUUACUAGUCAUGGCAAAUUUAGCAUAAUUUUUCCUCGAUCUGUUGGAAUCUCCGGCCAACGUUGGACCCCCUAACAAUCACUCUUACUAUAGGCUGCCUGUGGCUCAAGUUCCUGUUACCCUGCUCCUCUUCACAUAUCGGGGCCACCGUCGGAAAAGUCCCAUCGAUAAACUCGUCCAGGUAUCGAUUUCUCACCAAAUCUUUAACCUGGGUCUUAAGGUCUCUUCAUUCUAUUGUGGUAUGGCCAUGAGUACCAUGGAACUUGCAAUAGUGCCCCUAUCCCUUCUGCUGGGUAGCUUUGUUAUUGGGGCUGGGAGGUACAGUAAUCCCCAGUCCUUUAUGGCCUCACAGACUUCGUCCAGUGGGAUAUUCAAGGAAGUAUACUGCCCAUAGUCCUGGUUCUGGUCGAUCAUAUGCACUGCCCUUUCUCUGUUUGUGCCAUUCUGAGUUGGAGGUGGUGGCAGCGCUUCUGGUCUGCUCCCCCUACUACCAUGGGGGUGUGGGUGAAGGUGACCGUAUGUCGCGUCAUGCCUUCUCCUAGGCUCCCUAGCUGGUGAGCGAGAAGGUUGCGCCCUGCUGUGCUGAUACUGUGGUGGCCUCUAAUGAGGUUGGUAAGCGGUUACCCGACCUCUUGUACCACUACCUAAGGCAUGGUGGUCCCUCCUCUUAAUCGGCCCAUUUCCUGGUACGGCUCUCUUCUCUUUCCUCUUUAAUCCUUCCAGCUGGUCUGUCUUAAUCCGUGCCGCCUUUUCCUCCUCUAUUUCUAUGUCUCUCUUAGCCUGCUCGUAAGCAACUGAAUAUGUCUGAAUAACUGGGCUUCUCAAGUUAUAUCACAUCCGUCUUAUCUUCACUCCUUCUUUCAAUCCCCUUAAUGCCUGAGGAUGGUUGAAGGCUCCCAAGUCGAGGACAGCACGGUGGAACCUUUUGAUGAAUUCCCGAAGGGUUUCCUCCUCUCUCUGCUUCAUGCUCGUUAACUCCAUCAUAUCAUCUUCCGGUGCCAUUACCCCACGAAACUGCUCUGCAAAUUCCUGGCACAUCUGCUCGAAGGCUUUAAUGCUCCCUCGAGGAAGUUUCCUGUACCACUCGCGUGCUCGUCCCUCUAGAGAUAGUGGGAACACCCUGCAUCUUUGGGCUUGAGAUAGUCCUUGCACCCCGGUCAUGUUGUUGAAGCGCUCUAUGUGCACCAACGGAUCAGUUCGCCCCAAAUAUCUGAGGUCUGGGAGGCGAAAAUCUCUUGAAAUGACUGCCCUCAUGAUCUCUGCCGAGAGCGGGGUUUCUCCGUCCAGCAUUAUCCUCCAACCAGGUGCUCUACUCCUUCCUUGCAUAUCAUCAAUUACUUGCGCUAGUUUGCGCACUUCCUUCUCUAGCUGCAUUGCACGACCAGGGUCACGUGCUGUAACUUGAUCCCGCUCUUUCUCUACAUCAUGUAAGUAUUGCCUGAGCUCUGUUUCCUCUGCAUUCACCACCCCAUCAUCCUCAUCAAAAAUCUAUCUUCUUGGGGAUUGCUCUUCUUCUCUAUGAAUUCCUCCCCGUAAAGAUAAGUUACCUCUCUCACCACCAAAUCUCCUGGUGGUCUGACUUCUCAUCAUACCAUCGUGCCCUGGUGCCACUCUGCCACCUCUCACCCUUUUCUCAUGGGUUCCCCUUCGUUCACUCCUUAGUUCAUGUAGGAUGGUUGUCAGGGUCUCCAUCUGCUUUUCCAUCCGUUCCAUUCGGUCAUGCAUGGCUUUUUCCCGUGCUUCAAUGGCUAUCUCCCUUAACGUCAUGGAUUCGUUAAGCCUCAUAUCACCUCCUUGUGCACUACUUCCUCCUACAUCCAUUGUUUCUUCUCUUGCUUUGUUUUUCCUUUCUCUGUCAACAGAAGUUUUUUUAUCAGCUCCCUACAGACGGCGCCAAAAUGUUGAUGCGAGAUUCUGGUUACCCACUCGACCACGACCAGGAUCUCUGCUCAAUCAACUAACUCGACCACGAUCAGGAUCUCUCCUCGUAUGCUUUCUUCUUCAAAAAUUCCUGCGUACACAGAAACAAGUCAGAGCACGCUGGUUGUUUUCUCGGCGUAAACCCUCCGAUGCUCAAGUCAAAUAUGAAGGUUUUGUGUUCCUGGGAACAUUAGCCACUAGUCUUAAGCUUUGCUUUUAGUAUCGACUGUUGAAUGCUCUCUUUAUCUCAAUUUCUGUAUUAAAAGUUCUAACCCUUUUACCUUCGUUGGCUGCCUUUUUAUAGGCUCCUCCUGAGUCCAGAUCCUCCCCUCCAUUCACGUCCGUUACCUUCCCACCUCUCGAAAGUGGAUGCUCCGUUUCCGUAAUCGUGGGUGGUUGCAUGGCCUUCGUGCCUCGAUUCUCGGGCUGGAGAGUACGUCUUGCCAACUGUCGUUGAUUGGGUCUCCUCGCUUCAAACCUUAGCAGGACCAUUAUGCUUCUAACAGGAGAUCGGCUUCGCGGAUGGUGUAUUCGUGGACGAGCAGAUAUUCCUGCUUCUGUUCCCAUGCUACCAGACCUCAGCUCAUCACGGCUGGUCUCGUCGAAGUACAUCCCCCAAACAAUCUUCAUAUUAAUUACGAAAAUAUCCUCUAAAUUUUAACUUAACUAUUCAUAAUUCAAUGUCAUUCGGAUAUUUCGUUUAUUUGAGUAGGGAUUAGGGGUCAAUUUGAUACAAAUUCAAAAUUAUCCUCAUUUGCGAAGGUGAUAAAAGUUAGGGAUUUAGUUUGGAUGUCACUAGCCACAAAUAUUAAACGCAUGCAUCUAAUUCAAAAUUAGAGGCAUUAUCGUUAUAUUGACAUGUGUCACCAUCCCACAACCUCUCCAAUGAAAAAUUGACAUGCAUCUUGUGUGCUUCUUAUCAAAAUCCUGAAAAUUAAUCACAAAAGUUAUAUUUUUAUUAUAAAAAGAAGAAAGAAACUCCAUGAGUGAAGAAAAAAAAAAAAGACUUACAUUAAUAGUUUGGAUAAUCUAGAUUUCAAGUUGUCUAUAUUAGCUUGAUAUUUUUAUAAAUAUCAAGAUUUCAAGUUGUCUAUAGUAGCUUGAUAUCUUCUAAAAAAAACUCCAUCAACAUAUAUUUUAAUUUUACGUUAAUUAAUAAAUAGAAAAUCCAUUUUAGAAUUAAUUAAAGCAUUAUUUAUUGUUGCCAAAGAAGGAAGUAUUUAGCGAUAAGAAAAAAGUGUCUCAAAUAUAUGUUUAAAAAAAAAUAAUCAUGGUUGGUUGGACUGAUUGAAUUUUUCUUUUCUUUUUUCUUUUUUAAGAACUAAGACAAUUGGAUUGAUUGAGUAAUAAUAAAAUAUAUUUAUUUGGCAAAUGGCAGGUAGGCUUUCUUCUGGUGCAGAUUGAUUAGAGAGAAUAUAUAACAAUUUUAAGCUCGUAAGAUUCGGAACCUGCUUAUCUGUCGUGUGGGAAUCACUUCCGUGUCUUAUUUUUCUAGAAAAAUCUAGACCAUUGGAUUUACCAUUGGGCAGUAGAGAAAUGUUGAUCUUGAUUCCUGAUCAGGAUCGAAGUUUGAUUCUAUCUAACAUGAUAUCAGAUUGCGAAGCAAGCUAGUUGUGAGUAACUUGUUCUAUUUUGAUGGAAGAAACACAAGUUCUAAUAAAAAAUUCUAAGUAUACAUUUUUUUUUUUAAUUUUUUUAUUGUGAUCAAUAUAACUAGUCAAAUCUAUUUUUAAACAUUUUUUUUAAAUAUUUUGUUAACAAUGAUAUGAAAAUAUUCGAACCCCUCCUCAUAUAGUAAAGUGAAUUACUAUCCAACGAUCCAACUAACGUCUUCAAAUUGUAAAUUGCAAAUCGUGUGUUUGCUCCAUUACAGAGUUUCUUCAAUUUAAAAUAGAGAAUCGUUUGUGUUCUAGAUUAAUCGUGGGUCUAUAUCCAAAUCUAAAAAUUGACUAACUUGAUUUCUAUUAAAUUCUUAACCCUAACAAGAAAAAUAGAAGAUUAAAAAUGACUAAUUUGGUUUCUAUUAAUUUGAGUAACGAUUAAUAUUUAUCAUUCAAUAGUCACUUAUAUUAUCAAAAUCUUGGGUCGAAAAUAUUAGGAUAGGUGAUAAUUGGAAUUAAGUUGUAGAUAAGAUAGAAAUGGAUUUGGAGAGAGAUUGGAAUCCUGGGUAAAUCCGGUACACGUUGGUGUGUUAAAUUCUCGUUGACUUCACGUUGACCGAGGCAUUAUUGGAAGAAACAAGCAAGCUUAUUUUCUUCUCUCAUUUUUAACCUUUGUCUAAAUUUAUUGGUGUGAGGCCUUUGAGAUGGUAAAGUGUUAAAUCUGAGAAGAGUACCCACACUAUUACUCUUAUUUUAUCACGUUUUAUCACAAUAUUACUCUUAUAGUCAAUGUUUGAUUCGCACGAAAAAAAAUUUGCGAGGAUUGUGAGGGUUGAUGCAAUAUAAUUUAGAUGCAAAGUGUUUACAAGUGCGAUGCUUCGUAAGUGUACUCGAAUCAUUAUAAACUCACGUUAUUUUCAUAGUGAUUAUUUCAUUUGCACGUGAAUAUAAUCAUAUAUGUGGAGAAUUUUUUUUCCUAAAUUAUGGUCUUAUUUAGUAUUGAGAUGUUAUAUCUUUUAAAUUAUAAUUAAUAUUAGUAAAAAAACUGCAACUAUAAAAUAAAAGUUAAUAUUAUGUCCUGAAUAUAAUUGUUAAAUAAUAAUUUUGACAAAAUUAGUGAAGACAUACAGAUUUUUUUAUCAUAUAAGUGUAAAAUUCUAUCAACUUAGCUUUUAAGUUAUACAGCAUCUAUUGUUUACCAAAUACUUUAGUGUUGUAACUUUUAAGUUAUAACUGUCUAACCUUUAACCUCAAUCUCAAACGAGGCUUAUAAAGAUCAAGGAUUUCCUCAUAAAAAUUAUUACGUCAUGUGAUUGCUUAUUUAAUUUAUAUUUUCGUCAUUUAUCUUUAUUAAUUAAACAUGCACAUAUUAUUUCCUUUUAUUUUCUGCUUGGUAACCCGUAAAUACUAAUCCAGUACUACUAAUUUCAGACAGAAAAUUUUGAACUCUAGGCUGCAGUUUGACUCAAAAUGAUGGUCACUGGCUUCGCACCAUUUUACCGGUAUACAUUUCUACAAACUGAACAAGGCUAUUGAUUAUUAUUAUUAUUAUUUUAAUUUGUUUAUAAAUUACUAUUUUAAUUUUCACUUUUUAUUGGGUUGUUUAACGGAUUGGUGAAGCUGGUGGUCGUUGAUGCACUCACAAGGUACAAUUUUAUUUUAUAAUUUCAAAUUCGUAUUUUAAAACGCAGGUACAUUAUGUAUAUACAUAAUUAUUGAUUUUCGUAUGAGGGUGUUUUGAAAUAUUGCUAAAAGACCAAACUUUAAUAAACUAUUUUUGAUCUUUUUUUUUUUUCCUAAAGUUUGGGUGAUAUGCGCAUUUUAAAUUCACGUGGAACAAAAGUUAAUGUAUGUAUAAAAAUUCUUUUAUUUUACUGAGCAAAAUAGGCAAGCGAAAAAGUUUUGGCAAAUGAGUUGCAACUGAAUUCAAAACCAAUACAAUGCGAGCAUAGGAAAGAGGCCAGUGUUUAGGAUUUGAAUUUAGGUAGCGUUUACUUUUUGGAUUGGAUUGGGAAUCCUGGGGAGUGGGAAUCCUAGGAUUGAGAGUGUGGAGUGGGAGUGGGAGUAGGUUGUUUACUUACACUGGAAUGGAAGCAUGGAAUGGAGAUCAGAAUCCAAUUUAUGUGUUUACUUUGUCUUGGAUUGGGAGUAAAUAGUUUCAAAUUACAAUUUUAUCCUUAUUUAAAGAAUUAUAAUUUUAAUUACAAAACUAAUAAAAUAUAUAUUUAAUGAAUAAUAUUUAUUUUAUUAUAUUUGUAAAUUUAUUAUAAUUAUUAAUAUUCUUAAUUAUGAACAAUAAAUUAUUAAUUGUAAUUUUAAUAUAAAAUGAAAUGUUAUUUUAUUUAAUAUAAUUAUAUUAAAUUUAUUAUUAUAUAAAAUAAUAAUAUAAUAUUAUUUAGUACAAAAUUAAUAUUUUCUUAGAAUAAAGUAUUUAUUAUUAUUAUUAAAUAAAAUAUAGUACUAUUAUUUUUAAAAUAAAUAUAAUAAUAUUAUAUUUAUUAAUUCUCUAUUAAUAUAAUAAUAUUAUUUUAAAAUAAUUUUAACUUAGAAUCAAUGUAAAUUAUUAUUUAGUUAAAUAUAAUAUUAUUAUUUAAAUAAAUAUAAUAUUAUUAUUUAAAUAAAUAUAAUAUUAUUUAUUUUAUUUUAUUAAUUAUAAAACAUAAAAUAAAAAAAAAAAGGGUAGAAAUGGGAGAGGUGGGAGUGGAUUCCCACUCCCACCUCCCCCAAUGGGAGUCCCACUCCCACUCCCCACUCCAAAAAUGGGUGGGGCCCACGGAGUGGGACUCCCAAUUCCUUCUCAUUUUAAGUAAGUAAACGCUGGAGUGGGAGGAAUCCACACUCCUCACUCCCACUCCAGCAAGUAAACACAACAUUAGUAUUAAGCUGAAUUUUAUGGUAAGCUCUUUUAUAGUACUGUGAUUGAUAAGCUCAGCCCCGGAUUUGCUUUUGCUUUUGCUUUUACUUCAAGUGAAAGAGAGAGGAAACCUUUUGUUUUUUUCUUUGGUUUUCAACUAUGUUACCUAUACAAAGAGUCAAGAUACCUGCCAUAAGUGAUGGUGUUAAAAAGAUUAAGCAGCGCACACAAUCUUACUGUCGUCUAGACCAUCCAGUGAUGACUCUAGUCUUUUGGUUACGUUAGCUUUAGUUGAAAGAAGGGCCAAUUUAACAAAGACUAGAUUUGAUGGCUUACUAUGUUUAAUGUAAUGCUAAUUCUCAGGGAAUCUAAUGUUAUAACUUAUAAGACGAUCUCCUAUGAUGAAUAACAGUAACACAUUACUGUGAUUGAGAAAACUCAGUUACAAUAAACUAUUCAUUUACUCAUUGCGGAGAUUGAAUAGCAAAUAGAGAAUAGAAUGAAGCAGAGGAAUCUCAUUGCCAAUAAAAUUGACCCUCUUUAAUGUUAUAUGGCACAGGUGUGGAGGAAGAACAAGUUACUUGCAGUUUUUAUUGUAAAAUAUACAGGUAUGACCAUGAUCAUUACAGUUGGGUUUUGAUAAUUUCAGAUGCUUUUUAAAAAAAAAAAAAAUUAUGACAUCUUUGAUUUACGGUAGUUUUGCAGAAAAAAAAAUAUAAAAAUUAAGAGGGAUGAGUUAAACUGACGAUUACAAUCAUUCCAGCAAUGCUGAUGAGUGAUACAUCACUUGAAAUUUACUUGUCAGUUGCUGAAAUGAUGAAAAAAAAACAAUAAACGAUAACAGUAAUAAUGUUCCGUUGCUGAAAUUCAAUUUUGACUUUCUACUCUUGGCUUUUAUGGAAAGUAAAAUGACUUGUAUAUUAUCCUCAUACAAUCCACUCUACAUAAUGAUAUCAUUUUAAUAAGGCAAUGGCUGAUGAUCUCCAUUUAAAAACUACAUCAUUUUUUUUGCUUCAUUUAACUUUUUGGUUGUUGAAAAUAACCUUAAUUAUCAAAUAAUUGGAGAAAGAGUAAAGAACAUUUAACAAAUUUAUGUGCAAAAAAAAAAAAGGAGAAGUUGAAGAGAAAGGGUGCUUGCAGAAGUGGGUGUCAAAGAUAAAUCGGUCCAUAAGAAUUAUUGUGGUUAUUUUUUUGGCAAUAUAAGAACUUAUGCGAUAGCAUUUUUUAUGGGUGCAUAUAACCUCCCUUUAAAAAUAUAUAUAAUAAUUACUGCUUAAUAUAGUAUUAAAUACAAAAAUAUCAAUAUUUGACUACUUAAAUUUAUAUCAUUAGGUCCUUAAAAUUUAAAAUGGAAGAUAUGAAAGGAAAUAUAUAUAAAUUUCAUUGUCCUGGUAAAGGGCCCUCUUAUAAUCUUAUAAUAUUUGAACUUUGAUAGAUUUUUUGAAACAAAUGUACUUUUAUUUGUGUACAAUCAAUAUUUACUCAUUUAUUAUAUUUUAAUUUAUUAACUAUUAAUCAUGUAAGUAUACUUAGUCAGAAAAAUUAUAUCAAGAGAAAAUUCUAAUUUCACGCAAAAACAAAUACCAAAACAAAUAUCUCAAUUUCUAUACUAUUCACUUUCCUGUAGAAUCAAUUAUUUAAAAUGCAAGUUUGUGGCUACAGAAAACUCGCCAAAGAAAAAAGAUAAUAACAAUUGAGCAUUGAUAGCAAAACUAAUGCAUCCAAUUCUUCUUGACUUGAUGAGAUGGCGCCAUAACGUAGACACAAGUACCUAAAUUGACCGGCACUGAGUGAUGUGAAUACUACCAGCCAGUUCAUCUCUUCCAGUCUUGCUUAAUCACAAUCACAAACACCACGAGAUCGACAUUUGCAUUAUAUAUAUCUUCUGCAAUCGAAACACCUUGCAUUACCAAAUAAGCCCGUAACAGACAAAGCAAUCUUUCAUGGAGAGAAACCUUAGUCUCAGUAUGAUCACUGUGUCAUUAACCUACUGCCUGCUUCUUUGCUUGGUUGCUGCAGCAGCAGCAGCGGCAAGCAACAAUAUUACCACAGACCAACAAGCUCUUCUUGCCCUGAAAGAUCAUAUAAUUUAUGAUCCUACCAGCCUUUUAGCUCACAAUUGGACCUCGAAUACCUCUGUUUGUACCUGGAUUGGCAUCACUUGUGAUGCCAAUAGCCAUAGAGUCAAAACCUUAGAUAUUUCUCAAUUCAAUCUACAAGGCACCAUCCCUCCUCAACUUGGAAAUCUCUCUUCACUCACAACACUUAAUCUUAGUCAUAACAGGCUUUCUGGAAGUGUUCCCUCCUCCAUCUACACCAUGCAUACGCUAAAAUUUCUUGACUUCACUGAUAACCAGCUCUCUGGUUCAGUGUCUUCCUUCGUCUUCAACAUGUCUUCAAUAUUAGUAAUUCGUUUGACCAAUAACAUAUUUUCUGGUGAGCUUCCGAAAAAUAUUUGCAACUAUCUUCCUUAUUUGAAGGCCCUUUUCUUAAACAAAAACAUGUUUCAUGGCAAAAUUCCUUCUGCUUUAUCAAAGUGCAAACAACUGCAACAAUUAAAUUUGCAGUUCAAUAAUUUAUCCGGUGCAAUACCAAAAGAAAUCGGCAACUUGACUAUGCUCAAAGGGAUAUAUCUCCUCUACAACAAACUCCACGGUAUGUUCACAAUACUAUAUAAAUAUUUUAAUUUAUCACUUAUUAUCUUUCUUGAAUAAUUUAGUUAAGAUCUUGUAAGAGAGAUUUUUUGCAUCUACGUUAAUUUACCAGGUGAGAUACCCCACGAAAUCGCUAAUCUUCCAAAUCUAGAGGCUUUAGCGCUUGGAAUCAACAACGUAGUUGGUGUGUUACCAGCUCCCAUCUUCAACAUGUCAACACUGAAGGUACUUAUCCUCAUAAAUAACUCUCUCUCCGGAAGCCUUCCAUCAAGAGUAGACCUUUCACUUCCAACUGUUGAGCAACUUAACUUGGCACUUAAUAGAUUUUCUGGAACCAUUCCUAGUUCCAUCACCAAUGCUUCUAAGCUCACCUUUCUAGAGUUGGGAGCAAACACAUUUUCGGGGUUUAUUCCAAACACAAUUGGUAAUUUAAGAAACCUUAAGUGGCUCGGCUUGGCUAAUAACUCCUUGACAUCUUCAACCUCAAAAUUGAGCUUUCUUUCCUCUUUGGCAAAUUGCAAGAAAUUAAGAUUCGUAAACGUAAUAGGCAAUCCACUGGACGGCUUCCUUCCAAGUUCAAUAGGUAAUCUUUCUGUGUCUUUGGAAACACUUGGCAUCGGCAAUUGCAGUAUUAGUGGCAACAUUCCUCCAGCAAUUAGCAAUUUAAGCAACUUGUUGACCUUAGUAUUAGACGGCAAUAAAUUGACUGGACCAAUCCCAACUACAUUCGGCCAACUGCAGAAACUCCAAGGCUUAGAUCUUGCAUUCAAUAAGUUGGUAGGUUCAUUCCCAGAUGAGCUUUGCCAUCUGGCAAGGCUGGAUCAAUUGGUCUUAUUUGGCAAUAAGCUUUCAGGAUCUAUACCUUCAUGCUUAAGUAACCUCACUUCUCUAAGAUCUCUCUAUUUAGGGUCCAAUAAGUUUACUUCUGUUUUUCCCUCAACCUUCUGGAGCCUAAAAGACAUCUUGUUCUUUGACUUUUCAUCAAAUUUCUUGGUUGGUCCUCUUUCUUUAGAUAUAGGAAAUUUGAAGGUGCUUCUAGGAAUAAGUUUAUCAAAAAAUAAUUUAUCCGGUGAUAUCCCAGCCACAAUUGGAGGACUGAAAGAUCUUCAAUUUAUGGACCUAGCAUAUAAUAGAUUGGAAGGCCCAAUUCCUAAAUCAUUUGGUGACUUGAUAAGUUUAGAAGUUCUGAAUUUAUCAAAUAAUAAAAUCUCUGGGUCUAUUCCAACAUCCAUGGAGAAACUCUUUUACCUCGGAGAGUUAAAUCUCUCUUUCAAUAAACUAGAAGGUGAGAUUCCUAGUGGAGGAACUUUUGCCAACUUCACAGCUGAGUCAUUUAUGGGAAAUGAGUUUUUGUGUGGUUUACCAAAUCUUCAAGUCCAACCAUGCAAAGUUAGCAAGCCGAGGACAGAACAUAAAUCAAGGAAAAAGAUACUUCUCAUUGUGAUUGUUUUGCCAUUGAGUAUUGCUCUAACAAUAGCAAUCACUCUAGCUCUCAAAUCUAAGCCGAUCGAAUGUGGAGAAAGAAGCACAGUGUUGUCAAAUGAUAGUAUCUUGUCAUCACAAGCAACACUAAGAAGAUUUUCAUACUUAGAACUUUUACAAGCAACAGAUAAUUUUGCUGAAAACAGCAUAAUUGGCAGAGGAGGUUUCGGUUCCGUUUAUGGAGCAAGACUUGAAGAUGGGAUGAAGAUUGCAAUAAAAGUGUUUCACCGGCAAUGUGCAAGCGCAUUGAAGAGUUUUGAGGCUGAAUGUGAAGUGUUAAAAAAAAUUCGCCAUCGAAACCUUAUCAAAGUUAUCAGCAGUUGCUCGAACGAUGACUUCAAAGCAUUAGUCCUAGAAUACAUGUCCAACGGGAGCUUAGGGGAUUGGCUGCAUUCGAGCAAUUACGUGCUGAAUAUUUUUCAAAGGUUGAACAUAAUGAUUGACGUUGCAUCAGCUUUAGAAUACCUCCACUUCGAUCAUUCAACUCCUAUUAUUCAUUGUGACUUAAAGCCUAGUAAUGUAUUGUUGGACGAAAAUAUGGUUGCUCAUUUGAGUGAUUUUGGCAUAGCAAAGCUUUUAAGUGGAGAAGAUGAGUCUACGAUGCGAACAAAAACCCUUGCCACUAUAGGUUAUAUGGCACCAGGUUUGCUUCAAACAACUUUUUUUUUUAAGUUCAUUUUAAAUUUUCUAAAUCAUUGAUUUUUACGAUCCUCAUAUCAAAUUGUUAUUGAUUAUUUAUCUAAUUGUGAAAUUAAUUUGAUUCAUAGAGUAUGGCAUAGGAGGAGAAGUAUCUACAAAAAGCGAUGUUUACAGCUACGGGAUUAUGUUGAUGGAAACUUUUACCAAGAAAAAACCCACAGAUGAAAUUUUUGUUGGAGAAUUGAGCUUAAAGCAUUGGGUUAAUGACUUGCUUCCUAAUUCAUUAGUGGAAGUUGUGGACAAAACUCUGCUAAGUGGAGAGGAAAAACAUUUUGCAUCAAAGGGGCAAUGUCUGUUGUCUAUCUUUAGUUUGGCUCUGGAGUGUACAAUGGAAUCACCGGAAAAGAGGAUUAAUGCAAAAGAUAUUGUUACCGGAUUACUCAAGAUAAGAGACACAUUGAGUAAAAGGAUAGGAAAUUUAAGUUAAUUUCGUUUGCUUUCAUUGAUAGUUAAUUCGAAUUCAUGUAAUAAGUGCAAGAAUCUUAUAUCUUUUCCUUUGAUAUAUUCUUUUUCUUGAGAAAACUGUUGUAGUCAUCUUGUUUCCAUGGGAAGAGUUGAUUUAGUUCUUCCAAAAAAUGCUACUGAUGACCUUUGUUUAAUACUUUCUCUUUUUUUGCACGUGUUUAGGUAGAACAGUGGUUUGGCUGCAGGCUAAUAAGUCAAGCUACGCCAAAAGCGUAUGAUUUAAUUUAUUAAACAUAACUUCAAGUUCAAGAAGUGUUUCUCAUUGCCACCAAUGCUUUGGACACCUGUUGGAAGGUUUGUUGUCCUCAGCUUUUGUUUAGAGCAAAAGUUCGAGUCCCAUAAAGGCUCAAACAUUCCUUUCCUUCAUCCCGAGGGCGCCUUCUGUCCUCUGUUUUCUGUUUCCACACACAAAUAGCAAAAAGAAAUUAGAAUGACAACUGGGACAUAUAUAAGAGUGAAAUAAUUAAAAAAAUUAUGCUUUUUUGUCUGUCGUGUUAAAAUCGUAAGUACCGAAGUACUGUGAAAGAGAUUAAUUUACAGAAACUGAAGCCAAGGGUUCAAAAAAAAACUAUUGAUGUAGCUAGGAUGCAAUGUCAUAUUCAUACAGAGAUGAAGUAUAUUAUUUACGGCUGGUAAAGACUAGGAAUUGAUGUAGCUAGAAUCCAAAGAUGAUAAGGUAUGUUGUGCACUAUUGUUUUAUUCUACGGUCAAUCUUGACCCUUGGUGCUUGGCUCUCAAUCUUGUCCAUUGAUCUUCUCUGAUCUUGGAAACUUCAAGACCUUUCACUCUCAUGCCUUAUUAUUGGUGUCUUCCAUGCUGUAGCUUUCAAAUACAAGCUUUCCCGCCAACUUGCCAAUUAUUUGUCCGUUGGUGCAUUUUAUCAAACAGUUUGGAUACUUAUACCAAACGCCUUCUGUUUUAACUCCCCCCCUCAAGCUCAAGCAUCUGGGAAGACAUUAAUAAGCUUGUUUCUCAAGUAUAUAUAUCUGAAAAUUAAAUUUUAUAAAUUAUAUUCGGACUCUACAUUUUCUAAUGAACAUUGGUUUGGCUUAUAAGCUUAUUAUACUCAGGUUUGGUAGGAGCCAUAUCACAAUGUUAACGCUAACCAGCAGUACUGCCAAAGCUGGCCAACUCAGCCUGCAAGUUCAUAGCAACCAUAGUUACAGUCCUAGUCCGGUACAAAAAUCGUAAAUAUCAUUUACAUUACAAUGGUGUGGGGGGGGGGGGGGGGGUUUGUUGGGUGGCUGGAGAGGGAAUCAACAAAGAUCUAGAACGAAGGGUAGGCUUGUAUCCGUAACCCAUGUCACAGUGUUAAUGCUAACCGUGGACCUUAUUAUAUUAGUUGCUGGACUAUUAUUACUUUUGAAUUGCCAUCUUUGAAUUUACGUUCAUUUCUGCCUCGACAAGAUGUUUGUAAAAAUAUGCUAAUUAUUAAUGUGCCGUGUACAAAUAAGCAUGUUACUGUGCAAGGAUUGUAGUCAUGAUACAGUGGUGCAAAAUGUACAUGCUACUUCUUCUUUUCCUCAGUUAGGAUCACCGUCGUCACCAUUUAAUUCUAAGUCCACCCAUGCGGCCUAUGCAAUUGAAAUCAUGUGACCAUGUAAUUUUAGGUUCUGAUCUUCCUUGUGGGGUUAAACCUCAAAACUGUGACCAUUUUGGGACUUUUAAUCAGUUCCAAUCAUUUUCUGGUUCCCAUUCGUCCACCCAAGCCUUGAUUCCCCCGAUAUAGCAUUGCAAUAUAUAUAGGAAUAUUAAGGUUGUGUACAGUUUUUUUCUUUUCUGUUUUUAAUUUGAUAUAAAUUAUCAAUCAUGAAUCUACAUAAAGUUUCAACUAGGCUACUACCACAAUAAACAUUUGGAUGAACUAUUAUUGAAACCUUAUUGAGAAGUAGGACAUGUCGCAUACCAAUGCACUGACAUAUCUUCAAAUAGUGGUAACUCCACACAACAUGGCACAAUAAAUUAAGAGUUAUAUAGAUAAAAUCUUUCACUCUUUGGUAAUCAUCAAUGUCGGCAUGACAAUGCGUCCCACAAAUAUGGCUCCUUAUCAAAAUUCAUAAAUCAAAACAAAAAUAGAGAAUCAUAUUUGUUCUAGAUUGUAGUGAUGGUUGUUGAUGCACUCACAAUUUACAAUUUUAUUUAAUAUCUUCAAAUUCGCAUUUUAAAAUGCCCAAAUGUUUGUGUAUACAUAAUUAGUAAUCGAUUCUCAAGCAUGGCCAUUUAAAAGCAUUGCUGAAAGACAAAAUUUUAAUUUACUAUUUUUUGUCUUUUAAUUUUCUUUAAGUUUUUAAUGAUUCCGCAUUUUAAAAUCCUGUGGAACGUGUAUGUAAAAUUCUUUUAUCUUUUAGAGGAAAAUGGGCAAGAGAAGAAGAUUUGGCAAAGGAAUUGCAACCGCAUUUGGAGCUAGUUUUAAUUUUGUCUUUUAAUUCUUUUACACUUGGCUUUUGUUAUUGAUGUCAACUUCGAUGUGUGUGAAGACUCGAGCUCACUCCCUUAUGAGCUAGUUUUAUUUUUCUACUUUCACAUUAAGAAAAAUACUCCUAUUUUUAAGGAAAAGUCAAGUACCUGUAGUUGUGAAGACUCGAGCUCACUCCCUUAUGAUAAAUCUUCAUAUUAAUUACGUAAAUAUCCUCUAAAAUUUUAAAUUAGCUAUUCAAAAUUUGAUGUUAUACGGGUAUUUCAUUUAUUUGAGUAGGGGUUGGGGGUCAAUUGGAUACAAAUUCAAAAUUAUCCUUACUUGAGAUGGUGAUAAAAAUUGGGGAUUUAAUUUGGAUGUCAUUAGCUACAAAUAUUAAACUCAUACAUUUAAUUCAAAAUUGGAAAGCUGAUAUAUGCGCAUCAUCCCACAACCUCUCCAAUGAAAAAUUAACACGUUUCUUGUGUGCAUUUGAUCAGAAUCCUGAAAAUUAAUCACAAAAUUGUCCUGGAAAAAAAAAUGCUUACAUAAAUGGUUUGAAAAAUCUAGAUUUCAAGUUGUCUAUAUUAGCUUGAUAUUUUUAUAAAUAGUCAUCCUCUCAAAAAAAUUCCAUCAAAAUAUAUUUUAAUUUUAUGUUAAUUCAUAAACAUGAAAAAAUCAUUUCAGAAUUAAUUAAAACAUAAUUUAUUGUUUCUCAAAAAAGGUAGAACUUAGUGAUAAGAAAAAAGUAUCUCAAAUAUAUGUAAAAAAAAAAAAAUCUUGGUUAGUUGGAAUGAUUGAAUUUGUUUUUUUUUUCUUUUUUAAGAAUUAAGACAAUCGGAUUGAUUGAGUAAUAAUAAUAUAUAUUUAUUUGGCAAAUGGCAGGUAGGCUUUCGUCUCAUGCAGAUUGAUUAGAGAGAAAAUAUAACAAUUUUAAGCUCGUCAGAUUCGAAGCUGCUUUCCUGUCGUGUGGGGAUCACUUCCGUGUCUUAUUUUUCUAGAAAAAUCAGGACCAUUGGAUUUAUGCGAAUCGUACUGAACAUUGGAAUUGAUGUAUAAGAAAAAAAUUCUGUAGUUUAAGAAGAACAAAAAGGCAUGUUGAAUAGAUUACAAUAGUUUAAGGAAAAAAAUUAUUCAAUUGGGAAUUUUUUUUUCUUUAAUUUUUGUUGUACUUGAUUGAGAUUUCUCCUUAGUCCUUAGAGUUUUAAGUUUGGAAACCGUAGGAUCAGUAAUUUCGUACUUCCUUUGCAAGCUGAGUAUAAGGAUGAAAUUCUUUUAAGAAAUUAAAAAAGAUAAAAAAAAAGCAUACCAAUAGGUAAUUAUAAAUAACCACAAAUAAAUAUAAACAAAAUGUUUAUGAAGUAAAUUAAACAUGCUCAUAUUAUUUUCUUUUAUUUUCUGCUUGGAAACCCAUAAAUACACUAAUCCAGUAUUACUAAUUUCAGACAGAAAAUUUUGAAUUUAACCAGUAUACACUAAUCCAGUAUUAUUUUUAUUAUUAUUUUAAUUUGUUUAUAAAUUACUAUUUUAAUUUGUUUAUAAAUUACUAUUUUAAUUUUCACUUUUUAUUGGGUUGUUUAACGGAUUAGUGAAGCUGGUGGUCGUUGAUGCACUCACAAGGUACAAUUUUAUUUUAGAAUUUCAAAUUCGUAAUUUAAAAUGCAGGCACAUUAUGUAUACAUAAUUAUUGAUUUUCAUAUGUGGGUGUUUUGAAAUAUUGCCAAAAGACCAAACUUUAAUAAACUAUUUUUGAUCUUUUUUUUUCCUUUGUACCUAAAGUUUGAGUGAUAUCCGCAUUUUAAAUUCAUGUGGACCAAAAGCUAAUGUAUGCACAAAAUUCUUUUAAUUUUUUCCGAGAAAAAUGGGUAAGAGAAGAAGAUUUUUCUCUUGAAAAAGAAAAAAUAAUACGUUGCAAGCAUAGGAAAGAGGCCAGUGUUUUGGAUUUGAAUUUAGUAUUGGGUUGAAUUUUAUGCUAAGCUCUUUUAUAAUACUUUAUAGAAUAAAAAUGUAAGGGAUAUUUGGCUAGGCAUGUACUUUAUAGAAUAAAAAUGUAAUAAUGUAAGUCAGUGCAAUGAUCUGCUGUCAUAGUAGUUAUAAAUAUUUAUGUGUAAUACAGUAACAUGAUGCUUAAUCAGUUAAAAAAAAAUUGUAUAUCUUUUUUUAUUUUUUUUAUUGUGAUCAAUAUAACUAGUCAAAUUUAUUUUUAAAUAUUUUUUUAAAAAUAUUUUUAUCGUGUGUUUGCUCCAUUACAGGGUUUCUUCAAUUUAAAAUAGAGAAUCAUUUGUGUUCUAGAUUAAUCGUGGGUCUAUAUCCAAAUCCAAAAAUUGACUAACUUGAUUUCUAUUAAGUUCUCAACCCUAACAAGAAAAAUAAAAGAGUAAAAAUGACUAUUUUGGUUUCUAUUAAUUUGAGUAACGCUUAAUAUUUAUCAUACAAUAGUCACUUAUAUUAUCAAAAUCUUGGGUCGAAAAUAUUAGGAUAGGUGAUAAUUGGAAUUAAGUUGUAGAUAAGAUAGCCUUUCAAAAAAAAGAAAAGAAAAAAAGUUGUAGAUAAGAUAGAAAUGGAUUUGGAGAGAGAUUGGAAUCCUGGCUAAUCCGGUGCACGUUGUUGCGUUAAAUUCUCGUUGACUUCACGUUGACCGAAGCAUUAUUGGAAGAAACAAGCAAGCUUAUUUUCUUCUCUCAUUUUUUACUUUUGUCUAAAUUUAUUGAUGUGAGCCCUCUGAGAUGGUAAAGUGUUAAAUCUGAGAAGAGUACCCACACACCCAUUUGUUGGAGGAUUAACAAUUAAAACACACUAUUUUAUUUCUUCAACAACACUCCUCACCAAUUACAACUCUUAUUUUUCACUCUCUACACCUUAGAGAUUUUGCUGCUUCACUUGAUGUUUAAACCAAAAGGGAGAGGGGGUAUUUAUAUAUGAAACAAACUAAUCACAACCAUUCAUUUAUUCAACUAAUAAACACAUCCUCACCAUCCAUUAAAACCUACCACUCACCUACUUCACCAACCACACCUAACACACCUAACACAAAUAAUUCAAACCUCACCAACCAUACCUACUCAUGGAACCUUCCAUGAGUUGGGCUUGAUUUAUUCAUCUUGGAUCAAGUUUAUGAUCCAACACCUCUCCUUAAACUUGAUCCUGUGACACCAAGCAAACUUCUGAAUCUUACAAAGUCUUCUUGUUUGAGUGGUUUAGUGAAGAUAUCAGCUGCUUGAUCUUGUGAUUUUACAUACUUGAUUUGCACUUCUUUUCUUGCAAUACACUCUCUUAUGAAAUGAUAGCGAGUGGCUAUGUGUUUACUUCGAUCAUGAAAGACUGGAUUCUUGGAUAGGGCAAUUGCUGAUUUGUUAUCAACACAAAUCUCAGUUGGCUCUUCUUGUGCCAAACUCAACUCCUUUAGCAAAUUUCUGAGCCAAAUUGCAUGACAAACACUUGAUGUGGCAGCUACAUAUUCAGCUUCACAGGUGGAUAGCGUGACAAUUGGUUGCUUCUUUGACAUCCAUGUGAAAGCAGUAUCUCCUAUGAAGAACACAAAUCCUGUGGUGUUAUUUCGAUCAUCUACAUCUCCACCCCAAUCGCUAUCGCUAUAUCCAACAAGCUUGUAGUCAUUAGAAAAUGAGUAUAGCAAGCCGAAAUUAGUUGUACCUUUGAUGUAGCGAAGGAUUCUUUUUGCAGCUUUAAAAUGGGUGGUCUUUGGAUUCUCCAUGUAUCGGCUCACAAGUCCAACAACAUAAAGGAUAUCUGGUCUUGUGCAUGUCAAAUAACGUAGGCUUCCAACCAAACUUUUAAAGAAUGUUGGAUCUAUAUCUUCGCCUUCAUCAUGUUUGGAUAACUUGACUCCGCAUUCCACUGGCGUGCUUAUAGGCUUACAAUCAUUCAUCUUGAACUUCUUGAGAAUCUCCUCUGCAUAGCUUUCUUGGGAGAUAAAUAUGCUUUCUUCCUUUUGCUUGACUUCAAUGCCGAGGUAAUAUGCCAUCAGUCCGAUGUCAGUCAUCUCGAACUCUUUGAUCAUCACUCUCUUGAACUCUUCAAACAAGCCUGGAUUACUUCCAGUGAAAAUGAGAUCAUCCACAUACAGGCACACAAUCAAAAUAUCUCCAUAUUUUUCUUUGACGUAGAGAGCAUGUUCAUAUGGGCAUUUGGUGAAGCCUUUCUCUUGAAAAUACUUGUCAAUUCUGCUAUUCCAUGCCCUUGGUGCUUGCUUUAACCCAUAAAGAGCUUUCUUCAAUCUCAAAACUUUGUCCUCGUGUCCUUUCACCACAUAGCCUAAUGGUUGUUCGAUGUAAACUUCUUCUUCAAGGAAUCCAUUCAAGAAAGCAGACUUCACAUCCAUUUGAAAAAUCUUCCAUUUGUUCUGAGCAGCCAAAGAAAUAAUAAGUCUAAUAGUUUUAAGUCGAGCUACAGGAGCAAAUACCUCGUCAUAGUCUAUGCCAGCCUUUUGACUAUAGCCUUUUGCAACUAGCCUCGCCUUGUGCCUUUCAAUUUCUCCCUUCGCAUUUCUUUUUGUUUUAUACACCCAUUUGACACCGAUCGCCUUGUGACCUUUUGGAAGAGUAGUAAGCUCCCAAGUAUCAUUCUUCACAAUGGCUUUGAUUUCUUCAUCCAUUGCAAUUCUCCACUUCUCAUCUAGUGCAGCUUCUUGGAAGUUGACUGGCUCACAAUCAGCAAAGAGGCAAAAGAGAGUGAGAUUAUCAUGUCUCUCAGUUACCUCAUAGAGAUCUUGAAGACUCCUUGCACGUUCUUCGGUUCUUUCAUUUAAGAAAGACGGCGGUGAAUCUCCGCAUGUGGUUGGUGCUGGUGAGAUAGGUGGAGUGGCAGGCUCUUGUUGUUCGUCUACUUGUUUUACCUGUGUAUGAUCAUCUUCUUCAAUGGGAAAGAAGUUGAAGUCAUCCACACCAGAGCCAAAAUCUCAUUCUCCUUCUUCAUCAAAAAUUACAUCUCGACUGAUCACAAUCUUUCCGUUGUUUGGAUUGUAAAGCUUGUAUCCUUUGGAGUUGUUGUCGUAGCCGAUGAAGAUGAACAACUCACUUUUGUCAUCCAGCUUGGCUCUACUUUCGUCUGGUACAUGUACAUGGGCAAUGCUUCCGAAAACUCUUAGAUGGGUGAUGCCAGGUUUUCUUCCACUCCAAGCUUCUUGUGGCGUCUUGCCCCACACGCUUCUUGUUGGAGAUCGAUUGGAUAAGUAGAUUGCACAUGCAACUGCUUCAGCCCAAAAUUCUUUAGGUAGCCUCUUACUCUUAAGCAUGCUUCUUGCCAUGUCGAGGAUGGUUCUGUUCUUCCUUUCUGCAACACCAUUUUGUUGGGGGGAUCUUGGAACUGUCAAAGGGCGUCGAAUUCCAUUUGCUUCACAAAACUCUAAAAAUUCUUUGGAAGUGAACUCUCCACCUCGAUCAGAUCUCAUGGCUUUAAUCUGGUAUCCACUUUCUUUUUCAACUGCAGCUUUAAACUUCUUGAAAGCUUCAAAGACUUCUGAUUUUUGCUUCAAAAAAUACACCCAAGUUUUUCUUGAAAAAUCAUCUAUAAAAAGAAUGAAGUAGUUACUUUUACCAAGGGAGUUUGGCUUGAAUGGACCGCACACAUCAGUAUGAAUGAGCUCGAGUGGCUUCUGAGCUCUUGAGUUUGACUCCUUUGGAAAGCUCUUUCUGAACUGCUUGCCAAGUAAACAUCCUUCACAAAGUUGAUCAGGGUGAUUGAUGUAUGGUAAGCCUUUCACCAUGUUCUUCUUAGAGAGUAGCUCCAGUCCUCUAAAGUUGAGAUGCUCAUAUCGAAGAUGCCAAGUCCAGGAUUGAUCUUUGUGACAGGCUUUGAGACAUUUUGCAACAUCAUUUUGAAUAUUUAAAGGAAACAUUCUAUUCUUUGACAUUCUCACUUUUGUAUUUAGAUUUCCUUUUUCAUCUCUUAGAAAAAGACUAUAAUCUUUUAAGUGAAUAUCAUAGCCCUUUUUCUAAAAGUUGACCUAAACUAAGAAUGUUGCUUUUCAUAUUGGACACAUAGUAAACAUUCGAAAUUAUUUGGUGGCUACCAUCUUUUGCACGAAAAAGAAUGUUACCUCUACCCUUCACUGGUACUUUUGAAUCAUCUCCAAAAGUGACACUGCCAUUCACAAAUUCACUUAGUUGCACGAACAUGCUUCUGUUUCCACUCAUAUGAUUGCUAGCACCUGUGUCAAGAUACCAUGUAUUUUCUUGACCUCCAUUUGUGUCAUUGCGUGCUAGUAAAAGUGUGUCAUCUUCACCAUUUUUCUCUUCAGCAUAGUUCACUCUCUCUUUAAUUCUGGUGCUUGGAGCUCUGCAUUCUGAAGCAUAAUGCCCAAACUUUUGACAAUUAUAGCACUGUACUUGGGAUUUGUCAUACCUCGAUCUUGAAUUGCCUCUGCCUUGUUCUCUGGUUGAGCUUUCUCCUUUGGCAUAAUUGGAGUUGUUGUUGUUGAAAUUCCAACCUCGUCCAUGACCACGACCUCUACCUCGUCCUCGACCUCUACCUCGGACAUAGUGCCUUCUCUCAUUGUCGGAGCUUUCUUCUCUUUUCUUUGGAUUGACUUCCAUCUUGAGAAGUUGUUCUUCGAUUCCUUGCUUCUUUUUUUGUUUUUCUUCAUAGGCUUGCAACCUUCCUUGAAGUUGCUCGAUCGUCAUAUCCUCCAGAUCUCUUGUUUCUUCAAUUGUCAUAACAAUAUGAUCAAACUUCGAGUCUACUGAUCGAAGUAUCUUUUCAAUGAUCCUUACCUCUUUUAACUCCUCGCCAUUUCUUUUUAAUUCAUUGGAAACGGUCACAACUCGAGUAAAGUAGUCAGAAAUUGACUCCGACACCUUCAUGUGUAAGGACUCAAAUUCUCCUCGUAAUGUUUGGAGACGAACCUUCUUAACUUGCUCUGCUCCUUUGUAAGAGGUCUUUAGUUUCUCCCAUGCUUCUUUUGAGGAGGUUGUACCAGCAAUCUUUUCAAAAGCAUCUUCAUCUAAUGAUUGAAAGAUGAGAUACUUUGCUUUAUUCUCUUUCUUCUUCAAGUCUUUUAAAUUCUCCUUCUGCGCCGCAGUUAAAGUGGCUUCAUUUUCUGGCACAAUAAAGCCUUUCUCCACGACAUCCCAUACGUCAUGUGCACUCAAUAGAGCCUUCAUUUUAAUACUCCAAUUGUCAAACUUACUUCCUUUUAAUUGUGGAACUUGAAAUGACAUCAUCAUACCACCGUUUGCCAUAACUCACAAAUUGAGUGAGAAUUUGGAGAUUCUGAAUGCACAGAUGGAUCCGGCACGUCGAAAAACCUUGGGAAGGACUCGAGUCAACUUUCGGUCAACGGUCAACGUCGGUCAACGGUCAACACCGGCUUGGUAGUCUCGGUUCGGUCCGGAUUGGUUCAGCUCGAGUUGGCUCGGUUCGACUUGAUUCGGUUCAGCUCGGCUCGGCUUGGUUCAGUUCGGCUCAGCUUGGUUCAACUCGGUGAGUCGACUCAGCUUCAGGACAUAAAACUUCCGGCGGCAGGUGUGGGCGCGUACGGUCUCGGAUCGGGAUGAUUUUUGCGGCGUCACGUUCCUCUCGUCGAGAUCUUCGAUUUGAUAUGCUAUAUGACUAUAUAUAGCAUCAAACACUAGCUCUGAUACCACUUUGUUGGAGGAUUAACAAUUAAAACACACAAAAAACACACUAUUUUAUUUCUUCAACAACACUCCUCACCAAUUACAACUCUUAUUUUUCACUCUCUACACCUUAGAGAUUUUGCUGCUUCACUUGAUGUUUAAACCAAAGGGGAGAGGGGGUAUUUAUACAUGAAACAAACUAAUCACAACCAUUAAUUUAUUCAACUAAUAAACACAUCCUCACCAUCCAUUAAAACCUACUACUCACCUACUUCACCAACCACACCUAACACACCUAACACAAAUAAUUCAAACCUCACCAACCAUACCUACUCAUGGAACCUUCCAUGAGUUGGGCUUGAUUUAUUCAUCUUGGAUCAAGUUUAUGAUCCAACACCAUUAUCCUAUUACUCUUAUUUUAUCACAUGCAGAGACGUCAACGUUUGAUUCGCACGGAAAAAAAUUUGCGAGGAUUGUGAGGGUUGAUUCAAUAUAAUUUAGAUGCAAAGUGUUUACAAGUGCGAUGCUUCGUAAGUGCACCCGAAUCAUUAUAAACUCACCUUAUUUUCAUAGUGAUUAUUUCAUCUGCAUGUGAAUAUAAUCAUAUGUGGAGAUUUUUUUUUUCCCUAAACGAUGAUCUUCUCUAGUAUUGAGGUGUUAUAUCUUUUAAAUUAUAAUUAUUAUUAGUAAAAAACUGCAACUAUGAAAAAUAAAUUUAAUAUUAUGUCCUGAAUAUAAUUGUUAAAUAAUAAUUUUGACAAAAUUAAUGAAUAUAUACAGAUUUUUUUAUCAUAUAAAUGUAAAAUUAUAUCAACUUAGCUUCUAAGCUAUACAACGGUUACUAUUUACUAAAUACUUUAGUGUCGUAGUUUUUAAGAUAUAUUUAUCCACCCUCAAUCCCAAACAUAACCUGUAAGGAUAAAAAAUUUCAUCCUAAAAAUUAUACGUCUUGUGACUUAUUUAAUUUAUAUUUUUGUUAUUUAUAUUUAUUAAUUAUAGUCAUCUUUUAAUAAAUUACAAUUGAAGGAAGGUGGUUGAUGUUGUCGAGACACACACACAAAGAUAUAUUGGAAGUGCUUAUGUCCACUCGAAGUUGUGGGGAGUUAAUGCAUGUAUUGAUUUAUUGGGAGUGUUAAUGCAUGUAUUGAUUGAUUGAGUGAUUGAAUACUGUUUGAUUGCUUCAUAUCAAUUCUAGAAAGUUUAUUUCUUUGUGAAAUUUCAACGAAACGUGUUUUUUAGAAUAAUAAGGGUGUUUUAAGUAAUUUUAAAAAAUGAAUGGACUAAUUAGAAUUAAUUAUUAGGUAAUUAACUCGAAUUGUAGAGGGUAAGCAAACAUUUAUCCUAAUUAUAUUAUGAUAAAUCCUUUUCCAAUUAGAAUUAGGAAACCAUAGAUAUACUGAAUUUUUUUUUAUUUCCCUUCGCGAAAACGGAUCAGAGAAUUAGAAAACAAUCCUAGUGAUACUAUUGUUAGGUUUAAAACACUGCAUAGAUGGUAAAAACAUUGGAAUUGAUGUAGAUUAAUUUGUUAAUUGCUAUCGUACUGAACAUUGUUUUAUGCAAAUUAAUUUGAGAAUUAGAAAAAAGUUUGUUGCAUGCAAACUUUUUGUUUUAUGCAAAUCGUACUGAACAUUGGGACUGAUGUUUAAGAAAAAAAUUCUGUAGUUAAAGAAAAACAAAAAGGCAUGUUGAAUAGAUUACGAUAGUUUAUUCAAUUGGGAAUUUUUUUUCUUUAAUUUUUGUUGUACUUGAUUGAGAUUUCUCUUUAGUCCUUUCGUACUUCCUUUGUAAGCUGAGUAUAAGGAUGAAAUUCUUUUAAGAAAUUAAAAAAGAAAAAAAAGCAUGCCACUACGCAAUUAUAAAUAACCACAAAUAAAUAUAAACAAAAUGUUUAUGAAGUAAAUUAAACAUGCACAUAUUAUUUUCUUUUAUUUGCUGCUUGGAAACCCAUAAAUGCACUAAUCCAAUAUUACAAUUAAUUUCAAACAGAAAAAAUUGAACUCUAGGCUGCAGUUUGACUCAAAAUGAUGACCACUGGCUUCGCACCAUUCAACCGGUAUACAUUUCUACAAACCGAACAACGCUAUUGAUUUUUAUUUUUUUUUUUAAUUUGUCUAUAAAUUACUAUUUUAAUUUUCACUUUUUAUUGGGUUGUUUAACGGAUUAGUGAAGCUGGUGGUCGUUGAUGCACUCAUAAGGUACAAUUUUAUUUUAGAAUUUCAAAUUCGUAUUUUAAAAUGCAGGCACAUUAUGUAUACAUAAUUAUUGAUUUUCAUAUGUGGGUGUUUUGAAAUAUUGCCAAAAGACCAAACUUUAAUAAACUAUUUUUGAUUUUUUUUUUCCUUUUUACCUAAAGUUGGAGUGAUAUCCGCAUUUUAAAUUCAUGUGGAACAAAGCUAAUGUAAGCACAAAAUUCUUUUAUUUUUUCCGAGAAAAAUGGGUAAGAGAAGAAGAUUUUUCUCUUGAAAAAUGAAAAAAAAUACAAUGCAAGCAUAGGAAAGAGGUCAGUGUUUUGGAUUUGAAUUUAGUAUUGAGCUGAAUUUUAUGCUAAGCUCUUUUAUAGUACUGCGAUUAAUAAGCUAGCUCAGGAUUUGCUUUUGCUUUUACUUCAAGUAAAAGAAAGAGGAAGCCUUUUGUUUUUUUGUUUGAUUUUUGACUAUAUAUGUUACCUAUAUAGAGAGUUGAGGUAGCAGCCUUAAGUGAUGGUGAUAAAAAGAUUAAGCAGUGCACACAAUCUUACUGUCAUCCAGACCAUCCAGUGAUGGCUCUAGUUUUUUUGUUACGUUAGCUUUAGUGGAAAGAAGGGCCAAUUUAACAAAGACUAGAUUUGGUGGCUUACUAUGUUUAAUGUAAUGCUUAUUCUCAGCGCACACAAUCUUACUAUGUUUAAUGUAAUGGUUAUGUUGAAUGAUCUUCUAUGAUUGUGAGUAGUAUAGUAUAAUUGAAAAGGGCCUGGGCUCCUAUGAUGAAUAACAGUAACACAUUACUGUGAUUGAGAAAACUCAGUUCCAAUAAACUCUUCAUUUACUCAUUGCGGAGAUCGAAUGGCAAACAGAGAAUAGAAUGAAGCAGAAGAAUCUCAUUGUUAGGUUUUGAUGAUUUCAGAUGCUUUUUUUUUAAAAAAAAAUUGUGACAUCUUUGAUUUACGGCAGUUUUGCAGAAAAAAAAAACAUAUAAAAAUUAAGAGGGAUGAGUUAACUGACGAUUACAAUCAUUACAGCAAUGCUGAUGAGUGAUAUAUCACUUGAAAUUUACUUGUCAGUUGCUGAAAUGAUGAAAAAAAACCAACAAACGAUAACAGUAAUAAUGUUCCCUUGCUGAAAUUCAAUUUUGACUUUCGACUCUUGGCUUUUAUGGAGAGUAAAAUGACUUGUAUAUUAUACUCAUACAAUCCACUCUACAUAAUGAUAUCGUUUUAAUAAGGCAAUGGCUGAUGAUCUCCAUUUAAAAACUACAUCAAUUUUUUUGCUUCAUUUAACUUUUUGGUUGUUGAAAAUAACCUUAAUUAUCAAAUAAUUGGAGAAAGAGUUAAGAACAUUUAACAAAUUUAUGUGCAAAAAAAAAAAAAAAAGGAAGAAGUUGAAGAGAAAGGGUGCUUGCAGAAGUGGGUGUCAAAGAUAAAUCGGUCCAUAAGAAUUAUUGUGGUUAUUUUUUGGCAAUAUAAAAAUUUUUUAGCAAGUAAAAAUAAUUUUUUUUCCGAUUUACUAAAAAAUUAACUAAAAACUUCUGCGAUGUCAUUUUUUAUGGGUGCAUAUACCCUCCCUUUAAAAAAUUUAUAAUAAUUACUGCUUAAUAUAGUAUUAAAUACGAAAAAUAUCAAUAUUUGACUACUCAAAUUUAUAUCAUUAGGUCCUUAAAAUUUAAAAUGGAAGAUAUGAAAGGAAAUAUAUAUAAAUUUCAUUGUCCUGGGAAAGGACCCUCUUAUUAUCUUAUAAUAUUUGAAAUUUGAUAGAUUUUUUGAAACAAAUGUACUUUUAUUUGUGUACAAUCAAUAUUUACUCAUUUAUUAUAUUUUAAUUUAUUAACUAUCAAUCAUGUAAGUAUACUUAGUCAAAAAAAUUAUAUCAAGAGAGAAUUCUAAUUUCACGCAAAAACAAAUACCAAAACAAAUAUCUCAAUUUCUAUACUAUUCACUUUCCUGUAGAAUCAAUUAUUUAAAAUGCAAGUUUGUGGCUACAGAAAACUCGCCAAAGAAAGAAGAUAAUAACAAUUGAGCAUUGAUGGCAAAACUAAUGCAUCCAAUUCUUCUUGACUUGAUGAGAUGGCGCCAUAACGUAGAAACAAGUACCUAAAUUGACCGGCACUGAGUGGUGUGAAUACUACCAGCCAGUUCAUCUCUUCCAGUCUUGCUUAAUCACAAUCACAAACACCACGAGAUCGACAUUUGCAUUAUAUAUAUCUUCUGCAAUCGAAACACCUUGCAUUACCAAAUAAGCCCGUAACAGACAAAGCAAUCUUUCAUGGAGAGAAACCUUAGUCUCAGUAUGAUCACUGUGUCAUUAACGUACUGCCUGCUUCUUUGCUUGGUUGCUGCAGCAGCAGCAGCGGCAAGCAACAAUAUUACCACAGACCAACAAGCUCUUCUUGCCCUGAAAGAUCAUAUAAUUUAUGAUCCGACCAGCCUUUUAGCUCACAAUUGGACCUCGAAUACCUCUGUUUGUACCUGGAUUGGCAUCACUUGUGAUGCCAAUAGCCAUAGAGUCACAACCUUAGAUAUUUCUCAAUUCAAUCUACAAGGCACCAUCCCUCCUCAACUUGGGAACCUCUCUUCACUCACAACACUUAAUCUUAGUCAUAACAAGCUUUCUGGAAACGUUCCCUCCUCCAUCUACACCAUGCAUACGCUAGAAUUUCUUGACUUCACUGAUAACCAGCUCUCUGGUUCAGUGACUUCCUUCGUCUUGAACAUGUCUUCAAUAUUAGACAUUCGUUUGACCAAUAACAGACUUUCUGGUGAGCUUCCGAAAAAUAUUUAGAGCUAUCUUCCUCAUUUGAAAGCCCUUUUUUUGGACAAAAACAUGUUUCAUAGCAAACUUCCUUCUGCUUUAUCAAAGUGCAAACAACUGCAACAAUUAAAUUUGAAGUUCAAUAAUUUAUCCGGUGCAAUACCAAAAGAAAUCGGCAACUUGACUAUGCUCAAAGGGAUAGACCUCGGCUACAACAAACUCCACGGUAUGUUCAUAAUACUAUACAAAUAUUAUCUUUCUUGAAUACUUUAGAUAAGAUCUUGUAUGUGAGAUUUUUUUGCAUCUAUAUUAAUUUUCCAGGUGAGAUACCGCACGAAAUCGCUAAUCUUCCAAAUCUAGAGGCUUUAGCGCUUGGAAUGAACAACCUAGUUGGUGUGUUACCAGCUCCAAUCUUCAACAUGUCAACACUGAAUGUACUUAUCCUCAUAAAUAACUCUCUCUCCGGUAGUCUUCCAUCAAGAAUGGACCUUUCACUUCCAACUAUUGAGCAUCUUAACUUUGCACUUAAUAGAUUUUCUGGAACAAUUCCUAGUUCCAUAACCAAUGCUUCUAAGCUCACAUUUCUAGAGUUGGGAGGAAACACAUUUUCGGGCUUUAUUCCAAACACAAUUGGUAAUUUAAGAAACCUUGAGUUGUUCGGCUUGGUUUUUAACUACUUGACAUCUUCGAGCUCAAAAUUGAGCUUUCUUUCCUCUUUGGCAAAUUGCAAGAAAUUAAGAGUCAUAGGCUUAACAGGCAAUCCACUCAACGGCAUCCUUCCAAGUUCAGUAGGUAAUCUUUCUAUGUCUUUGAAAACACUUCACAUCGCCAAUUGCAGUAUUAGUGGCAACAUUCCUCCAGCAAUUAGCAAUUUAAGCAACUUGUUGGCCUUAGUAUUAGAAGGCAAUAAAUUGACUGGACCAAUCCCAACUACAUUCGGCCAACUACAGAAACUCCAAGGCUUAGAUCUCGCAUUCAAUAAGUUGGUAGGUUCAUUCCCAGAUGAGCUUUGCCAUCUAGCUAGGCUGGAUGAAUUGGUCUUAUUUGGCAAUAAGCUUUCAGGAUCUAUACCUUCAUGCUUAAGUAACCUCACUUCUCUGAGAUCUCUCCACUUAGGGUCCAAUAGGUUUACUUAUGUCAUUCCCUCAACUUUCUGGAGCCUAAAAGACAUCUUGUUCUUUGACUUUUCAUCAAAUUUCUUGGUUGGUCCUCUUUCUUUAGACAUAGGAAAUUUGAAGGUGCUUCUAGGAAUAAAUUUAUCAGAAAAUAACUUAUCGGGUGAUAUGCCAGCCACAAUUGGAGGACUAAAAAACCUUCAAAUUAUGGACCUAACAUAUAAUAGACUGGAAGGGCAAAUUCCUGAAUCAUUUGGUGACUUGACAAGUUUGGAGGUUUUGAAUUUGUCAAAUAAUAAAAUCUCUGGGUCUAUUCCAAAAUCCAUGGAGAAACUCUUUUACCUUCGAGAGUUAAAUCUCUCUUUCAAUGAACUAGAAGGUGAGAUUCCUAGUGGAGAAAUUUUUACCAACUUCACAGUUGAGUCAUUUAUGGGAAAUGAGUUAUUGUGUGGUUUACCAAAUCUUCAAGUCCAACCAUGCAAACUUAGCAAGCCAAGGACAGAACAUAAAUCAAGGAAAAAGAUACUUCUCAUUGUGAUUGUUUUGCCAUUGAGUAUUGCUCUAACAAUAGCAAUCACUCUACCUCUCAAAUCUAAGCUGACCAAAUGUGGAAAAAGAUGCACAGUGUUGUCAAAUGAUAGUGUCUUGUCAUCACAAGCAACACUAAGAAGAUUUUCAUACUUAGAACUUUUACAAGCAACAGAUAAUUUUGCUGAAAACAACGUAAUUGGCAUAGGUGGUUUUGGUUCUGUUUAUAGAGCAAGACUUGAAGAUGGGAUGAAGAUUGCAAUAAAAGUGUUUCACCAGCAAUGUGCAAGCGCAUUGAAGAGUUUUGAGGCUGAAUGUGAAGUGUUAAAAAAUAUUCGCCAUCGAAAUCUUAUCAAAGUUAUCAGCAGUUAUUCAAACAAUGACUUCAAAGCAUUAGUCCUAGAAUACAUGUCCAACAGGAGCUUGGGGGAUUGGUUGCAUUCCAGCAAUUAUAUGCUGAAUAUAUUUCAAAGGUUGAACAUAAUGAUUGACGUUGCAUCAGCUUUGGAAUAUCUCCACUUCGAUCAUUUACCUCCUAUUAUUCAUUGUGACUUAAAGCCUAGUAAUGUAUUGUUGGAUGAAAAUAUGGUUGCUCAUUUGAGUGAUUUUGGCAUAGCAAAGCUUUUAAUUGGGGAGGAUGUGUAUGUCAUGCGAACAAAAACCCUUGCCACUAUAGGUUACAUCGCACCAGGUUUGCUUCAAACAACUUUUUUUUAGUUCAUUUUAAAUUUUCUAAAUCAUUGAUUUUUACGAUCCUCAUAUCAAAUUGUUAUUGAUUAUUUAUCUAAUUGUGAAAUUAAUUUGAUUCAUAGAGUAUGGCAUAGAAGGAGAAAUAUCUACAAAAAGUGAUGUUUACAGCUAUGGGAUUAUGUCGAUGGAAACUUUUACCAAGAAAAAACCCACAGAUGAAAUUUUUGUUGGAGAAUUGAGCUUAAAGCGUUGGGUUGAUGACUUGCUUCCUGAUUCAUUAGUGGAAGUUGUGGACAAAACUCUAGUAAGUGGAGAGGAAAAACAUUUUGCCGCAAAGGAGCAAUGUCUGUUGUCUAUCUUUAGUUUGGCUCUGGAGUGUACAAUGGAAUCACUGAAAAAGAGGAUCAAUGCAAAAGAUAUUGUUACCAGAUUACUCAAGAUAAGAGACACAUUGAGUAAAAGGAUAGGAAAUUUAAGUUAAUAUCGUUUGCUUUCAUUGAUAGUUAUUUUGAAUUCAUGUAAUAAGUGUACGAACCUUAUAUCUUUUCCUUUGAUAUUUUUUUCCUUGAGAAAACUAUUGUAGUCAUCUUAUUUCCAUGGGCAGAGUUGAUUUAGUUCUUCCAAGAAAUGCUACUGAUGACCUUUGUUUUAUACUUUCUCUUUUUUUGCAUGUGUUUAGGUAGAACAGUGGUUUGGCUGCAGGCUAAGAAGACUAACUACACUAAAAGAAUAUGAUUUAAUUUAUUAAACAAAACUUCAAGAAAAGUAUUUCACUGCCCCCAAUGCUUUGGACACCUACUGGUGGGUUUGUACGUGUCCUCAACUUUUUUUUGGAGCACAAAAUUCGAGUCCCAUGGAGACUCAAACAUUCCUUUCCCACAUCUCGAGCACGCUAAAUUUAUCAGACUGACAACUGGGACAUAUACAAGAGUGAAAUGUUUAGAGCACUCUAAGUUCGAGUGAAAGAGAUUAAUUUACAGAAAAUAAAGCCAAGGGUUCAGAAAAAAGUGCAAAGAGAAUAAAGGAACGUCUGAGCUAUUUAAAGCUUCAUGGAAAGUUGAAGGCUCUCCAUAUUUUGUUAGAAGAUAGUAUGCAACAUUGAUCUCUGUGACAUACUCCGAGUGCCACGUUGGCGGUCGUCUCUCACGAGUUGACCGACGAAUUUCUUGAGCCUCGGACUCGACUAGUUCUUGUUCCUCGUGCUCUGGUGCUGCUUCAGAAGAAUUUGAAUCUUUUGAAUUAUUUUUCACAUAUACCGGUACAGUCUCUGACUUUUCUUUUACAGUGCUAUCAUCCUCAUCUUUCCUUUGCAAUUGAUCUUCUAUAAAAAUAACAUCUCUGCUGAUGACGAUCUUGUGGGCAGUGGGAUCCCACAGACGAUACCCUUUUACUCCAUCAGCAUAUCCCAAGAAGAUACAUCUUCUAGAUUUUGCAUCCAGUUUUGUUUUUUCUUGAGCAUUGUACAUCACGUACACAGGACAUCCAAAUGUAUGUAGGUAGGAAUAAUCAGCUGGCUUUCCAGUCUAUAUCUCCAUCGCUGUCUUCAGCCCAAUUACUGUAGAUGGUGAUCGAUUUACUAUAUAACAGGCAGUUUUGGCUGCUUCUACCCAAAAUGAAUUGGGUAGACCAGCAGUCCUCAACAUAGCUCUUAUCCGUUCUGUAAUAGUUCUAUUCAUCCGCUCUGCCACUCUAUUUUGUUGAGGAGUGUAUGCCACCGUGAACUGUCUCUGAAUACCUUCUUGCUUACAGAAAACAAGAAACUCGCCGUCUAUAUACUCUCCACCAUUAUCUGUCCUCAAGCACUUGAUCUUUUUACCAGAUUCAAGUUCUACCGUGCUUUUAAACACUGGAAAUACAUCUGACUUUUUCUUAAUUGGAUACACCCAACAUCUUCUGGAAUAAUCAUUAAUGAAAGUCACCAUGUACUUUGCACCUCCCAUGGAUAUAUCCGGUGAUUCCCAAAUAUCAAAAUGAAUCAAGUCUAUAAUGCAUUUACUUCUAGCAAUAGAUCUACUGAAUUUUAAUUUAUGCUGCUUACUUGUAACACAAUGCUCGCAAAAUGGUAAACUUACCGAUUUGAGCCCCGGAAGCAAUUUUCGCUCAAAGAGAAUCUUCAAUCCUUGUUCUGACAUGUGGCCAAGUUUGAGAUGCCACAUCAUCGUUGACUCUUCUCCAUUUGACGCGACACAUGCAUCAGCCUCUUGUAGUGUUUCUCCUUUAAGCAUGAAUAAAUUAGCACCGAUCUUUUCUGCCUUCAUCAAUACAAACGCACCUUUAACGAUCUUCAUAAUUCCAUUCUCCACAUGAGUUUUGUACCCAUGACUAUCCAUUUGUCCCAAAGGUAAAAGAUUUUUCUUCAGGCCGUUGACAUGUCGUACCUCCCUAAUUGUGCGAAUUGUACCAUCAAACAUUUUUAUUUUGAUAGUACCAAUACCAACGAUCUCCAAGGCAUGAUCAUUACCCAUAUAUACAGAUCCUCCUGAGAUAGGUUCAUAUGUGUGGAACCAUUCUCUCCGAGAGGUCAUGUGUCAGGUAGCUCCUGAGUCUAUAAGUCAGACAUCAGAUAGUCGUUUUCUGCCUUCUAAAACAGUUGUUGCCUCGCUGUAGAGAAUUUCGCCAUCAUCCGAGGUACUUACGACACAACCCUGAGCAUUUGAUGACUUAGGUUCUUUGCCCACUCUUGUCUUCUAAUUACUCCAACACUCUUUCUUGACGUGCCCUUUCUUGCCACAGUUGUAGCAUUUAACAUUCUUCUUACUUCUAGAUUUUGAUCUACCAUGAUUUUGACUCCCAUUGGGGCCACGUUCCGUUGAUCUCCCUCUCGUCACCGAUAGCGCCUCCGCUUGCUGCGAACUUGCUUGUCUGUUUUUCUUAUUUUUUCGUCUGCUUUCCUCAUUUAAUACAGAGGCUGCAACAUCGUCGAAAACUAGACUGUCCACUGGAUUGCUGUUCGUUAGGUUGAUGAUGAGUUGAUCAUACGAAUCUGGUAGACUUUGAAGUAGAAGCUCUGCACGUUCAUUCUCCUCUAUAUUAUGACCCAACGUUGUAAGUUGUGAAAAUAGAGUCUUCAAGGUGUUGAUGUGAUCGGUUACCAUUAUAGAUUCCGCCAUUUGAAGAGUAUAAAGUUUCCUCUUCAAGAAGAUUUUGUUGUGUAGUGACUUGGCCUCGUACAAUUUUGUGAGAGUAUCCUAAAUUUCCUUCGCUGUAUUUUUCUUUGCCACACUGGAUAAUACUCCGUCUGCAAGUGCCAAGUGUAGAUCAGAAAUGGCAUUGCCAUCUAUCUCGUUCCACUUGUCAUCAGUUAUCUCCAUGGGCCUUUCUCCAAUUGCUUCCAAGUAAUUAUUUUUCCUCAAUACAACUUUCAUCUUAAUUUUCCACAACGAAAAAUUAUUUUCGUUAAAUUUCUCAAUUUCAUACUUUGCUGUCAUUUUGUUGAUAAAUAUUGUACACAAACUAGUGUAUCACCUUGAAUAGUUGUGAGUAUGUGUAAGAAUGCACACCAGAAAAGUUCCUAGGAAAGACUGGAGGGGUCACAAUAGUCCCACUUAAAACUCAGACUCCUUAAGCUCUUAUCGCCUUUGUGACAGAACUUUCCUAGACAUGUAUAAAACCACACAAUUGCUUUACUCACACCACUAUUCCCUGCUUUGUACCGCCAAAUUCUUCGAUCGCUCCCACCGUUUCACGUGAAUAGUACUGUAUACGUGAACAGUACCGUGUACGUGAAUAGUAUCCCUUACGUGAACAGUACCCAACUCUAAAAAAUACAAUAAAUAGCUCUGAUACCACUGUUAGGAAAUUGGUGGGUGAAGCAGGACCGCAGCUAAUAUGAAAUUGGAAGAAAAUAAAGAACAAGGACAAAAAGAGGAUACCAGAAAUUACGUGGUUCGGCUUUUAACCUACGUCCACGGGCGAAAACAGAAGGAAAUAUUUUACUCGUAAAAAGGAGUUACAAGUAUUGUAGUAUUUUAGCUCACUUUCCAAAAUCCCAAUACACCCAAACUCUCAAAACACUAAAACAAGAGCUUAUAAUUUCAAGCUCUCUAAACUCUCUCUAAAUACAAGAAAACUCUUCUCAAAAUUGGAUAAGCAAAUGAGGGAAUGAGCCCCUCUAUUUAUAGCCAAAAUCUUGGCUACUAUUCACUUUUUUUUAAAAAUUAUUUAUUAUUGUUCAAAAUUUCAACAUUCAAAGUUUGAUAUUCAAACUUUGAAUAUCUAGAAUUUUGAAUUUGAUAUUCAAAGUUUGAAUAUCUAGAAGUUUGAAUUUGAUAUUCAAAGUUUGAAUAUCAAGACACCCAAUCUUGACACUAAAUUCACCAGACUGACAACUGGGGCAUAUAGAAGAGCGAAAUAACUGGGACAUAUACAAGAGUGAAAUGUUUAGAGCACGCUAAGUUCGAGUGAAAGAGAUUAAUUUACGGAAACUGAAGCCAAGAGAAUAAAGGACAACACUUACGUGAAGCGACAUAAUUGUAUUGAAAGCACAAUGUCAAAUUCAUACGGAGAUCUAGUAUAUUAUUUACAGCUGGUGAGGGCUAAGAAUUGAUGUAGCUAGAAUACAAAGACGAUAAGGUAUGUUGUGCACUAUUGUUUUAUUCUACGAUCAAUCUUGACCCUUGAUGCUUGGCUCUCAAUCUUGUCCAUUGAUCUUCUUUGAUUUUGGACACUUCAAGACCUUUCAGUAUCAUUCCUUGUUGUUGGUGUCUUCCGUGCUGUAGAAUUCAUAUACAAGCCUUCCCGCCGACUUGCCAAGUAUUCGUUCAUUGAUGCAUUUUUAUCAAACAGCUGGGCUACUUAUGCCAAACACCGCCUGGUUUAACUCCCCCUCUCUAGCUCAACUAUCUGGGAAGACAAUUAAUUGAGAUAUGAAUCAGAAAAUUAAAUUUUAAAAAUUGUAUUCGGACUCUACAUUUUGUAAUGAACAUUGGUUUGACUUGUUAUACAUUUAUGCGUACAUAAUUAAUAACCGAUUCUCAAGUGCGGACAUUCAAGAGCACUGCUUAAAGACCAAAUAUUUUGAUUUACUAUUUUUUGUCUUUCAAUUUUCUUUUAAGUUCUGAUGACGUCCGCAUUUUAAAAUCCUGUGGAACAAAGGCCUGACGUGCAUAUAAAAUUCUUUUAUUUUUUCAGAGGAAAAUGGGUUAGAGAAGAAGAUUUGGCAAAAGAAUUGCAACGGCAUUUGAAACUAGUCUUCGUCUUUUAAUUCUUUUAUAUUUGUUUUUGUUAUUGAUGUUAGCUUGGAUGUGAACCCGUGUGACUGAAUUCAACUUAUAUUUGUUUUUGUUAUUGUUAUUAAUUUUAUUUGUUUUUGUUAAAUUGGACCACCAACAAGGGCGGUCCAUUAUCAAAUCAACACGGUUUAAUUAUUAUUAUUUCUACACUUUUUUUAUGAACAAAUAUAAAAUAAAAGGACAUUUACACCCUCAAUUUUAGUGAAAUAGUCAUUAACACCCCUAAAUUUUUAAAAGUAGACAUCAAGAUCAUUUUUUUACCUUAAUACUCUUAUACGGUACCUCUAUUAUUCCCAAAAAUUGAUUCUAAUGUUUUAUAAUAAAUAAAAAUAAAACAUUAAAAUAAAUGUAAUAACAUAUAUAUUUUAAAAUAAUUUCAAUAUUUAAAAAAUAUUUUUAACAUUUUACAAUCUAUUAACUAUAUUUUAUUAUAUUGAAGUAAAUUUUAUAAUAAAUAGAAUCAUAUUAUUAAAAUAAAUGUAUUAAAAUUUAAAUGAUUUUGAAUAUCAUGUACAAUAAUAAUUUUAACAUUACUAAUAUGUCAGAUUUUUUUUUAAGAAUGUAUUUAGUGCAAAUAUUUCUUUCAAAUCUCCACAAUAAAUAAAAGAUUAAAAUAAAUAUAAUAAUUUACAUAUCUAAAUUUAUUAAAAUAUUUUAAUAUUGUUAGUCUACUGCAUAGAUCACAAUAUUUAUAUAAUAUUUGUAUUUAUUAAAAACUUUAAAAUCAAUUCUUUUGAGAAUAAUAGAGGUAAAGGGUAUAAUGGUCAAAAUGGGGACUUUGUACUCCUUUUUGAAAACUUGAAGGUGUUGGUGGCUAUUUUUCCAAACCUUCAGGGUGUAGAUGUCAUUUUUCCACAAAUAUAUGAGAAAAUUAUCAAGAAAUACAGUAUCUGAACUCUGAAGUAACAAGGAUCACCUUUUAUGAAAUCGAUUGCUUUUCAUGAUAGACUGUUACUAUUUUUCUACAAUAGAUUGAAUUUAGUAAAAAAUUGAUUAAGAUGUCUACUCAUGGAGAGUGAAAUUUAUGUUCAAUACUAAUUUCAACAUGCAUGCACCACCGAACGUGUUUCUCACGGAAAAGUUGCUUGGAUUUUUGGGACUUCCUGUUCAAAUAUUCAACACGGCAUGCACCACGCGAUUGAACAUGCAAAAGUAGGGGUCUAUUAUCAUUUCCAGCAUUAUAGAAAUCUUAAUUUUGUUCAUUAUUUAUUUUGAUCAGCACUGUUGAAUCUCCAUGUAUUGCCAAUCACUGGGAAACAACAUAUUCUUAUUAAUUAUAUCCUCUAAUGGAGAGAACUCAUUGUCUCAGUGUAAGAUCACUGUGUCAUUAACCCACAGCCUGCUGAUUUGCUUGGUUGCUGCAGCAAGCAAAAAUAUUACCACAGAUCAAAAAGCUCUUCUUGCCCCAAAAGAUCACAUAACUUAUGCUCCAACCAAUCUUUUGACCGAAAAUUGGACCUCAAAUACCUCUGUUUGUACGGGGAUUAGCAUCACUUGUGAUGUCAAUAGCCGCAGCCUUGGAUAUUUCUCAAUUCAAUCUACAAGGCACCAUUAUUCCAAACACAACUGGUAAUUUAAGAAACCUUAAGUGGCUCGGCUUGGCUUAUAAACUACUUGACAUCUUCAACUUCAAAAUUGAGCUUUCUUUCCUCUUUGGCAAAUUGCAAAAAAUUAAGAAUCUUAGGCUUACUGGAAAUCCACUUGACCGUAUCCUCUCACGUUCAAUAGGUAAUCUUUCUAUGUCUUAGGAAAGAUUUCACGUCGCCAAUUGCAGCAUUAGUGGCAGAAUUCCUCAAGUAAUCAGCAAUUUAAGCAACUUGUUGGCAGUUGUGCAAAAUUUUAAUAUACUCGCAAGUGCACGAAUCUAGAAAUAGAAUAAUGGUAAUGAGGUCAAACCCAUAGGGAUUGUUUUAAAAUGACAAAAGAAUAGCUGCUGGUCUAGAGGUGGCUUACUACAUUCAUACAAGAUCGUUUCUUGUUCUCUAAGAUGUGCAUUAUACUAAUAAUGCUAUACAAACUUAUCCAAAGGUCUAUUAAUUAAUUCAUUAAUCCAACGGCUUGUUAGGUUGUCCUUUCAUCCAUACAGCUGCAUGCUUGUCUUCAUAUACACUGAUCUUAUCCUCUAGAUCUGUUCAGGCUGAGUGAUCUCUCACAUUUGCCAUAUCAGAAGAUUACAUGCCAGUAAUGUCAUGUGAUGACCUGUUGCUUGGUGAUGUCGAAUGCCUGGCCUUUACUUCUCUGAGCAAAUUGAUCAAACAAUUUGUUCAUUUUAUCGAACACCUUCACCAACUAACAUUUUAUUUACUUUGGAUGGUUUUUAAGUGCAUUUAAUGAUUAUUUUUGCUCCAACUUCAGAUAAACCAAACGCCAGUAUAUUAGAAGAAGAAGUUAACUGGCAGCUAACCAGGUCAAAAUAGCGACUCUAUAUAAAAAAAAUAUAUAAAAUAAAAAAAUGGGACUUUAUUUAAUUAAUUGUUGGUCUAAAGCUGUUGGUAUCCGUUGGCCACGUUUCUGAAGAGUCAUCUCAAAUCGAAAUUUUUAACGAACAAAGGACAUUGCUGCUGGCUGCCGCCCGUGAGAUAAAAGUGCUAAAAUCCAAAAUGUUCCACCAUCAUUUAUUCUAAUUUUAAUUUUCCAAUGGAAAAAAUUACAUAAUUAAAAUGGCUUCUAAUAUCAUUUCCACACCUCAAUAUGUGUCACUAUCAUAAAGUUGUUCUCAUGAUUCAUGGAAAAUUUGGAUUACAGCACCUGUACUUUCUGAUGGUUCAUUAUUUAUUCUCAGGAAUCGAGUCUCCUUACAUUACCAAACUAAUAACAAACAGGAAUCUUUUAUCCUUUCACGGUGAGAAAUUACAGUCUUCGUAUGAUCGCAGUGCCAUUAACCCACUGCCUGCUUCUUUACUUGGUUGUUGCAGUAGCAGCAGCAAGCUACAUUACCACAGACCAACAAGCUCUUCUUGCCCUGAAAGCUCAUAUAAGUUAUGAUCCAACUAAUCUUUUGGCUCAAAAUUGGACCUCAAAUACCUCUGUUUGUAACUGGAUAGGCAUUACUUGUAAUGUCAAUAGCCAUAGAGUUACAGCAUUUGGAUGAAUUUUUAUUGAAACCUUUCUGAGAAGUAGGACAUGUCAGACAUCAAAGCACUGAGAUAUCUUCAAAUAGUGGUAACCCCACUCAUCAAGGCACAAUAAAUUAUACAGAUAAAAUCCUCCACUCUUUCGUAAUCAUCGGUGUAGGCACGGUGAUGCGUCGGACAGAUAUGGGUCGGAUCCACUCCAGCUCCAUAUCAAGAUUCAUAAACCAUGACAAAAAUAGAGAAUCAUAGGUGUUGCAGAUAGUGAUGGUUGUUGAUGCACUCGUAAUUUAAAAUUUUAUUUUAUAUCUUCAAGUUCGCAUUUUAAGUGUACAUUUUUUUUUUAUUUUGUGAUCAAUAUAACUUGUCAAAUCUAUUUUUAAAUAAUUUUUUAAAACAUUUUAUUAACAAUGAUAUGAAAAUAUUCGACCCCUUUUCAUAGUAAAGUGAAUUAUUAUCCGACAAUCCAACUCAUGUUUUCAAAUUGUAAAUUGCAAAUCGUGUGUUUGCUCCUGUUAGAGUGCAAUUUAUGCACUAGUUUUGCAUUGUUUACUUCCCUUAAUAUCGAUGUUUUGCACUUAAUAAUAAUGAUUUACUUGUGUUUUACUUUUGUAGGUGCAAUUCUAUUGAUUUGUGAUAAAAUUGAGCUAUAAGAUGAUGUUUAAAGAUGAUUGUUCUCUUGGAGAAAUGAUGAGCGUCAGAAGAACUUUGUUGAUAAGGCGUGAGCGCGUGCUGUCAACUACGGGCCUGCUGUUUUUAGUUUAACGUGUUUUGUAUUUUUGGUUAUUUUUGUAAUUACGAAUUUAAUAUUUCAGAUAUUAGUAUUUUAUUUUAAAUAGAAUUCUAGAGGAGAAGAGAGAGAGAGUAUUUAAGGGAGGAAUCUAUUGUGAAAAAAGGGGAUUUUGGAUUGGAGGAAAAGAAAAGAAACCCUAGAUCUAAUUUUUCUCUUCUCUCUAUGAAGAACUAAACUUAUUUUUCUGGUUGAAGGAUAAUGAAGCUUUGAUUCAUCACUACUGUGAGAUCUUUCUUGUGCUUUAAUUGUUUUAUUGCUUUUUGGGUAUUUGUUUAUUCUCUGAAUUAUUUUCAUGAUUAUGUUUGUUAAUUAGAUAAUUGGCCACUAUUUAAUUAUCAACUUAAUCUAUUGUUAAUUAAAGGAUUUAUCGUAUGAAGAAUUUAAUGUUUGUGACAAAUAACAUAGCAGAGAGUUGUGUUGUGAGAAUAAACAAUCUAAUUUAAAUGAAUCAUCAUAUGUGUUGAUUAGGAUUUAGGUCUCUCUGGUUUUUCAGGCUGUCAAUUGAUUAAAUCCUAUGAUCGUAUCUAGGGUUGUCCAUUGAUUAGGGAAAUAUCCAACGGUCGUACCUUGGUUAUCGACUAAUUAAGGAGAGAUUGGCUAUUAGAGGGUCUCAGUAGCUAUAACCGGUCUAUUCAUAAGUAAUAAUAAUUUAUAUUUGAAUCAAUGAUCAGUAGUCGAAUCAAGCUGAGUUAAUUCCUUCAACCGGAGCUUUCUCCAAUUUGAAUUACAACUUUAAUUUGCAUUCUUGUUAUUUUAAUUUGAUUUUUAUUAUUGUCAACAAUUCCCCCAUUUUACGUUUUACGUUUCAAAAGGAUUUAAAUAAUUACCGAUCUCUGUGGACACGACCCUGCUCAAUCACUAUACACAAUUUAUUUAGAGUAGGAAUUUAUUUUUGUUGGCUUCGACAACCAUCAAAUUUUGGCACUGUUGCCGGGGAUUGGUGUCAUUUAUUUAAUCCUUUUUACGUUUUACUUGGUGUAUGAUUCGUUCUUCUCGUACAGGUACACUUUCGUUUGAUCCUGAAAUUGAGAAGAUAGCUCGCCACCUGAGACAGCAGACGAAGCGAGCUAAGCAACGAUCCUCGUCACCUUUGCUUUCUGAAACAGAUACGGUGCUUGAUUUAGUUGAAUCAUCUAGCGAUUCGGAAGAACAAGUGAUGGAUAGAGUUGCACCUGUAGAAAGAACUCUUAGAGAGUUAGCUGAACCAGACUUGAAUCAACAACCACUCUGCAUUCAAUAUGUAGACUUGGAGGUAAAUUUUGAAUUAAAGUCUGGUCUUAUUCAUUUAUUACCCAAGUUUCGUGGUUUUGCAGGUGAAGAUCCUCAUAAACAUCUUAAGGAGUUUCAUGUUGUGUGUUCAAGUAUGAGGCCACAAGGCGUGACUGAAGAGCAGAUUAAGCUGCGUGCUUUUCCGUUCUCUGUAGAUGGGCUAGCUAAAGACUGGUUGUACUACUUGCCUCCUGGAUCGAUUACAACGUGGAAUGGUUUGAAGAAGCAAUUCCUCGAGAAGUACUUUCCUACUUCAAGAGCUGCCAACAUCAGAAAAGAUAUUUGUGGGAUCAGACAACUUCCUGGGGAGACUUUGUAUGAGUAUUGGGAGCGAUUUAAACAAUUGUGUGCCAGCUGUCCUCAGCAUCAGAUUUCUGAUCAACUUCUUAUUCAAUAUUUUUACGAAGGACUGUCAUUGAUGGAUAGGAGUAUGAUAGAUGCUGCUAGUGGAGGCGUGUUGGUGAACAAGACCCCUACUCAAGCAAGGGAGCUGAUAUCAAAUAUGGCUGCCAAUGCACAACAAUUUGGCAGCAGGCAAGAUCCCACUUCAAGGAAGGUAAAUGAGGUAAAUAUUUCUUCUGUUGAACAACGUUUAGAUAAACUUACUUCUCUUGUGGAAAAGUUUGUUGUAGGUAAUGUGCAACAUAUGAAGACUUGUGGCAUUUGUUACAAUAUGGGUCAUUCAAUUGAUAUGUGUCCUACACUUCAAGAAGAACCCGUUGAACAAGCCAAUGCAAUUCAAGGAUUUCCAGGCAUGCCUCAGAGGAGGUAUGAUCCUUAUGCACAAACAUACAAUCCGGGAUGGAAGGAUCAUCCCAACUUCAGCUAUGGAGUUAGGCCGUCAGGAUUCCCACAACAGUAUCCACCAAGACAACCAGCACCUCCACAGUCAAACUCCAAGUCAGGUAUAUCUCUUGAAGAAAUUGUUAAAUCACUUGCGACUAACACUCAACAAUUUCAGCAGGCAACUACAGCAAGCAUUCAGAAUUUGGAGAACCAAAUGAGUCAAUUGGCGAUUACAGUGAGCCGUCUGGAGUCUCAAGUAUUAGGGAGAUUGCCUUCACAAUCUGAGGUGAAUCCAAAGCAAAACAUUAGUGCUGUCAUCCUUAGAAGUGGGAAGGAGUUGCAAGAGCCUAGUAAGAAAGUGACAAAGCAUGUAGAAGAUGAGUUUGAGAAGAAUGAAUUGAUGCCUCAAUCUCAAGAUGUGGAACCCACCAGAGCGAAACCCCUACCUAUUGUGAUACCUCCUCCUUUUCCAAGCCGGUUUGCAAAAUCCAAGAAGGAGGAACAAGAGAAAGACAUCCUUGAGACAUUUCGCAAGGUUGAGGUAAAUAUUCCUUUAUUAGAUGCUAUAAAACAAAUACCUCGAUAUGCUAAAGUCCUUAAGGAACUGUGCACCUCCAAGAGAAAAUUAAGAGGAGAUGAAAAAGUUCACAUGGGGGAGAAUGUUUCAGCAGUUCUCCAAAAGAAACUACCUCCUAAGUGCAAGGAUCCAUGUAUGUUUACUAUCCCUUGUAAAAUUGGUAGUGUUAGAAUUGAAAAGGCUUUGUUAGAUCUAGGAGCUGCUAUUAAUGUCAUGCCUCGUUCCAUUUAUUCAUCUUUAAAUUUGGUCCAUUAAAAGAAACUGGCGUGAUAAUUCAACUAGCUGAUAGGUCUAAUGCAUAUCCUGAUGGGGUAUUAGAAGAUGUCUUAGUACAAGUUAAUGAGUUGGUUUUUCCUGCUGAUUUUUAUGUACUUGAUAUGGAAGAGGAUAACUCCUCUAAUUCUGUCCCAAUUUUGCUAGGAAGACCUUUUCUUAAGACUGCUAGGACUAAAAUGGAUGUACAUAAAGGGACUCUUACUAUGGAGUUUGAUGGAGAGGUUAUAGAAUUCAAUAUGAAUGAUGCCAUGAAAUAUCAUAGUGAGGAACAUUCGGUAUUUUCUGUAGAUGUUAUUAACCCGAUAGUGCAGGAAGUUAUUUACAAGGAAAAAACGACGACAUUUCAUGAUAGAAUGAUUUUGUGAAAGGAGUUCUCUGUUGGUCAAAAAGUUCUUCUUUUUCAUUCUAAGCUUAAACUUUUUUCGGGUAAAUUACGUUCUUGCUGGGUUGGACCUUUUAUUGUUACUAAUAUUUUUCCUCAUGGUGCAGUUGAGAUUCGGAGUCCGACCUCUGACAAAGUUUCUAAGGUUAAUGGUCAUCGCUUAAAACCUUUUUAUGAAGGUUUUUCGGUGAAUAUUGUGGAGGAUGUGGCUCUCGAGAGUCCCAAUUAUGGAGAUUGAUGCAUAAAUGUGUCUAGCCAAAGACAUAAAACAAAGGCGCUUUUUGGGAGGCAACCCAAAUGAUUUAUUUAUUUUGGUUUUUGUUAUAUCUUCUUUUAAUUUUGAUUCUUUUUUUUUUUAAUGUGUUUGCUUAUUUUGGUCAGAAUAAAAUUUUUGAUAAGGCGUGUCCACGUCUUAACUAAUAAGUACUUCUGUGAUUUUUAAAGUAAAAUGGUUUUAAGGUGUGCCCACGUGCUUAUUAAAAAAGUGCAUCUGAAAUUUUUGUUGUCUCAAAGUGAUUCAUCACAAAAAUAAAAAAAAAAUUAUUUAUUUAUUAUUUUUUUUUCUAUUUAUUUUUUUUUAAAAAAACGAAAAAAAAAGGAGAUUUUCUUUUGUUCUUUCUUUUAUAUAUUUAUUUAUUUAUUUAUAAAAAAAAUUCAAAAAAUCACUGUUAAAAAAAAAAAUUUACUGUUCAUAAAAUCCCUAAUUUUCCAGAACUUGUUUUCUUCUCCAACCGCUUGCAGCACACCAGCAGCAAAGCAGCCCGCCGGAAAACGCACCACCCCGCGCGCGCAGCACCAGCAUCGAGCACCAUCCCGCGAGCGCAGCACCAGCAUUCUGUGUCUCGCAGCCCAGCAGCGCGCAACGAAGUCCCACCAGCGCGCAACGCAGCCUCACCAGCGCGCAACGCAGCCCCAACGCACAGCAAACGAGCACGCCCCGCAACGCAGAUCCGCAGCUCUAGCCCGCCCGCGCAGCGCAAAUCAAUCCAGCCAUCACCAUCGCGCAGCGCAUCGGUCCCGCGCGCGCAACGCAACGCAGCAUCAGCAUCCCACGUCCAGCGAGCAGCAACCCGCGCGCGCAGAUCUAGUCUUCGCCCAGCAGCGCGCAGAACCAGCGUCAGCCUAGCUCUCGCGCGCAACACAGCCCACGCAGCACGCAGAUCUAGUAGCCCCAGCGCGCGCGCACAACACAAUCAGCGCCAUCCCGCGUCCAUCAAGCAAGCUCCAGCCGAGCAGCAAUCGCAACGCAACCAACGUACGACCUAUAUUCCAGCUGGAUAAAUCGAAAUCCGUGAGUGCAAUUAUUGUAACAAUGCCGAAGAGAAAAGCAUCAACUUCCAAGUCAUCUAAAAAGACACCCGUCGCAAAUAAAUCCAAGAUUGCCGGUCCCACUACGGUUCCUUGGAACACAAUUUCAGAUUCACGCCAAGCCGUGAGACAAAGCUCGAAACAUGGAAAAGGCAUGAGUGUUUUGCCACUUGCAGAAUCCAAUCUUGGAGGGUGCCUCGCAUUCGCGACUCAACAAGAGAAAGAGAGGUACAAAGAUAUUUUCACGCACAAAAUACUUCCAGCUAAGUAUAUUCCUUACCUGACUCUUGAAAAAUUGAAUGUUAAGGAUAAUUUUGAUUCUUUGAUAGAUAAGAUUGGGUUGCGUAAGUUUGUUGAUGUUGAUUGUUUGGGUUAUGUUGAGUUGAUUAGGGAGUUUUAUGCUACUUUUCAAUUUAAUAUGUCGAAUGAUUUUACUUUGCAUACCCCGGAUGUCAUAAAGUUUAGGUUAAUGGGACGAAAUUUUUCACACUCUAUCACGGAUUUUAACCUAGCUUUAGGAUUCAUUGAUGAUGAUUAUUCUUCUAGUGAUGCAUAUUUAGGAACAACUUGUGACUUUAGCGAAAAUUUUGAGCCUUAUGGUCUUUGCCGUAAUUUAUCUGUUGAUCACAAUGCUUAUGACCCAAGUAAAUCAAAGAGUUCUUUCUUACGUGAUCCUGUUUUGAAAUGUGUGCAUCGAUUCUUAGCAUAUAAAUUUUUAGGCAAGAAAGAUCACUCAGGAGUUUUCUCUAAAACUGAAUUUUAUUUUAUCUGGUGCAUGUUAAAUGAUGUGAGGCCUAAUUUAGGUUUUUGGUUAGCGGAUUAAUUUCAAAGUGUGCUUAAACGGUAUAUGACUUUAUUUCUUGGUCCAUACAUUACUCUGUUAGCUGUAAACCUACCUAUGUGUGCUUGAUCUUGACAAUAAUGAUUUGCAUCUUGCUUGAUUUUUGGAUAUGUCUGAGUUUGAAAGAACAGGUGUGGUCGAAUUCAAGGAGGGGAGAUUUCAGUUUACUGAACCAGCACCCACUCAACCUCCGAAGAAGCUUUAUGCUAGAAGUGGUGCUACCUCUGAUGACGAGUUUGACGACGACACUGCUGCCCCGCCAACUAUUCCUUCUACAUCCGCACCACCUUUGAGCAUUCAGUUAGAGAAAAUGGAGCACAAGCUGCACAAGAUGGAGCAGAAUUUGGCCGCACACUUCGAGAGUGUGGGAUUUACCCCACCAUUUCCGCCAAGCCCAUAGACGUUAUGUGGAUCAAAGUUCACAAUUCAGGGAAGUUUCUUUUUGCCCUUAAUCUUUUAUCCUUACGCUUUAAUUUUUGUGUGAGCUUUGAUUAUCUUACAUUGGGGACAAUGUAAGUUCUUGGUGUGGGGGAGGGAUUUUUGCAUUAUUGAUGUCUGAAAUUAUUGUUUUCACUCUACUCAUCCUUAAAUGAUUUUGGAGUUAGUAUGCUUUAUAUAUUAUUAAUUUUCUUUUCCUUUCUCUCUCACUACUCUUUUCCCAUCUAUCUCAAAUUAUUUACAUCUAUUUUUUUUUCUAUCAUACUCUUUCAUCACUCACAUUUUAUCUUUCAUUUUUUUUACUACAUACAUCUUUCUCGCUUAUUAUCCUUUUUACCUUUCCUUUUAUAUCUCACUCAUACCUUCUUCUCAUUCUACACCACUAUUGAUGGUUGAUUCGUUUGAAGAGUGUACAGGAUUUGAUGGCAAAUUUACCAACUUUGUGAGGAUUUAAGCCUAUGAGCAACCACUUUGCUCUAAUUAUUUUUUGUUAUGUGAAUAUCAAUCCUAGUUUGUUUAUUCUAGAACUUGCUUUGUUAUGCAUGUUGAAGCCACAUUACGGGAUUUUAUGCAUUAAAAUGAUAAGGGCAAACCCUUUUCUAUUUUUCUAUUCUCCCAUUUUUUUUUCUCUAUCCGAAGACCUUUAUUUGCUAUCUUGGUUUGAGCCUUAACCAUUACCCAUCUAAUUCUCUCCGUCUACUUAACCAUUUUUCUUCUUUUUGAGCCUCAAUUUAAUGAGAUUUUUUUUGGACUCAUUGUGUGGAUAUAUUUUGUUGCUUUUUCUACCUUGUAUUAAAGUUUCUCAAUUAGAUCAACAAGCAUUAUGCUUGAAUUGAAUUGUGCAAGGUUCGUUUCUUUUGUUUGAUUCAAAAACAAAAAAAAAAAGAAAAAGAAAAAGAAAAAGAAAAAUCGAAAAAAAAAGAAAAAAAAUGUUUACAUUCUUGGUGACAUGAGUAGAAAUAAGCAUUUUGAUAUCAUAAGUUCAUUCAAUGAGUUCAUUCUUCUCAUUUUGAUCUCUUUUUCUUUCGUAAACCUUUCUUUUUCAUUCAACCUAUUUAACCCCAUUACAACCCUUUUAAGACCCUUAGAUUUUUGCAUUUUAUUCAUGUUUUGUGGAUUGAGAUGUGAUAUAUGAGCAAGCUUAUGGUAAUAGCAUUCUUUGAUUUGAUUUGAGUGAAUAAAUGACACCCUAAAUACUUUGAGUGCAUGGAGUGAAGUUAUUGAGAGGGCUAUUAAAUAUUGUUGCACUUGAAUUUUGAAUGGAUCUUCUUGGUGGUUGAAUGUUCUUAUUCUAUCUUAUGAAAUUCUAUGCUUUAAAAUCCUUGUCUCUAGAAUGUUGAUCGACUUAAUUUCUUGAGGUAUGCUUGCCUAAAAUUGUUUUUGGAUGAGUUGAGAUGAGAAUUGAGUGGAACUUUGGGAUUAAUCUUGAGUUAUAUGCUUGAGGACAAGCAUCAUCUUGGUGUGGGGGAAUUUGUUAGAGUGCAAUUUAUGCACUAGUUUUGCAUUGUUUACUUCCCUUAAUAUCGAUGUUUUGCACUUAAUAAUAAUGAUUUACUUGUGUUUUACUUUUGUUGGUGCAAUUCUAUUUAUUUGUGAUAAAAUUGAGCUAUAAGAUGAUGUUUAAAGAUGAUUGUUCUCUUGGAGAAAUUAUGAGCAUCAGAAGAACUUUGUUGAUAAGGCGUGGGCGCGUGCUGUCAACUACGGACCUGCAGUUUUUAGUUUAACGUGUUUUGUAUUUUUGGUUAUUUUUGUAAUUAUGAAUUUAAUAUUUCAGAUAUUAGUAUUUUAUUUUAAAUAGAAUUCUAGAGGAGAAGAGAGAGAGAGUAUUUAAGGGAGGAAUCUAUUGUGAAAAAAAGGGAUUUUGGAUUGGAGGAAAAGAAAAGAAACCCUAGAUCUAAUUUUUCUCUUCUCUCUAUGAAGAACUAAACUUAUUUUUCUGGUUGAAGGAUAAUGAAGCUUUGAUUCAUCACUACUGUGAGAUCUUUCUUGUGCUUUAAUUGUUUUAUUGCUUUUUGGGUAUUUGUUUAUUCUCUGAAUUAUUUUCAUGAUUAUGUUUGUUAAUUAGAUAAUUGGGCACUAUUUAAUUAUCAACUUAAUCUAUUGUUAAUUAAAGGAUUCAUCGUAUGAAGAAUUUAAUGUUUGUGACAAAUAACAUAGCAGAGAAUUGUGUUGUGAGAAUAAACAAUCUAAUUUAAAUGAAUCAUCAUAUGUGUUGAUUAGGAUUUGGGUCUCUCUGGUUUUUCAGGCUGUCAAUUGAUUAAAUCCUAUGAUCGUAUCUAGGGUUGUCUAUUGAUUAGGGAAAUAUCCAAUGGUCGUACCUUGGUUAUCGACUAAUUAAGGAGAGAUUGGCUAUUAGAGGGUCUCAGUAGCUAUAACCGGUCUAUUCAUAAGUAAUAAUAAUUUAUAUUUGAAUCAAUGAUCAGUAGUCGAAUCAAGCUGAGUUAAUUCCUUCAACCAGAGCUUUCUCCAAUUUGAAUUACAACUUUAAUUUGCAUUCUUGUUAUUUUAAUUUGAUUUUUAUUAUUAUCAACAAUUCUCCCAUUUUACGUUUUACGUUUCAAAAGGAUUUAAAUAAUUACCGAUCUCUGUGGACACGACCCUGCUCAAUCACUAUACACAAUUUAUUUAGAGUAGGAAUUUAUUUUUGUUGGCUUCGACAACCAUCAGCUCCAUUACAGAGUUUCAUCAAUUUGAAAUAGAGAAUCAUUUGUGUUCUAGAUUAAUCGAGGGUCUAUAUCCAAAUCUAAAAAUUGACUAACUUGGUUUCUAUUAAAUUCUUAAUCCUAACAAGAAAAAUAGAAGAUUAAAAAUGACUAAUUUGGUUUCUAUUAAUUUGAGUAACGAUCGAAUUACCUCAUUUAUUAAGAUUUAUCAAAAUCCUAUGUCAAAAUCCAUUAAUAAUAUAGGUUGGAUGAUGAAAUAGUCACUUAUUAUUAUUUUUGACUUCAUAAAUAGAUGAACGGAUGUUAUUUUUGGAUUCUGGAGAAUCCAAAAUAUCAGGAUAUGUGAUAAAUGGAAUUAAGUUGUAGAUAAGAUAGAAAUGGAUUUGGAGAGAGAUUGGAAUCCUGGGUAAUCCGGUGUACGUUGUUGUGUUGAAUGCUCGUUGACUUCACGUUGACUGACACAUUAUUGGAAGAAGUGAGCAAGCUUAUUUUCUUCUCUCAUUUUUAAAUUUGUCUAAGUUUAUUGAUGUGAGGCCUUUGAGAUUGUAAGUUUCAAAUCUGAGAAGAAUAACCACACACCCAUUAAUAAAUUUGUGAGGAUUGUGAGGGUUGAUGCAAUAUAAUUUAGAUGCAAAGUGUUUACAAGUACGAUGCUUCAUAAGUGUUCUUCAAUCAUUAUAAACUCACGUUAUUUUUAUAAUGAUUGUUUCAUCUGCACAUGGAUAUAAUCAUAUGUUGAGAUUUUUUCCUAAAUUAUGGUCUUAUUUGGUAUUGAGGUGUUAGAUCUUUUAAGAUACAAUUACUAUUGGAAAAAAUAGUGCAACUAUGAAAUAAAAGUUAAUAUUGUGUACUAAUUAUAAUUGUUAAAUAAUAAUUUUGACAAAAUUAGUGAAGAUAUAUAGUUUUUUUUUUAUCAUAUAAGUAUAAAAUCAAAUCAACUUAACUUCUAAACUAUAUAGCAGCUACUGCUUACCAAAUAUUUUAGUGCUGUAGCUUUUAAGUUAUAACUGCCUAACCUCAGUCUCAAACAAUGGCUAUAAAGAUCAAAGAUUUCCUCAUAAAAAUUAUACGUCUUGUGAUUGCUUAUUUAAUUUAUAUUUUUUUAUUUAUCUUUAUUAAUUACAAUCAUCUUUUAAUAAAUUACAAUUGGAGGAAGUUGAUGUUCGAAGUGCUUAUGUCGACUCGAAGUUGUUGGGAAUUAAUGCAUGUAUUGAUUUAUUGGGAGUGUUUAAAUGAUUUUGUGAUUUACUUGAUUGAUUGAUUGAAUAUUGUUUGAUUACUUUGUAUCCAUUCUAGAAAGUUUAUUUCUUUGUGAAAUUUCGACAAAAUAUGUUUUUCUUUUUAAAUAAUAAGGGUGUUUUAAGUAAUUUUUAAAAAUAAAUGGACUAACUAGAAUUAAUUAUUAGGUAACUAACUCGAACUGUACAAGGUAAGCGAACAUUUAUGCUGAUUAUAUCAUGAUAAAUCAUUUUCCGAUUAGAAUUAGGAAACCAUUAGCAUAUUGACUUUUUUUUUUUUUUUUUUCAAUCUCCCUUUGCGAAAACGGAUUACAGAAUUAGAAAACAAUCCUAAUGAUAUUAUUGUUAGGUUUAAAACACGGCAUAGAUAGUCAAAAGCUAACUAGUCUGCAGUAAUUUGUUAAUUGCUAUCGCCUCUCCAUGCGUGGUGAAUAAUUUGUUGCAUGCAAACUUUUUCCAUUUUAAAUAAACACAACGCGAUGUUUAUCUGCUCCGCGUUUUGCAAUCUGUUUAUUCGUUGUUUAUUUGCUUCGUAAGUCCUCAAACUUUGAUAACCAAAAAUUUCACCAAACUAUGAAAAUUAUUCUGCAGGUUAGUUUUUAUUUUCGGAAUAAUUAUUUGAGAAUACUAAAACACAAUAUAAAAUAAGAAAAUAGGGGGUUAAAAUUUGAAAAAAAAAAACAAAAGGGCAUGUUGGAUAGAUUACUGUGGUUUAAGAAAAAAAAUUAUUCAGUUGGGAAUUUUUUUUCUUUAAUUUUUGUUUUACUUAAUUGAGAUUUCUCCUUAAUCCUUACAGUUUUAAAUUUGGAUAACAUAGGAUUAGUAAUUUAGUACUUCCUUUGCAAGCUGAGGUUAAGGAUGAAAUUCUUUUAAGAAAAAAAGAUAAAAGAGCAUAACAAUAGUCAAUUAUAAAUAACCACAAAUAAAUACAAACAAAAUGUUUAUGAAGUAAAUUAAAAAUGCACAUAUUAUUUUUUAUUUUAUUUCUUACUAAUCUGUGUAUUUGCUGCUUGAAAAACCAUAAAUACACAGAUGACCAUUGGCUUCGCACCAUUUAAUCGGGAUACAUUUCUACGUACAAACUGAACAAGGCUAUUGAUUUUUAUUUAUUUAUAAAUUACUAUUUCAAUUUUCACUUUUUAUUGGGUUGUUUAAUGGAUUAGUGAGGCUGGUGGUCGUUGAUGCACUCACAAGGUACAAUUUUGUUUUCAAAUUUCAAAUUCGUAUUUUAAAAUGCAGCACAUUAUGCAUACAUAAUUAUUGAUUUUCAUAUGUGGGUGUUUUGAAAUAUUGCUAAAAGGCCAAACUUUAAUAAACUAUUUUUGAUCCUUUUUUGUUUCUUUUUUCCUAAAGUUUGAGUGAUAUCCGCAUUUUUAAAAGCUAAUGUAUGCAAAAAAUUCUUUCAUUUUUCUGGGGAAAAUAGGUAAGAGAAAAAGUUUUGGCAAAUGAGCUGCAACUGAAUUCAAAACCAAUACGAUGCGAGCAUAGGAAAGAGGUCAGUGUUUUGGAUUUGAAUUUAAAGAGGUCAGUGUUUUGGAUUUGAAUUUAGUAUUGAGCUGAAUUUUAUGUUUAACACAUGAUUCUAUUAUAGUACUGCGAUUAAUAAGCUCAGCCCCGGAUUUGCUUUUGCUUUUGCUUUUACUUCAAGUGAAAGAAAGAGGAAACCUUUUGUUUUUUCUUUGGUUUUUGACUAUGUUACCUAUACAGAGAGUCAAGAUAUCAGCCAUAAGUGAUGGUGUUAAAAAGAUUAAGCAGCGCACACAAUCUUACUGCUGUCUAGACGAUCCAAUGAUGACUCCAGUCUUUUGGUUACAUUAGCUUUAGUUGAAAUAAGGGCCAAUUUAGCAAACACUAGCUUUGGUGGCUUAUUAUGUUUAAUGUAAUGCUUAUUCUUAAGGAAUCUAAUGUAUAUAAGAUGAUUGAAUGAUCUUCUAUGAUUGUGAGUAGUAUAGGAUAAUUGAAAAGAGUCUGGUGUUAAAGGCUUACAGUUUUAAGCCUUUUAAACCAUGCGAUUUUAAAGUUUUACCGGAUUUUCCCGCACUUUAAAAUUUUAGACUGAAACAUUUUUGUAUAUAUAUACAUAAAAAUAUAUAUAUAUAAAUAUAUAAAUUAAGAGGGAUGAGUUAACUGAAGAUUAUAAUCAUUACAACAAUGCUGAUGAGUGAUACAUCACUUGAAAUUUACUUGUCAGUUGCUGAAAUGAUGAAAAAAAAAAUAAACAAUAACAGUGAUAAUGUUCUCUUGCUGAAAUGACUUGUAUAUUAUACAAUCCACUCUACUUAAUGAUAUCGUUUUAAUAAAUGUUUGAUGAUCUCCAUUUAAAAACUACUUCAAUUUUUUUCUUCAUUUAAGUUUUUGGUUGUUGAAAAUAACCUUAAUUAUCAAAUAAUUGGAGAAAGAGUAAAGAACAUUUAACAAAUUUAUGUGCAAAAAAAAAAAAGGGAGAAGUUGAAGAGAAAGGGUGCUUGCAGAAGUAGGUGUCAAAGAUAAAUCGGUCCAUAGGAAUUAUUUUGGUUAUUUUUUAGCAAUAGAAAAAUUUUUUAGCAAGUAAAAAUUAAUUUUUUUCCGCUUUACUAAAAAAUUAACUAAAAACUUAUGCGAUAGCAUUUUUUAUGGGUGCAUAUACUUCCCUUUAAAAAAAAUAUAAUAAUUAAUGCUUAAUAUAGUAUUAAAUACGAAAAUAUCAAUAUUUGACUACUCAAAUGUAUAUCAUUAGGUCCUUAAAAUUUAAAAUUGAAGAUACAAAAGGUAAUAUAUAUAAAUUUCAUUCUCAUGGGAAAGGAUCAUCUUAUAAUCUUAUAAUAUUUGAGCUUUGAAAGAUUUUUUUGAAACAAAUGUACUUUUAUUUGUGUACAAUCAAUAUGUACUUAUUUAUUAUAUUUUUAUUUAUUAACUAUCAAUCAUGUGAGUAUAUUUAGUCAGAAAAAUUAUAUCAAGAGAGAACCCUAAUUUCACGUAAAGACAAAUACAAGACAAAUAUGGCAAUUUCUAUACUAUUCACUUUCCUGUAAAAUCAAUUAUCUAAAAUGCAAGUUUGUGGCUUCAAAAAACUCGCCAAAGAAAGAAGAUAAUAGCAAUUGAGCAUUGAUAGCAAAUCUAAUGCAUCCAAUUCUUCUUAACUUGAUGAGUGACGUGAAUGCUACCAGUCUGUGACACCCAAAUUUUUAUUAUUUUAUUUAUUUUUUUAAUGGAAUUUGUAAAUGACGUUUUUGCCCUUAUAAAAAGGGUUAUUCAUGGAAUAAUUUUUAGGAAAGGGUUAUUUUUCCAAAUUCAAUAGGGUUUCUUAAGACUCCCUAUAAAUUCAUAUUUUUCUCCUUUCAUAACCCUAAAAGCACGACGUUUCUUCUUUUUCUAUACUGCUCAUUACACUCUUACCCAAACCCUAAGAUUCAAACCUUUGGUUAAGAGAGAAUCAAAGCGAUUGGUAAGUUUAUUCCCCUUAUUCUCUACAAGAUUCCCAAUCACUCUAUCUAGGGUCUAUAUUGGCAUGAUUUUAGAUUGUUAUAGAUCAUAAUACAUGAUUUAGAAUGUGUUUAGGCUUUGUUUAGAGUUUUGAUUUAUUAUGAGUUUAGUUAAUCAACCUUGACGUAUUAAGCACAUAGAAUAGUUCCAUAGAAUAUUAUGUUAUUCUAAGUUUUAGAUUAAGAGUUAAAAUUCUAAGCAUCAGACUUGUACGGGUACGAAUUAGAAAAAUCGGGUUCUUAGAAUAAGUUAUUAAUUGUCAUAUCUUGUAUUUGUUUAAGGUGAUUGAGGCUCUUAGAGGGUUAGAGGUGUGUUAAUUCAAAUUCUUUUGUCGAGGUAAGUAACUUCAUUCCUAAUGUACUGGAUAUAUAUAUAUAUAUAUGAUUAUUUUGAUAUUAUUAUAAGUACACAAAUUUUUUUACUACUUAGAAGAUUAAUUGAUUUUCAUAACAAAAUCAGUUUGUGUAAAUGUUUUCAAACCUAAAUUCCUUUUAAUAAAUUAUUUUGUAAAGGCUUUUAAAUAUGUAAGUUAUUUUAUGACAUGACUACCUUUUAUAAUUUUGUCUAUGAAAUAUUUGCAAGCCUAAAUUGUGGUUAUGGACUUUCAUGAAACUAAUACGAAUGUUUUGUACCUAUGUAUGAUUUCAAUUAUUUAUGAUUGUACGGGGGCCACCUCUUGGGACUAUAUGGGGGCCACCUCUUGAAAUUCAAAGCAUCACAAAAGUGCCACGUAUAAGUCAUUAUGUUUUGGCUCAUUAUCUGUAGUUAUUCUGAUUCUGAUUCUGAUGGUAUAAUACAAUAUAUGUCUGUUCUGGACCAGUACUAGGUUUUUGUUUUGAGUGUGCACAUGAUAUUCUGACUCUGUUUCUGGCCGGGUCACUAGGACUAUAGGUGACACUAUGUGACAUGAGCUAACCUUUUGUUUUCUGUGAAUGUGAUAUAUGAUUUGCUUUUGUAAAUAACUAUGCUUUUGAUAUUCUGAGUUACAAUGAAUUUAAAUUAUUUUAUAGUGAUAUAUCGUUUUAUGAAAUUUAUGGAUUAUGAUAUAUGUUUUAAUUAAAAGAAGGCUUGCAAUAUUUUUGGUAUUGAUAGGUCUAGUGUGUUAGGAAUAUUUUUACUUACCGAGUUGACGGCUCACCCCUCGUCAUUACUUUUUGCAGAUUAAGUUUCUUUUGAGAGCUGCGCUUAGCUUUGGAGUUAGUAAUUUUCUGUUUCCGUUUGCCAUUUGAAUAAGAGGAGAAAUAAACUCAUGUUUCUAUUUAGUUUAUUUAUGUUAUGAAUGUGUAAUUUGGAGUUUGAGACUUUUGUUAUUUUUUUUAUGUCCUCGGGAGAGAUUAUUUAGUAUUAGACGUUUGAAUUUGUGGAUUUAUUUGAAUAAGAAUUUGAGGUAUUUCAGUUUGAAACUUAUGAGUAAAGAUUAUGAUUUGUAAGUAACAUCCUUCUUCACGUGCUCCGCACGUGUUAGAUUUGGGGUGUUACAAUUGUGGUAUCAGGGCAUUAGGUUUGGGAUUCUGUAAACUUUAUUUGAGGCUAGAUUUCUUAAGCACAAUCAAUUAGUUCAAUGGUAUUGCUUGCCAUGAGGUUAUCGGAAAGAGUAGAUCUUUAAGGCGAGGAGUAAUUUUGGUCUUUUUGAUUUUCUAGUUGCUUGUGACUUUGUAAUAACUCCUUGAUAUAGGAUUUUGGUAUUAACGUAGAAUGAAAUAUUUGUUUGCUCUUGUUGUCAAUUACUAACUUUUCUCAAUUAUACUAUUUACUCAGUACUUUGUGCUAUAGCAAGCCCUUUAACUAUGAAUUAUUUACCAUUUUAUUUAUUUAUUUAUUUUUAUUCUUCGUGUUAUAGUCAAAAGAUGUCACGUAGGGGAGGUGCUAGGCAUGCCUUUAGCUCGAGAGAUGUUUUAGGUAUCGUUGAUGACGCUGACCUAACCUUGCGCGAGAUGGCUAACGAAGGGAAUCCUAUGAUGCGCGCAAUGGUUAGAUUGAUGGAACAACAAAGUAAGUUGAUUCAAGAUAUGGCUAGAGGUAAAGUUGGGGCACAUGAGAUUGUGCCAGUUGAAAGACAAGGUGGUGGAAGAGAUCAGGGAGGUAUGAUGAGCUUAGAGCGGUUUAGGAAAUUGAGACCACCUACCUUUCAGGGGGCUGCCAAUCCUAUGGUUGCAGAGGCAUGGCUAAAACAGAUGGAGAAGAUAUUUAUGGCUAUGGGUUGUAAUGAUGAUUAGAGGGUGAUAUUGGCCUCAUUGGUCCUUUAGGGUGAGGUAGACCACUGGUGGGAUGCCAAAUCCCGUCUUUUGAGGGCCGGGUUGCAAGAUGCACCUAUUACUUGGGAGUUAUUUCUGAAGGCUUUUCAUGAAAAAUAUUUUCCUGAACGAGUUCGACAUCAGAUGGAGGCUGACUUCCUGAAAUUGACUCAAGGAACAAAGCAUGUUGCGGAGUAUGAGGAGCAAUUUACUGCUCUAUCUCGUUUUUCUCGUACCUUAGUUGCUAAUGAGGGUAGUAAGUGUAGGAAAUUCUUGGAAGGCUUACAUCCAAACAUAAAAAGACGGUUGACCAUCCUUAAGCUUAAUAAUAAUGCCCAUUUGGUGGAUAGUACGAUUAUUGCAGAGAGGGAUAUAAUUCAAUCUCAAGUUGCACGAUCUAAUCGACAUAAUAACCAGCCAAUAAAACAUGAUAGUAAUGGUAGUGAAGGUGAACAUAAGUGCACUCUAAUGGUGGGUCUAUUCAAGAGAACAAACCAUUCUGUAAUCGUUGUGACAAGUACCAUAAUGGCACGUGUUAUUUAAAGAUAUGAGCUUGUUUUGGCUAUGGACAGAUUGGGCAUAAGGUUAUAAAUUGCCCAAAAAAGCACAGUGGUAACAUAGAUUCUGCCGAGAACCAAAGGAAAAAGCCACGUGUCUUCGCCAUGGUGGAGCAAGAUAUUAAAAAACCGAAUAACGAAGCCUCAGGUGCAUUACCUAUUUUCCAUAGAAAGCCUUGAAUUUUUGAGUAAUUGGUAUUGUGCUUUUCCUCCAUCCUUUCUUAUUGGAUGCAUCGUAGCUAGAGUUUUUAGCCUAAUAAUCACUACUAGAAAAAUAGGCUUUACUGACGCUAAAUUAGUGUCAGUAAUUACUUUUCCUGACACUUAUUAAUUGUGUCAAUAAUGCUCCAGCCAUAAUACACUGACACUAAUUUCUAGUGUCAGCGAUUUUUGUGUCAGUAAUUCAUGUCAUUAUGGUAUCACGAAAAUAAUGACACGAUAGCGUUAGUAUUUAAUGAUACUAUUUAUAUGUCAGUAAUUUAUGAGACUACAGUAUCAAGAGCACACUGACUCAAUAACAUCAAAAAUUACUACUGCUAUUUUAAACAUUUAGUGUCAGUAUUUAGUGAUGUUAUGGUUCUUUUGGUUAAUAGUAUACUUUGAUUUUAAUUAUAUUUUCCUAUUUGUUUUACAACUGAAAGAAAACUCAAAAUAUAUUAAAUAUACAAAAUCUCGCAACACAAUUGCAUAAGAAACAUCUCAAAUACAUCACUCAAAUUCAUAUCAUUAAACUACAUCAUUGUUUGGAAAAGAAAAAUAUAAAUACUAAAUUAAGUCUUGGACAAGCUCUUAACAACCAAGUACUAAGUUAAGAUUCAACAAAUAUUAACCAACAAAAAGAAGCACAUAAUGUCAUUGAACAUCCACAAGCGGCUUCAUUUUUCUUUUCCCACCUACAAGUACAUAAAAUCAAUUAGUAUACCACAAAAAGUAAUUCUUGAAUUUUUGGGAGAAAAAACAAUCAGGCCAAUUUCAGUGUUCAAAGAGACUAACAAAGAAUGGGGGCAAAAACAAUACAUAGCUCUCUUAGUGCAAGCUAAUUGUAAUAGGUAGUAUUGUGAAGAAUAUUUAUCUGCUAAGAAUUGAACUUGAGUGGAUUUUCCUACAGAUCUAUACACAACUCAACUUAAGAAGAAUAAAAAAAUAAAAAAAUAAAAAUCCUAAGGAUUAAGAAAGAUAAAUGGAGAUUUAUUAGUAUACAUCCAAAAUUAGAAACUCAUUAAACAAUCCAGGGGUAAAAAUUGAGGAAUAAGAAUAUAGCGUAUCUCAGGAUAAGACCAAAGACAUAAUAACAGAAACAUUUGAGGCAAACCACUACAAAGUUUUUACAUAAUAACCCAAAGCAAAGCAAACCAUUAUAAAAUUUUUACAUAAUAACCUAGAAACAAAACAGACGAAAAUUGGGCAAGUCCAUAUCCCAAACCUCUGUUAGGAAAAAUGUGUUCAGCAGACUCAUGGCUCCAACAAUAGAAAUUAACCCGUACACAAGGAAACAAAUUAAUUGAUAUAAAAAACAGUCAAAGACAAAGCCAACUAAGAAGAUUAACUAAUUUGGAGAUUGAAUUACAUAGUUAUUUUUACAAAAUAUAGCAUAAGCCCAUUGUAUUUCAUAGUAAGCAACUGCAAAAAUGCCUAGAGGCAAAUUCAUAAAGGAAGAGUAGAUAGAAGAAAAAAAAGACGAGGAAAUAAACAGCUUGAAACAAACAAAUCACCUAACACAUCAUGGGGAAUUGACUUGUUAACGUUAAAGAGCAAAAUAAAACUUGGCACCUUCAUUCGAAAAAGAACAGACGCUUACCCCUUACGGAGAAUGGCUUAGGUUUUUCUUUAGAGUUUCAGGCUGAUUUAUAAGAAUAUGAAGAAGAAAUGAUUAUGGAAGUUUGAUAGUGAUCAAGGAUUGAAUAUUGGGCUUAAAAUACAAAUUGGCAGUGAGGGCUGGUUUUCGAUCAUAAUGUUGAGAGACCACUAAUUCCCAAUACUUGUACCCUCUCACAGAAAAAUCCAAAUUUAAUAAACAUGAACUAAAUCCAGUGUAUUGAGUGUUAUUAUUUAAUGGAACAUAAAAUCUCUGGGUCAAAUAAUUCUAAAGUUAAACCAACAAUAAUCCCAAAAGCUAUAGUUGAUAAGAAAGGCCCAACAGUAUACUUCUAUCACACAAAAUUUGAAGAUAGAAAAAAGAAGGGCCUUUUUGUUUUUUAACUGAAACUGAAAAAAGAUUCAGUAUUAACAAUUCAUAAAUUUUAAAGACGUUGGUUUUCCAUCUUAACACUGAAAACUUGGUGUUUAUAUAUCCGAAUAUAAUUAAGCCAAAAAUUUUAAUUUAUCACUAAAUAGGAAAACAACUAAAUAAGCUGCAUAGUUUUAUUUUCCAAUAAAUGCUUAUAAUAUUUAUUCAUUCCUUACCAUAUAAAAACCUAUCCUUCAUUAUUUAUUUAUUUUUUAUAGGAAACAGAGAAAUUAGUAUUAAUAAGAACAAUAAUUACAAAAUGUCAAAAGGGUGUCCACAAAAAAAGGCUAUUGAAGUAUCACAGACCAAUCUCCAAAUUAGGCAAGCACUCAGAUUCCAAGCUAAUACUCCAAAAAACAAAUCUAACCUCAAACUACCUGAUAAACAGCUCAAAAUGACAUAAUCCUCAACAUUCUUCAGACUAAUUGAUCAUGCAUCAAGGUAUGUUGGGAUCUACAAAUACAUUGAAAAGAUCUUUGCAAAUAACAGUACAACUAGAAAGCUUGGUGUUUACAUUCUUGAAAAUUCUUUUUAUUGCUGACAAUAGAAAGGGAUUCCUUUUUCUGCUUAUUUCCUAAAAAUACUAAUAUAUGCUGCCCCACUAUACUCACAAGUAAUCUUACACAAAUGCUCUUUAGACAAGAUUAGUAUUUGCUACCUUUCACCCCAAUUACAAAACCAUAGAAACUCACCACCUAGACAAAUUUUAAAUUGUCUCUAUAGUUGGCUAUUAAAAACUGCUAAAUUUGUUUGCAGCCAUGCCCAAAAAUUUCAAGAACAUUGAACACAACGUAUUAUAGGUACAAACAAGAUAAAAUGAUGUUCCAGGAUUCACUCGACAUGUCAUCCAAGGUGAUACAAAACGGUAGAACUAUAGAACUAGGACAAAACUUGCAGCAAGAUAAUGGCAAUUUCCCCCUUUCGUGUAAGAUAAUCAUAUUAUUCUUCAAAGAGAGACGCACAAAAAAAAAAUGCUUGUUGAAAACAAGCAAGCAUAUGGGUAUGAGUCUAUUGUUGUUUAUCUGUGAAUCAUGUUAAUAACCAGCCACAGAAAAAUAGUAAACAAUAGUUUUCACACAAUCGAUGCAUAUUAACACAAGCCACGGAUUAUGAUUUCACUAACCAUUGCACACAAAGGUUCCAGACCAAUUUUAGAAGGAGGUUCUACAAGUUACUUUCCUUCAACUACUUGAAAAUCAAUCAUUAACUAAAGAAAUACACAUGAAAUUAGUUUAAAUAAUAGGAAAGGUAAAGGAGACAUUUUAUAAAAACUCUUAAAUGUGGUACUAUGAUUUCCACAGACUGUGCAACAAAAAUAAAAUUGGAUGAACUAUAAUAAGUGAGAAGACAUAUUGUAAUUCUAUCAUCAAAGAAAGAUAAGCUUAAUCAUUUUUAAUUUUUUCUCAAAUAUCCAGUAGUACCUUAAGGUAAUAGGACAAGAUCGCAGAAGUUGUCAUGAAGAGUGUAAAGCACUAAAUAACAAAAAUUAUACUAAUAAAUAAAACUCAAUUUAUUUUCUCCCUCAAUCAAUUGCUUUGAGCUUACUAUGAAUUCAACUAUGAAUUUGAGGAAAAAAUACAGACCUCAGUUUGUCAACUUCUUGUUCAUGAGAUUCAGCCGCAGUAAAUGCAAACCUCCAUUUCUCGUCAAGCAUUGUUAACCUCUACGACAAAUUGAAGGUAAGAAGAUGAACAAAAUAAGUGUAAUGUGCAGGAAAAAAAAUGAAGUCUAUGGGUACAACAACACUUCAAGAUUUUUCAAGUUCUAGUUCAUUUAAAUAGACAUUCCUUGAACUUCAGUAGCAAAGAAAGUACAUUAUAGCAACAAUUUCAAUUCAUUUCAAUCUUUAGAAUUUUUUAUUUUAAAAAAAUAAAUUCCUUCAAACUAGUGAAAGGAAAAUAAAAGUGUGUUUACAGAAGAAAAAUCAUGGAAUGAAUUAAUGACCAUGCAAGUGAGGAAACACAGAAAUUUCUGAAUAAGAGCGAAACUAACCGUGCAAAUGAACAAAGAAAAUGUAAGUCUUCAAGUGCUACAACAAGCAAAACUACCUAAAAACAAGCAUUUUCUUCUUGAAUUAAAGACAAAUCAUGAACUUUGUGCAAUCUCAAAACAUUCAGACAAGCAUGAACUUAGUUAAUUCAUAUCAUAGUCAUUGUCUCUAUUAAAAAUCUUCCAACUAAAAAAAAUAAAAAAAUAAACAUGUUGGUUUCUAUAACAUAAUUUGCCUAUCUUUACAUGAAACAGAGCAAUAAAUAACACUUAAUAAUUAUGAAAUACACAGCCAUUCAAUCUAUAUAAUAUAGAAAUAAAGGAAAAAAAAGAAAAAAAUUCAAAUUACAAUUAAAUAAACAAAAAAUAGAUAUGGAAAAGAAAUCCCACCAAGACUGCACUACUGGGAGAAUUUCUCAACAUCUGCAACAACCCAUAAAAUUAAAAUUAACAAAAAACCCUAAUAAUCAUAAGCUAAAAUAAAACAAAUUUAUUAAUUAAUUUGACAAAGAAAAUAAAAUAUUAAGCCAUUACCAGCAGUUAAAGCCUUAAUCAAGGCAACCUGUUUGCCCUUAAAGUCAUUGAAAAUCUCCUUCACAGGUCUAAGUAUAAGGUGUGGUAUCCCUUCCAUAGCAAGAAAAUUAACUAAUUUCUCAAUAAUUUUAUUCAAAUUCAAGCAAAUGGGUUUUGAAUAUUGAACAAAAAAAAGUGAAAUUUGACCAUAAAAAGAAAAAAAAUUGAUAAAAGAAGCCUCGAUUACGGUUUUGGUCCGUUUUUCAAUUUGAGAAAAAAAAGGAAAAAGGGAAUAAAAGCCUCACUUAGGGUUUUAGCUUUAUAUUAUCUAUUUGAGUUAAAUGAACGAGUUUGUGAAUGGAAAGAAAAAAAAGGAAGAGAUCGAGAAGAGAAAAAGGAAAGAGAAAGGGAAAGAGAAAGGCAAGAGACAGUUUUGGGUUUGAGUUUGGGUUAGAGAUUUGUGUGUAUAAAAGACAGGGAGAUGGGGACAAUUGCUAAGUUUGGGAUAUGUUUUACUUUCGUUUUACAUGUUUUAAAUUCUUAAUUUAGUACCUGCAGUGUCGAACCACUUGAACGGAAGUGAUAGUGGCAACGGCGUGGGGGUGGGCGCAGCCAUGGGGGUUGGGCGCGGCCGUGGGCGUGGGCGUUUGGGCCUGGUCAUUCUCCAUCUUUCACGAUAGAGAAGAAGAAGUCAAGAAAGGCAAGGAAAUUACGCAGCAGCUACGACAUGGGCUCUAUUGCACAAUGGAAAAGGGGAAUUAGGGUUUGGUUUUUUAUAUGUUAAUAUUUUAUAUAACAUUGUAAUUCCAACUCAAUUUUAUGGGGUCCAGUGGUUUGCAAUCUAAACGUAAAAGUUUUGAGUUUUAGAAAUCCCAGGUUCGAGUUAAAAUCAAAACAAAUUUUAAUGAUUCUUUUUAGAUCUCUGAUGCUGAAGUAUCAGUGAUCUCUAAUAUUUAAUUUACUGAUACAUUAGUAUUAAUAAUUUGUGACAUUUAUUUGUUAAAAGUGGAAAAUGGUGCAUAGUUAGGUAAUUACUGACACUUUUUUUAAAGUGCCAGAAACAAAGUGUCAGUAAAAGUCAUUUUUGUAGUAGUGAAUUUCUUUUUUCAUCCAUUGAAUUUCUAUGGUACAUUAGUAGGAUAUGAGGUGUGAUUUUAUAAGGCCAUUAGGAUUAACUUAUGGUUGGAUGGAGUAGGGACUAAUAUGAUAUUUAGUAGGAUAUGGGAUGAAGAUUGCAAUAAAAGUGUUUCACCAGCAAUGUGCGAGCGCAUUGAAGGGUUUUGAAGUUGAAUGUGAAGUGAUAAAAAAUAUUCACCAUCGAAACCUUAUCAAUGUUAUUAUUAGUUGUUCGAACGAUGACUUCAAAGCAUUAGUCCUAGAAUACAUGUACAACGGGAGCUUGGAGGAUUGGCUGCAUUCUAGCAAUUAUGUGCUUAAUAUUUUUCCCAGGUUGAACAUAAUGAUUGACGUUGCAUCAGCUUUAAAAUAUCUCCACUUUGAUCAUUCAACUCGUAUCAUUCAUUGUGACUUAAAGCCUAAUAAUGUGUUGUUGGAUGAAAAUAUGGUUGCUCAUUUGAGUGAUUUUGGCAUAGCAAAGCUUUUAAGUUGAAGAUGAGUCUACGAUGCGAACAAAAACCCUUGCCACUAUAGGUUAUACGGCACAAGGUUUGCUUGAAACAACUUUUUUUUAGUUUAUUUUAAAAUUUCCAAAUUAUUGAUUUUUACGAUCCUCAUAUCAAAAUGUUAUUGAUUAUUUAUCUAAUUAUGAAAUAAUUUGAUUCAUAGAGUAUGGCAUAGAAGGAGAAAUAUGUGCAAAAAGUGAUGUUUACAGCUACGGGAUUAUGUUGAUGGAAACUUUUACCAAGAAAAAACCCACAGAUGAGAUUUUUGUUGGAGAAUUGAGCUUAAAGCGUUGGGUUAAUGACUUGCUUCCUAAUUCAUUAGUGGAAGUUGUGGACAAAAUUCUGCUAAUUGAAGAGGAAAAACAUUUUGCCGCAAAGGAGCAAUGUCUGUUCUCUAUCUUUAUUUUGGCACUAGAGUGUACAAUGGAAUCACCGGAAAAGAGGAUCAAUACAAAAGAUAUUGUUACCAGAUUACUCAAGAUAAGAGACACGUUGAGUAAAAGGAUAGGAAAUUUAAGUUAAUUUUGUUUGCUUUCAUUGAUAGUUACUUUGAAUUCAAGUAAUAAGUGUAAGAAUCGUUUAUCUUUUCUUUUGAUAUUUUUUUCUUGAGAAAACUGUUGUAGUCAUCUUUUUUCAAUGGGCAGAGUUGAUUUAGUUCUUCCAAGAAAUGCUAUUGUUGAUCUUUGUUACAUACGUUUGUCUUUUUUUGCAUGCAUUUAGGUAGAAUAGUGGUCUAGCUGCAGGCUAACAAGUCAAGCUACGCUAAAAGCGUAUGAUUUAAUUUAUUAAACCUAACUUCAAGUUCAAGAAUUGCAUCUCAUUGCCACCAAUGCUUUAGACACCUAUUCGUAGGUUUGUGUCCUCAACUUUGUUUGGAGCAAAAGUUCCAGUCCCAUGGAGGCUCAAAUAUUUCUCUCCUACGUCCCGAACACGCUAAAUUCAUCAGCCUCUUGAACCCUCUCCUGAGGGCGCCUUCUGUCCUCUGUUUUCUGUUUCCAUACACAAAUAGCAAAAAGAAUUCAGACUGAUAACUGGGUAUCUAAGAAUAUAUAAGAGUGAAAUAAUUAAAAAAAAUUGUGCUUUUUUGUUUGUCGUGUUAAAAUCGUAAGGUAUCUAAGUACUAUGAAAGAGAUUAGUUUACGAAAACUGAAGCCAAGGGUUCAUAAAAAAAAGUGCAUAGAGAAUAAAGGACAACGCUUAUGUAAAGCGACAUAAUUGUAUUGGUAGCACAAUGUCACGUUCAUACAGAGAUCAAGUACAUUAUUUACAGCUGGUAAGGGCUAAGAAUUGAUGUAGCUAGAAUACAAAGAUGAUAUGGUAUGUUGUGCACUAUUGUUUUAUUCUACAAUCAAUCUUGACCCUUGAUGCUUGGCUCUCAAUCUUGUCCAUUGAUCUUCUCUGAUCUCGAAAACUUCAAGACCUUUCAAUCUCAUGCCUUAUUAUUGGUGUCUUCUAUGCUGUUAAUUUCAAAUACUAGCUUUUCCGCCAACUUGCCAAUUAUUUGUUCAUUGGUGCGUUUUGUCAAACAGUGUGGAUACUUAUACCAAACGCUUUCUGUUUUAACUACCCCUUUCAAGCUCAAUUAUCUGGGAAGACACUAAUAAGCUUGUUUCUCAAGUAUAUGUAUCUGAAAAUUAAAUUUUCAAAAUUAUAUUCGGACUCUACAUUUUCUAAUGAACAUUGGUUUGGCUCAUAAGCUUAUUAUACUUGGGCUUGGUAGGAUUAUCGGUCGGUAGAUGAACAAGUGUUAGAGCUUUCGAAUUUAUGCCAAUUAAAAAAAAUCUAUAUAAAUUUUCCACUAGGCUAUUACCACAAUAAACAUUUGGAUGAACUAUUAUUGAAACCUUAUUGAGAAGUAGGACAUGUCGCAUACCAAUGCACUGACAUAUCUUCAAAUAGUGGUAACUCCACACAACAUGGCACAAUAAAUUAAGAGUUAUAUAGAUAAAAUCUUUCACUCUUUGGUAAUCAUCAAUGUCGGCAUGACAAUGCGUCCCACAAAUAUGGCUCCUUAUCAAAAUUCAUAAAUCAAAACAAAAUAGAGAAUCAUAUUUGUUCCAGAUUGUAGUGAUGGUUGUUGAUGCACUCACAAUUUACAAUUUUAUUUAAUAUCUUCAAAUUCGCAUUUUAAAAUGCCCAAAUGUUUGUGUAUACAUAAUUAGAUAAAAUCUUUCAUUCUUUGGUAAUCAUCAAUUUCACUAUUAUUCGCUUUAUUAUGUUUGUUUCUUGCAGUAUGUUAAAAGAUUAUGUUGUGAAUUUGUUUUACAGGCCGCCCGUAAGUCUGCGCCCACUGUUGUGAAUUUGUGUAUACAUAAUUAGUAAUCGAUUCUCAAGCACGGACAUUUAAAAGCACUGCCGAAAGACAAAAUUUUAAUUUACUAUUUUUUGUCUUUUAAUUUUCUUUAAGUUUUAAUGAUUCCGCAUUUUAAAAUCCUGUGGAACGUGUAUGUAAAAUUCUUUUAUCUUUUAGAGGAAAACGGGCAAGAGAAGAAUAUUUGGCAAAGGAAUUGCAACCGCAUUUGGAGCUAUAUUUAAUUUUGUCUUUUAAGUCUUUUACACUUGUUUUUGUUAUUGAUGUUAGCUUGGAUGUGUGUGCGUGUGCGACUGAAUUCAACUUACAUGCUAUUGAUGCAGCCACCAAAAAGGGGUGGUCCAUCAUCAAUCAACAAGGUUUAUUAUUAUUUUCAUAUGGAUUUUCUUAAUUAUAAAUAAUACUAAUGCUAUUUCAUAGUUAUAAAUAUAUUAGAAUUAAUCGAAAUCAUUUUUUAGUGUGGCAUUGCCAAACUACCUUUUUUUAUAAGUAAUUACUACUUUCACAUUAAGAAAAAUACUCCUAUUUUUAGGGAAAAAUCAAGUACUUGUAGUUGUGAAAACUUGAGCUCACUCGCGUAUGAUAAAUCUUCAUAUUAAUUACAUAAAUAUCCUCUAAAAUUUUAAAUUAACUAUUCAAAAUUCGAUGUUAUACGGGUAUUUCAUUUAUUUGAGUAGGGGUUAGGGGUCAAUUGGAUACAAAUUCAAAAUUAUCCUUACUUGAGAAGGUGAUAAAAAUUGGGGAUUUAAUUUGGAUGUCAUUAGCUACAAAUAUUAAAUUCAUACAUUUAAUUCAAAAUUGGAGGGUUGAUAUAUGCGCAUCAUCGUGCACGUUAUAGUGACACUGCGUCACCAUCCCACAACCUCUCCAAUGAAAAAUUAACACGUUUCUCGUGUGCAUUUGAUCAGAAUCCUGAAAAUUAAUCACAAAAUUGUACUUUUAUUAUAAAAAGAAUAAAGAAACUCCUGAAAAAAAAAUACUUACAUAAAUGGUUUGAAAAUUCUAGAUUUCAAGUUGUCUAUAUUAGCUUGAUAUUUUUAUAAAUAGUCAUCCUCUCAAAAAAAUUCCAUCAAAAUAUAUAUUUUAAUUUUAUGUUAAUUCAUAAACAUGAAAAAAUCAUUUCAUAAUUAAUUAAAACAUAAUUUAUUGUUUCUCAAAAAAGGUAGAACUUAGUGAUAAGAAAAAAGUAUCUCAAAUAUAUGUAAAAAAAAAAAAAAUCUUGGUUGGUUGGAAUGAUUGAAUUUGCUUUUCUUUUUCUUUUUUAAGAAUUAAGACAAUCGGAUUGAUUGAGUAAUAAUAAUAUAUAUUUAUUUGGAGGUAGGCUUUCGUCUCAUGCAGAUUGAUUAGAGAGAAAACAAAACAAUUUUAAGCUCGUUAGAUUCGAAGCUGCUUACCUGUCGUGUGGGGAUCACUUCCGUGUCUUAUUUUUCUAAAAAAGUCUGGACCAUUGGAUUUAUGUGAAUCGUACUGAACAUUGGAAUUGAUGUAUAAGAAAAAAAUUUUGUAGUCGUUUAAGGAAAAAAAUUAUUCAAUUGGGAAUUUUUUUCCUUUAAUUUUUGUUGUACUUGAUUGAGAUUUCUCCUUAGUCCCUACAGUUUUAAGUUUGGAAACCGUAGGAUUAGUAAUUUCGUACUUCCUUUGCAAGCUGAGUAUAAGGAUGAAAUUCUUUUAAGAAAUUAAAAAAGAUAAAAAAAAGCAUACCAAUAGGCAAUUAUAAAUAACCACAAAUAAAUAUAAACAAAAUGUUUAUGACGUAAAUUAAACAUGCUCAAUUAUUUUCUUUUAUUUUCUGCUCGGAAACCCAUAAAUGCACUAAUCCAGUAUUACUAAUUUCAGACAGAAAAAUUUGAAUUUAACCGGUAUACAUUUCUACAAACCAAACAAGGCUAUUAUUUUUAUUAUUAUUUUUUUUUUUUUAUAAAUUACUAUUUUAAUUUUUCACUUUUUAUUGGGUUGCUUAACAGAUUAGUGAAGUUGGUGGUCGUUGAUGCACUCACAAGGUACAAUUUUAUUUUAGAAAUUGAAAUUUCGUAUUUUAAAAUGCAGGCACAUUAUGUAUGCAUAAUUAUUGAUUUUCAUAUGUGGGUGUUUUGAAAUAUUGCUAAAAGACCAAACUUUAAUAAACUAUUUUUGAUCUUUUUUUUUCCUUUGUACCUAAAGUUAGAGUGAUAUCCGCAUUUUAAAUUCAUGUGGACCAAAAGCUAAUGUAUGGACAAAAUUAUUUUAUUUUUCCGAGAAAAAUGGGUAAGAGAAGAAGAUUUUUCUCUUGAAAAAGAAAAACUAAUACGUUGCAAGCAUAGGAAAGAGGCUAGUGUGUUUGGAUUUGAAUUUAGUAUUGAGUUCAAUUUUAUGCUAAGCUCUUUUAUAAUACUGCGAUUAGGGAGCCCUUAAGUUACAUGUAAUAUAACUUACACUCGCUCACUUAAAUAGUGGGUGGGUUGGGGGCCCACUCACUGUUCAUGUGAGUGAGUGUAAGUUCCAUUAUAUGUAAUUUAGCACUUGCCUUGCGAUUAAUAAGCUCAGGAUUUGCUUUUGCUUUUACUUCAAGUAAAAGAAAGAGGAAACCUUUUGUUUUUUGUUUGAUUUUUGACUAUAUAUGUUACCUAUAUAGAGAGUUGAGAUGGCUGCCUUAAGUGAUGGUGAUAAAAAGAUUAAGCAGCGCACACAAUCUUACUAUCGUCCAGACUGUCCAGUGAUAGACUCUAGUUUUUUGGUUACAUUAGCUUUAGUGGAAAGAAGGGCCAAUUUAACAAAGACUAGAUUUGGUGGCUUGUUGUAAUGCUUAUUCUCAGGGAAUCUAAGGUUAUAAGAUGAUUGAAUGAUCUUCUAUGAUUGUGAGCAGUAUAUUAUAAUUGAAGAGAGCUUGGGCUCCUAUGAUGUAUAACAAUAACACAUUACUAUGAUUGAGAAAACUCAGUUACAAUAAACUCUUCAUUUAUUCAUUGCUGAGAUUGAAUGGCAAAUAGAGAAUAGAAUGAAGCAGAGGAAUCUCAUUGCCUGUAAAAUUGAGCCUAUUUAAUAUUACUUGUAGUUUUUAUUGUAAAAUAUACAGGUAUGACCAUGAUCAGAUGCUUUUUUUAAAAACAAAUGAGACAUCUUUGAUUUAUGGUAGUUUUAGAGAAAAAAAAAACAUAUAAAAAUUAAGAGGGAUGAGUUAACUGACGAUUACAAUCAUUACAGCAAUGCUGAUGAGUGAUACAUCACUUGAAAUUUAUUUGUCAGUUGCUGUAAUGAUGGAAAAAAACAAUAAACAAUAACAGUAAUAAUGUUCCCUUGCUGAAAUUCAAUUUUGACUUUCGACUCUUGGCUUUUAUGGAGAGUAAAAUGACUUGUAUAUUAUCCUCAUACAAUCCACUCUACAUAAUGAUAUCAUUUUAAUAAGGCAAUGGCUGAUGAUCUCCAUUGAAAAACUUUUUGUUUUAUUUAACUUUUUGGUUGUUGAAAAUAACCUUAAUUAUCAAAUAAUCAGAGAAAGAGUAAAGAACAUUUAACAAAUUUAUGUGCCAAAAAAAAAAGGAGAAAUUGAAGAGAAAGGAUGCUUGCAGAAGUGGGUGUCAAAGAGAUAAAUCGGUCUAUAAGAAUUAUUGUGGUUAUUUUUUUGGUGCCUUGGAGUUCUUUAAAUUAAGGGCCCAGUUUGUCCAUUUGUUUCAGUUAGGUCCUUAUUAAAAAUUAAUUUUAAUAUUGGUUUUCUUAAUUAUAACUAAUACUAAUGAUAUUUCAUAGUUAUAAAUAUAUUAGAAUUAAUCCAAAACAUUUUUUAGUGUGGCAUGGCUAAAACUACCUUUUCUAUUAGUAAUUACUACUUUUGCAUUAAGGAAAAUACUCCUAUUUUUAGAAAAAAGUCAAGUACCUAUAGUUGUGAGAACUUGAGCUCACUCGCUUAUGAUAAAUCUUCAUAUUAAUUACGAAAAUAUCCUCUAAAUUUUAACUAAACUAUUCGAAAUUCAAUGUUAUUCGGAUAUUUCGUUUAUUUGAGCAGGGGUUAGGGGUCAAUUUGAUACAAAUUCAAAAUUAUCCUCAUUUGCGAAGAUGAUAAAAAUUAGGGAUUUAAUUUGGAUGUCACUGGCCACAAAUAUUAAACUCAUGCAUCUCAAAAUUAGAGGGCUGAUAUAUAUGCAUUAUCGUUAUAUUGACAUGUGUCACCAUCCCACAACCUCUCCAAUGAAAAAUUGACAUGCAUCUUGUGUGCUUCUUAUCAAAAUCCUGAAAAUUAAUCACAAAGUUAUAUUUUUAUUAUAAAAAGAAGAAAGAAACUCCAUAAGUGAAAAAAAAAAAGACUUAAACAUAAAUAUUUUAGAUAAUCUAGAUUUCAAGUUGUCUAUACUAGCUUGAUAUUUUUAUAAAUAUCAAGAUUUCAAGUUGUCCAUAGUAGCUUGAUAUCUUCUAAAAAAAUUCCAUCAACAUAUAUUUUAAUUUUACGUUAAUUAAUAAAUAGAAAAUUCAUUUUAGAAUUAAUUAAAACAUUAUUUAUUGUUGCCAAAGAAGGAAGUACUUAGCGAUAAGAAAAAAGUGUCUCAAAUAUAUGUUAAAAAAAAAUCAUGGUCGGUUGGACUGAUUGAAUUUUUUUUUCUUUUUCUUUUUUAAGAAUUAAGACAAUUGGAUUGAUUGAGUAAUAAUAAAAUAUAUUUAUUUGGCAAAUGGCAGGUAGGCUUUCUUCUGAUGCAGAUUGAUUAGAGAGAAUAUGCAGCAAUUUUAAGCUUGUCAGAUUCGGAGGCUGCUUAUCUGUCGUGUGGGGAUCACUUCCAUGUCUUAUUUUUCUUGAAAAAUCUGGACCGUUGGAUUUACCAUUAGUCAAUAGAGAAAUGCUGAUCUUGAUUCUUGAUCAAGAUCGAAGUUUGAUUCUAUCUAACAUGAUAUCAGAUUGCGAAGCAAGCAAAUUGAAAGUAACUUGUUCUAUUUUGAUGGAAGAAACACAAUUUCUAUUGUUCUAAUAAAAAAUUUUAAUUAUACAUAUUUUUCUUUUGCCACUUGGGUUUGUAGUCCAGUGGUGAACUAUUGGCCUUAAAGUUAAGUAUGACUAUGAGGGCAAUGGUUCGAGUGCCCACGAACUCAAACUCCCUCAAUUAAACAUAAUUAUGUGGAGAUUACUUAUAACGUCUUUCUCUCUUGUGAAAUCUGAGUGGAGUAGAAAUAUCCCUUUCCCGUGAGGGUUAUUUGGCUAGGCAUGUACUUUAUAGAAUAAAAAUGUAAUAAUGUAAGUCAGUGCAAUGAUCUACUGUCAUAGUAGUUGUAAAUAUCUAGGUGUAAUACAGUAACCUGAUGCUUAAUCAGUUAAAAAAAAUGUAUAUCUUUUUUUUAUUUUUUUCAUUGUGAUCACUAUAACUAGUCAAAUUUAUUUUUAAAUAUUUUUUAAAAAAAUAUUUUAUUAACAAUGAUAUGAAAAUAUUCGAACCCCUUCUCAUAGUAAAGUGAAUUACUAUCCAACUGAUGCCUUCAAACUGUAAAUUGCAAAUCGUGUGUUUGCUCCAUUACAGGGUGUCUUCAAUUUAAAAUAGAGAAUAAUUUGGUUCUAGAUUAAUCGUGGGUCUAUAUCCAAAUCCAAAAAUUGACUAACUUGAUUUCUAUUAAGUUCUCAACCCUAACACGAAAAAUAGAAGAUUAAAAAUGACUAUUUUGGUUUCUAUUAAUUUGAGUAACACUUAAUAUUUAUCAUACAAUAGUCACUUAUAUUAUCAAAAUCUUGGGUCGAAAAUAUUAGGAUAGGUGAUAAUUGGAAUUAAGUUGUAGAUAAGAUAGAAAUGGAUUUGGAGAGAGAUUGGAAUCCUGGCUAAUCCGGUGCACGUUGUUGCGUUAAAUUCUCGUUGACUUCACGUUGACCGAAGCAUUAUUGGAAGAAACAAGCAAGCUUAUUUUCUUCUCUCAUUUUUUACUUUUGUCUAAAUUUAUUGAUGUGAGGCCUCUGAGAUGGUAAAGUGUUAAAUCUGAGAAGAGUACCCACACACCCAUUAUCCUAUUACUCUUAUUUUAUCACAUGCAGAGACGUCAACGUUUGAUUCGCACGGAAAAAAAUUUGCUAGGAUUGUGAGGGUUGAUGUAAUGUAAUUUAGAUGCAAAGUGUUCACAAGUGCGAUGCUUCGUAAGUGUACUUGAAUCAUUAUAAACUCACCUUAUUUUCAUAGUGAUUAUUUCAUCUGCAUGUGAAUAUAAUCAUAUGUGGAGAUUUUUUUCCUAAAUUAUGAUCUUCUCUGGUAUUGAGGUGUUAUAUUUUUUAAAGGUUAAUGUUAAGUUACAUGCAUGUAACUUACAACCCUCUCACAUGAAUAGUGAGUGGACCCACACCAUUCACUAUUCAUAUGAGAGGGUUGUAAGUUACAUCCUCUUUUAAAUUAUAAUUAUUAUUAUAAAAAAACUGCAACUAUGAAAAAAAAUUAAUAUUAUGUCCUGAAUAUAAUUGUUAAAUAAUAAUUUUGACAAAAUUAAUGAAUAUAUACAGUUUUUUUAUCAUAUAAGUGUAAAAUUAUAUCAAAUUAGCUUUUAAAUUAUACAGUGGCUACUGCUUAUCAAACACUUUAGUGUUGUAACUUUUAAGUUAUAACUGUCUAGCCUUUAACCUCAAUCUCAAACGAGGCUUAUAAAGAUCAAGGAUUUCCUCAUAAAAAUUAUACGUCUUGUGAUUGCUUAUUUAAUUUAUAUUUUCGUUAUUUAUCUUUAUUAAUUAUAGUCAUCUUUUUAUAAAUUACAAUUGGAGAAAGUUGGUUGAUGUUGUUGACACACACACACACAUACAAAGAUAUAUUGGAAGUGCUUAUUAUGUCGACUCGAAGUUGUGGGGAGUUAAUGCAUGUAUUGAUUUAUUGGGAGUGUUUAAAUUAUUUUGUGAUUUACUUGAUAGAUUGAUUGAUUGAAUAUUGUUUGAUUGCUUCAUAUCAAUUCUGGAAAGUUUAUUUCUUUGUGAAAUUUCAACGAAAUAUGUUUUUUAAAAUAAUAAGGGUGUUUUAAGUAAUUUUGAAAAAUAAAUACACUAAUUAGAAUUAAUUAUUAAGUAAUUAACUCGAACUGUAGAGGAUAAGCAAACAUUUAUCCUAAUUAUAUUAUGAUAAAUCCUUUUCCAACUAGAAUUAGGAAACCAUAGAUAUACAGAUUUUUAUUUUUAUUUCCCUUUGCGAAAACGGAUUAGAGAAUUAGAAAACAAUCCUAGUGAGACUAUUGUUAGGUUUAAUAUUUUGUCGAAUUUGGAAACUUUUUGUCGAAUUAGAAAACAUGCGUGGUGAAUAUUUUGUCGCAUGCAAACUUUUUGUUUUAUGCAAAUCGUACUGAACAUUGGGACUGAUGUUUAAGAAAAAAAUUCUGUAGUUAAAGAAAAACAAAAAGGCAUGUUGAAUAGAUUACGAUAGUUUAUUCAAUUGGGAAUUUUUUUUCUUUAAUUUUUGUUGUACUUGAUUGAGAUUUCUCCUUGGUCCUUACAGUCUUAAGUUUGGAUACCGUAGGAUUAGUAAUUUCGUACUUCCUUUGCAAGCUGAGUAUAAGGAUGAAAUUCUUUUAAGAAAUUAAAAAAAAAUGAUAAAAAAGGCAUACCAGUAGGCAAUUAUAAAUAACCACAAAUAAAUAUAAACAAAAUGUUUAUGAAGUAAAUUAAACAUGCACAUAUUAUUUUCUUUUAUUUUCUGCUUGGAAACCCAUAAAUACACUAAUCCAGUACUACUAAUUUCAGAUAGAAAAAUUUGAACUCUAAGCUGCAGUUUGACUCAAAAUGAUGAUCACUGGCUUCGCACCAUUUAACCGGUAUACAUUUCUACAAACUGAACAAGGCUAUUGAUUUUUAUUAUUAUUUUAAUUUGUUUAUAAAUUACUAUUUUAAUUUUCACUUUUUAUUGGGUUGUGUAACGGAUUAGUGAAGCUGGUGGUCGUUGAUGCACUUACAAGGUACAAUUUUAUUUUAUAAUUUCAAAUUCGUAUUUUAAAAUGCAGGUACAUUAUGUAUACAUAAUUAUUGAUUUUCGUAUGAGGGUGUUUUGAAAUAUUGCUAAAAGACUAAACUUUAAUAAACUAUUUUUGAUCUUUUUUUUUCCUAAAGUUUGGGUGAUAUGCGCAUUUUAAAUUCAUGUGGAACAAAAGUUAAUGUUUGUAUAAAAAUUCUUUUAUUUUUUUGAGCAAAAUAGGCAAGCGAAAAAGUUUUGGCAAAUGAGUUGCAACUGAAUCCAAAACCAAUACAAUGCAAGCAUAGGAAAGAGGCCAGUGUUUAGGAUUUGAAUUUAGUAUUAAGCUGAAUUUUAUGGUACGCUCUUUUAGAGUACUGUGAUCGAUAAGCUCAGCCCCGGAUUUGCUUUUGCUUUUGCUUUUACUUCAAGUGAAAGAAAGAGGAAACCUUUUGUUUUUUCUUUGGUUUUCAACUAUGUUACCUAUACAGAGAGACAAGAUACCUGCCAUAAGUGAUGGUGUUAAAAAGAUUAAGCAGCGCACACAAACUUACUAUCGUCUAGACCAUCCAGUGAUGACCCUAGUCUUUUGGUUACGUUAGCUUUAGUUGAAAGAAGGGCCAAUUUAACAAAGACUAGAUUUGAUGGCUUACUAUGUUUAAUGUAAUGCUAAUUUUCAGGGAAUCUAAUGUUAUAACUUAUAAGAUGAUCUCCUAUGAUGAACAACAGUAACACAUUACUGUGAUUGAGAAAACUCAGUUACAAUAAACUCUUCAUUUACUCAUUGAGAAGAUUGAAUAGCAAACAGAGAAUAGAAUGAAGCAGAGGAAUCUCAUUGCCAAUAAAAUUGACCCUCUUUAAUGUUAUAUGGCACAGGUGUGGAGGAAGAACAAGUUACUUGCAGUUUUUAUAGUAAAAUAUACAGGUAUGACCAUGAUCAUUACAGUUAGGUUUUGAUGAUUUCGGAUGCUUUUUUUAAAAAAAAAAAAAUUGUGACAUCUUUGAUUUACGGUAGUUUUGUAGAAAAAAAAUAUAUAAAAAUUAAGAGGGAUGAGUUAAACUGACGAUUACAAUCAUUCCAGCAAUGCUGAUGAGUGAUACAUCACUUGAAAUUUACUUAUUAGUUGCUGAAAUGAUGAAAAAAAAAAACAAUAAACGAUAACAGUAAUAAUGUUCCCUUGCUGAAAUUCAAUUUUGACUUUCGACUCUUGGCUUUUAUGGAGAGUAAAAUGACUUGUAUAUUAUACUCAUACAAUCCACUCUACAUAAUGAUAUCGUUUUAAUAAGGCAAUGGCUGAUGAUCUCCAUUUAAAAACUACAUCAAUUUUUUUGCUUCAUUUAACUCUCUGGUUGUUGAAAAUAACCUUAAUUAUCAAAUAAUUGGAGAAAGAGUUAAGAACAUUUAACAAAUUUAUGUGCAAAAAAAAAAAAAAAAAGGAGAAGUUGAAGAGAAAGGGUGCUUGCAGAAGUGGGUGUCAAAGAUAAAUCGGUCCAUAAGAAUUAUUGGGGUUAUUUUUUGGCAAAAUAAGAACUUAUGCGAUAGCAUUUUUUAUGGGUGCAUAUAACCUCCCUUUAAAAAAAUAUAUAAUAAUUACUGCUUAAUAUAGUAUUAAAUACAAAAAUAUCAAUAUUUGACUACUUAAAUUUAUAUCAUUAGGUCCUUAAAAUUUAAAAUGGAAGAUAUGAAAGGAAAUAUAUAUAAAUUUCAUUGUCCUGGUAAAGGGCCCUCUUAUAAUCUUAUAAUAUUUGAACUUUGAUAGAUUUUUUGAAACAAAUGUACUUUUAUUUGUGUACAAUCAAUAUUUACUCAUUUAUUAUAUUUUAAUUUAUUAACUAUUAAUCAUGUAAGUAUACUUAAUCAGAAAAAUUAUAUCAAGAGAAAAUUCUAAUUUCACGCAAAAACAAAUACCAAAACAAAUAUCUCAAUUUCUAUACUAUUCACUUUCCUGUAGAAUCAAUUAUUUAAAAUGCAAGUUUGUGGCUACAGAAAACUCGCCAAAGAAAGAAGAUAAUAACAAUUGAGCAUUGAUAGCAAAACUAAUGCAUCCAAUUCUUCUUGACUUGAUGAGAUGGCGCCAUAACGUAGACACAAGUACCUAAAUUGACCGGCACUGAGUGAUGUGAAUACUACCAGCCAGUUCAUCUCUUCCAGUCUUGCUUAAUCACAAUCACAAACACCACGAGAUCGACAUUUGCAUUAUAUAUAUCUUCAGCAAUCGAAACACCUUGCAUUACCAAAUAAGCCCGUAACAGACAAAGCAAUCUUUCAUGGAGAGAAACCUUAGUCUCAGUAUGAUCACUGUGUCAUUAACCUACUGCCUGCUUCUUUGCUUGGUUGCUGCAGCAGCAGCAGCGGCAAGCAACAAUAUUACCACAGACCAACAAGCUCUUCUUGCCCUGAAAGAUCAUAUAAUUUAUGAUCCGACCAGCCUUUUAGCUCACAAUUGGACCUCGAAUACCUCUGUUUGUACCUGGAUUGGCAUCACUUGUGAUGCCAAUAGCCAUAGAGUCACAACCUUAGAUAUUUCUCAAUUCAAUCUACAAGGCACCAUCCCUCCUCAACUUGGAAACCUCUCUUCACUCACAACACUUAAUCUUAGUCAUAACAGGCUUUCUGGAAGCGUUCCCUCCUCCAUCUACACCAUGCAUACGCUAAAAUUUCUUGACUUCACUGAUAACCAGCUCUCUGGUUCAGUGUCUUCCUUCGUCUUCAACAUGUCUUCAAUAUUAGUAAUUCGUUUGACCAAUAACAUAUUUUCUGGUGAGCUUCCGAAAAAUAUUUGCAACUAUCUUCCUUAUUUGAAGGCCCUUUUCUUAAACAAAAACAUGUUUCAUGGCAAAAUUCCUUCUGCUUUAUCAAAGUGCAAACAACUGCAACAAUUAAAUUUGCAGUUCAAUAAUUUAUCCGGUGCAAUACCAAAAGAAAUCGGCAACUUGACUAUGCUCAAAGGGAUAUAUCUCCUCUACAACAAACUCCACGGUAUGUUCACAAUACUAUAUAAAUAUUUUAAUUUAUCACUUAUUAUCUUUCUUGAAUAAUUUAGCUAAGAUCUUGUAAGAGAGAUAUUUUGCAUCUACGUUAAUUUACCAGGUGAGAUACCCCACGAAAUCGCUAAUCUUCCAAAUCUAGAGGCUUUAGCGCUUGGAAUCAACAACCUAGUUGGUGUGUUACCAGCUCCCAUCUUCAACAUGUCAACACUGAAGGUACUUAUCCUCAUAAAUAACUCUCUCUCCGGAAGUCUUCCAUCAAGAGUAGACCUUUCACUUCCAACUGUUGAGCAACUUAACUUGGCACUUAAUAGAUUUUCUGGAACCAUUCCUAGUUCCAUCACCAAUGCUUCUAAGCUCACCUUUCUAGAGUUGGGAGCAAACACAUUUUCGGGGUUUAUUCCAAACACAAUUGGUAAUUUAAGAAACCUUAAGUGGCUCGGCUUGGCUAAUAACUCCUUGACAUCUUCAACCUCAAAAUUGAGCUUUCUUUCCUCUUUGGCAAAUUGCAAGAAAUUAAGAUUCGUAAACUUAAUAGGCAAUCCACUGGACGGCUUCCUUCCAAGUUCAAUAGGUAAUCUUUCUGUGUCUUUGGAAACACUUGGCAUCGGCAAUUGCAGUAUUAGUGGCAACAUUCCUCCAGCAAUUAGCAAUUUAAGCAACUUGUUGACCUUAGUAUUACACGGCAAUAAAUUGACUGGACCAAUCCCAACUACAUUCGGCCAACUGCAGAAACUCCAAGGCUUAGAUCUUGCAUUCAAUAAGUUGGUAGGUUCAUUCCCAGAUGAGCUUUGCCAUCUGGCAAGGCUGGAUCAAUUGAUCUUAUUUGGCAAUAAGCUUUCAGGAUCUAUACCUUCAUGCUUAAGCAACCUCACUUCUCUAAGAUCUCUCUAUUUAGGGUCUAAUAAGUUUACUUCUGUUAUUCCCUCAACCUUCUGGAGCCUAAAAGACAUCUUGUUCUUUGACUUUUCAUCAAAUUUCUUGGUUGGUCCUCUUUCUUUAGAUAUAGGAAAUUUGAAGGUGCUUCUAGGAAUAAGUUUAUCGAAAAAUAAUUUAUCCGGUGAUAUCCCAGCCACAAUUGGAGGACUGAAAGAUCUUCAAUUUAUGGACCUAGCAUAUAAUAGAUUGGAAGGCCCAAUUCCUAAAUCAUUUGGUGACUUGAUAAGUUUAGAAGUUCUGAAUUUAUCAAAUAAUAAAAUCUUUGGGUCUAUUCCAACAUCCAUGGAGAAACUUUUUUACCUCGGAGAGUUAAAUCUCUCUUUCAAUAAACUAGAAGGUGAGAUUCCUAGUGGAGGAACUUUUGCCAACUUCACAGCUAAGUCAUUUAUGGGAAAUGAGUUUUUGUGUGGUUUACAAAAUCUUCAAGUCCAACCAUGCAAAGUUAGCAAGCCGAGGACAGAACAUAAAUCAAGGAAAAAGAUACUUCUCAUUGUGAUUGUUUCGCCAUUGAGUAUUGCUCUAACAAUAGCAAUCACUCUAGCUCUCAAAUCUAAGCUGAUCGAAUGUGGAGAAAGAAGCACAGUGUUGUCAAAUGAUAGUAUCUUGUCAUCACAAGCAACACUAAGAAGAUUUUCAUACUUAGAACUUUUACAAGCAACAGAUAAUUUUGCUGAAAACAGCAUAAUUGGCAGAGGAGGUUUCGGUUCCGUUUAUGGAGCAAGACUUGAAGAUGGGAUGAAGAUUGCAAUAAAAGUGUUUCACAGGCAAUGUGCAAGCGCAUUGAAGAGUUUUGAGGCUGAAUGUGAAGUGAUAAAAAAAAUUCGCCAUCGAAACCUUAUCAAAGUUAUCAGCAGUUGCUCGAACGAUGACUUCAAAGCAUUAGUCCUAGAAUACAUGUCCAACGGGAGCUUAGGGGAUUGGCUGCAUUCGAGCAAUUACGUGCUGAAUAUUUUUCAAAGGUUGAACAUACUAAUUGACGUUGCAUCAGCUUUAGAAUACCUCCACUUCGAUCAUUCAACUCCUAUUAUUCAUUGUGACUUAAAGCCUAGUAAUGUAUUGUUGGACGAAAAUAUGGUUGCUCAUUUGAGUGAUUUUGGCAUAGCAAAGCUUUUAAGUGGAGAAGAUGAGUCUACGAUGCGAACAAAAACCCUUGCCACUAUAGGUUAUAUGGCACCAGGUUUGCUUCAAACAACUUUUUUUUUUUAAACUUCAUUUUAAAUUUUCUAAAUCAUUGAUUUUUACGAUCCUCAUAUCAAAUUGUUAUUGAUUAUUUAUCUAAUUGUGAAAUUAAUUUGAUUCAUAGAGUAUGGCAUAGGAGGAGAAGUAUCUACAAAAAGCGAUGUUUACAGCUAUGGGAUUAUGCUGAUGGAAACUUUUACCAAGAAAAAACCCACAGAUGAAAUUUUUGUUGGAGAAUUGAGCUUAAAGCAUUGGGUUAAUGACUUGCUUCCUAAUUCAUUAGUGGAAGUUGUGGACAAAACUCUGCUAAGUGGAGAGGAAAAACACUCUGCAGCAAAGGAGCAAUGUCUGUUGUCUAUCUUUAGUUUGGCUCUGGAGUGUACAAUGGAAUCACCGGAAAAGAGGAUUAAUGCAAAAGAUAUUGUUACCGGAUUACUCAAGAUAAGAGACACAUUCAGUAAAAGGAUAGGAAAUUUAAGUUAAUUUCGUUUGCUUUCAUUGAUAGUUAAUUCGAAUUCAUGUAAUAAGUGUAAGAAUCUUAUAUCUUUUCCUUUGAUAUAUUUUUUUUCUUGAGAAAACUGUUGUAGUCAUCUUGUUUCCAUGGGCAGAGUUGAUUUAGUUCUUCCAAAAAAUGCUACUGAUGACCUUUGUUUAAUACUUUCUCUUUUUUUGCAUGUGUUUAGGUAGAACAGUGGUUUGGCUGCAGGCUAAUAAGUCAAGCUACGCCAAAAGCGUAUGAUUUAAUUUAUUAAACAUAACUUCAAGUUCAAGAAGUGUUUCUCAUUGCCACCAAUGCUUUGGACACCUGUUGGAAGGUUUGUUGUCCUCAGCUUUUGUUUAGAGCAAAAGUUCGAGUCCCAUAAAGGCUCAAACAUUCCUUUCCUUCAUCCCGAGGGCGCCUUCUGUCCUCUGUUUUCUGUUUCCACACACAAAUAGCACAAAGAAUUUAGAAUGACAACUGGGACAUAUAUAAGAGUGAAAUAAUUAAAAAAAUUAUGCUUUUUUGUUUGUCGUGUUAAAAUCGUAAGUACCGAAGUACUGUGAAAGAGAUUAAUUUACAGAAACUGAAGCCAAGGGUUCAAAAAAAACUAUUGAUGUAGCUAGAAUGCAAUGUCAUAUUCAUACAGAGAUGAAGUAUAUUAUUUACGGCUGGUAAGGACUAGGAAUUGAUGUAGCUAGAAUCCAAAGAUGAUAAGGUAUGUUGUGCACUAUUGUUUUAUUCUACGGUCAAUCUUGACCCUUGGUGCUUGGCUCUCAAUCUUGUCCAUUGAUCUUCUCUGAUCUUGGAAACUUCAAGACCUUUCACUCUCAUGCCUUAUUAUUGGUGUCUUCCAUGCUGUAGCUUUCAAAUACAAGCUUUCCCGCCAACUUGCCAAUUAUUUGUCCGUUGGUGCAUUUUAUCAAACAGUUUGGAUACUUAUACCAAACGCCUCCUGUUUUAACUCCCCCCUCAAGCUCAAGCAUGUGGGAAGACAUUAAUAAGCUUGUUUCUCAAGUAUAUGUAUCUGAAAAUUAAAUUUUAUAAAUUAUAUUCGGACUCUACAUUUUCUAAUGAACAUUGGUUUGGCUUAUAAGCUUAUUAUACUCAGGUUUGGUAGGAGCCAUGUCACAAUGUUAACGCUAACCAGCAGUACUGCCAAAGCUGGCCAACUCAGCCUGCAAGUUCAUAGCAACCAUAGUUACAGUCCUAGUCCGGUACAAAAAUCGUAAAUAUCAUUUACAUUACAAUGGUGUGGGGGGGGGGGGGGGGGGGGGGGGGGGGUGGCUGGAGAGGGAAUCAACAAAGAUCUAGAACGAAGGGUAGGCUUGUAUCCGUAACCCAUGUCACAGUGUUAAUGCUAACCGUGGACCUUAUUAUAUUAGUUUCUGGACUAUUAUUACUUUUGAAUUGCCAUCUUUGAAUUUACGUUCAUUUCUGCCUCGACAAGAUGUUUGUAAAAAUAUGCUAAUUAUUAAUGUGCCGUGUACAAAUAAGCAUGUUACUGUGCAAGGAUUGUAGUCAUGAUACAGUGGUGCAAAAUGUACAUGCUACUUCUUCUUUUCCUCAGUUAGGAUCACCGUCGUCACCAUUUAAUUCUAAGUCCACCCAUGCGGCCUAUGCAAUUGAAAUCAUGUGACCAUGUAAUUUUAGGUUCUGAUCUUCCUUGUGGGGUUAAACCUCAAAACUGUGACCAUUUUGGGACUUUUAAUCAGUUCCAAUCAUUUUCUGGUUCCCAUUCGUCCACCCAAGCCUUGAUUCCCCCGAUAUAGCAUGGCAAUAUAUAUAGGAAUAUUAAGGUUGUGUACAGUUUUUUUCUUUUCUGUUUUUAAUUUGAUAUAAAUUAUCAAUCAUGAAUCUACAUAAAGUUUCAACUAGGCUACUACCACAAUAAACAUUUGGAUGAACUAUUAUUGAAACCUUAUUGAGAAGUAGGACAUGUCGCAUACCAAUGCACUGACAUAUCUUCAAAUAGUGGUAACUCCACACAACAUGGCACAAUAAAUUAAGAGUUAUAUAGAUAAAAUCUUUCACUCUUUGGUAAUCAUCAAUGUCGGCAUGACAAUGCGUCCCACAAAUAUGGCUCCUUAUCAAAAUUCAUAAAUCAAAACAAAAAUAGAGAAUCAUAUUUGUUCCAGAUUGUAGUGAUGGUUGUUGAUGCACUCACAAUUUACAAUUUUAUUUAAUAUCUUCAAAUUCGCAUUUUAAAAUGCCCAAAUGUUUGUGUAUACAUAAUUAGAUAAAAUCUUUCAUUCUUUGGUAAUCAUCAAUUUCACUAUUAUUCGCUUUAUUAUGUUUGUUUCUUUCAGUAUGUUAAAAGAUUAUGUUGUGAAUUUGUUUUACAGGCCGCCCGUAAGUCUGCGCCCACUGUUGUGAAUUUGUGUAUACAUAAUUAGUAAUCGAUUCUCAAGCACGGACAUUUAAAAGCACUGCCGAAAGACAAAAUUUUAAUUUACUAUUUUUUGUCUUUUAAUUUUCUUUAAGUUUUAAUGAUUCCGCAUUUUAAAAUCCUGUGGAACGUGUAUGUAAAAUUCUUUUAUCUUUUAGAGGAAAACGGGCAAGAGAAGAAUAUUUGGCAAAGGAAUUGCAACCGCAUUUGGAGCUAUAUUUAAUUUUGUCUUUUAAGUCUUUUACACUUGUUUUUGUUAUUGAUGUUAGCUUGGAUGUGUGUGCGUGUGCGACUGAAUUCAACUUACAUGCUAUUGAUGCAGCCACCAAAAAGGGGUGGUCCAUCAUCAAUCAACAAGGUUUAUUAUUAUUAAUUUCCAUAUUGAUUUUCUUAAUUAUAAAUAAUACUAAUGUUAUUUCAUAGUUAUAAAUAUAUUAGAAUUAAUCGAAAUCAUUUUUUAGUGCGGCAUGGCUAAAACUACCCUCUUCUUUUUUUUUAUAAGUAAUUACUACUUUCACAUUAAGAAAAAUACUCCUAUUUUUUAGGAAAAGUCAAGUACCUGUAGUUGUGAAGACUCGAGCUCACUCCCUUAUGAUAAAUCUUCAUAUUAAUUACGUAAAUAUCCUCUAAAAUUUUAAAUUAGCUAUUCAAAAUUUGAUGUUAUACGGGUAUUUCAUUUAUUUGAGUAGGGGUUAGGGGUCAAUUGGAUACAAAUUCAAAAUUAUCCUUACUUGAGAUGGUGAUAAAAAUUGGGGAUUUAAUUUGGAUGUCAUUAGCUACAAAUAUUAAACUCAUACAUUUAAUUCAAAAUUGGAGGGCUGAUAUAAGCGCAUCAUCCCACAACCUCUCCAAUGAAAAAUUAACACGUUUCUUGUGUGCAUUUGAUCAGAAUCCUGAAAAUUAAUCACAAAAUUGUCCUGGAAAAAAAAAUACUUACAUAAAUGGUUUGAAAAAUCUAGAUUUCAAGUUGUCUAUAUUAGGUUGAUAUUUUUAUAAAUAGUCAUCCUCUCAAAAAAAUUCCGUCAAAAUAUAUUUUAAUUUUAUGUUAAUUCAUAAACAUGAAAAAAUCAUUUCAGAAUUAAUUAAAACAUAAUUUAUUGUUUCUCAAAAAAGGUAGAACUUAGUGAUAAGAAAAAAGUAUCUCAAAUAUAUGUAAAAAAAAAAAAAAUCUUGGUUAGUUGGAAUGAUUGAAUUUGUUUUUUUUUUUCUUUUUUAAGAAUUAAGACAAUCGGAUUGAUUGAGUAAUAAUAAUAUAUAUUUAUUUGGCAAAUGGCAGGUAGGCUUUCGUCUCAUGCAGAUUGAUUAGAGAGAAAAUAUAACAAUUUUAAGCUCGUCAGAUUCGAAGCUGCUUUCCUGUCGUGUGGGGAUCACUUCCGUGUCUUAUUUUUCUAGAAAAAUCAGGACCAUUGGAUUUAUGCGAAUCGUACUGAACAUUGGAAUUGAUGUAUAAGAAAAAAAUUCUGUAGUUUAAGAAGAACAAAAAGGCAUGUUGAAUAGAUUACAAUAGUUUAAGGAAAAAAAUUAUUCAAUUGGGAAUUUUUUUUUUCUUUAAUUUUUGUUGUACUUGAUUGAGAUUUCUCCUUAGUCCUUAGAGUUUUAAGUUUGGAAACCGUAGGAUCAGUAAUUUCGUACUUCCUUUGCAAGCUGAGUAUAAGGAUGAAAUUCUUUUAAGAAAUUAAAAAAGAUAAAAAAAAGCAUACCAAUAGGUAAUUAUAAAUAACCACAAAUAAAUAUAAACAAAAUGUUUAUGAAGUAAAUUAAACAUGCUCAUAUUAUUUUCUUUUAUUUUCUACUUGGAAAUCCAUAAAUACACUAAUCCAGUAUUACUAAUUUCAGACAGAAAAAUUUGAAUUUAACCAGUAUACACUAAUCCAGUAUUAUUUUUAUUAUUAUUUUAAUUUGUUUAUAAAUUACUAUUUUAAUUUUCACUUUUUAUUGGGUUGUUUAACGGAUUAGUGAAGCUGGUGGUCGUUGAUGCACUCACAAGGUACAAUUUUAUUUUAGAAUUUCAAAUUCGUAAUUUAAAAUGCAGGCACAUUAUGUAUACAUAAUUAUUGAUUUUCAUAUGUGGGUGUCUUGAAAUAUUGCCAAAAGAUCAAACUUUAAUAAACGAUUUUUGAUCUUUUUUUUUCCUUUGUACCUAAAGUUUGAGUGAUAUCCGCAUUUUAAAUUCAUGUGGACCAAAAGCUAAUGUAUGCACAAAAUUCUUUUAUUUUUUCCGAGAAAAAUGGGUAAGAGAAGAAGAUUUUUCUCUUGAAAAAGAAAAACUAAUACGUUGCAAGCAUAGGAAAGAGGCCAGUGUUUUGGAUUUGAAUUUAGUAUUGGGUUGAAUUUUAUGCUAAGCUCUUUUAUAAUACUUUAUAGAAUAAAAAUGUAAGGGGUAUUUGGUUAGGCAUGUACUUUGUAGAAUAAAAAUGUAAUAAUGUAAGUCAGUGCAAUGAUCUGCUGUCAUAAUAGUUGUAAAUAUUUAUGUGUAAUAUAGUAACAUGAUGCUUAAUCAGUUAAAAAAAAAUUGUAUAUCUUUUUUUAUUUUUUUUUAUUGUGAUCAAUAUAACUAGUCAAAUUUAUUUUUAAAUAUUUUUUUAAAAAUAUUUUUAUCGUGUGUUUGCUCCAUUACAGGGUUUCUUCAAUUUAAAAUAGAGAAUCAUUUGUGUUCUAGAUUAAUCGUGGGUCUAUAUCCAAAUCCAAAAAUUGACUAACUUGAUUUCUAUUAAGUUCUCAACCCUAACAAGAAAAAUAGAAGAUUAAAAAUGACUAUUUUGGUUUCUAUUAAUUUGAGUAACGCUUAAUAUUUAUCAUACAAUAGUCACUUAUAUUAUCAAAAUCUUGGGUCGAAAAUAUUAGGAUAGGUGAUAAUUGGAAUUAAGUUGUAGAUAAGAUAGCCUUUCAAAAAAAAGAAAAGAAAAAAAGUUGUAGAUAAGAUAGAAAUGGAUUUGGAGAGAGAUUGGAAUCCUGGCUAAUCCGGUGCACGUUGUUGCGUUAAAUUCUCGUUGACUUCACGUUGACCGAAGCAUUAUUGGAAGAAACAAGCAAGCUUAUUUUCUUCUCUCAUUUUUUACUUUUGUCUAAAUUUAUUGAUGUGAGGCCUCUGAGAUGGUAAAGUGUUAAAUCUGAGAAGAGUACCCACACACCCAUUAUCCUAUUACUCUUAUUUUAUCACAUGCAGAGACGUCAACGUUUGAUUCGCACAGAAAAAAAUUUGCGAGGAUUGUGAGGGUUGAUUCAAUAUAAUUUAGAUGCAAAGUGUUUACAAGUGCGAUGCUUCGUAAGUGCACCCGAAUCAUUAUAAACUCACCUUAUUUUCAUAGUGAUUAUUUCAUCUGCAUGUGAAUAUAAUCAUAUGUGGAGAUUUUUUUUUCCCUAAACUAUGAUCUUCUCUGGUAUUAAGGUGUUAUAUCUUUUAAAUUAUAAUUAUUAUUAGUAAAAAACUGCAACUAUGAAAAAGAAAUUUAAUAUUAUGUCCUGAAUAUAAUUAUUAAAUAAUAAUUUUGACAAAAUUAAUGAAUAUAUACAGAUUUUUUUAUCAUAUAAAUGUAAAAUUAUAUCAACUUAGCUUCUAAGCUAUACAACGGCUACUAUUUACUAAAUACUUUAGUGUCGUAGUUUUUAAGAUAUAUUUAUCCAACCUCAAUCCCAAACAUAACCUGUAAGGAUAAAAAAUUUCAUCCUAAAAAUUAUACGUCUUGUGACUUAUUUAAUUUAUAUUUUUGUUAUUUAUAUUUACUAAUUAUAGUCAUCUUUUAAUAAAUUACAAUUGAAGGAAGGUGGUUGAUGUUGUCGAGACACACACACAAAGAUAUAUUGGAAGUGCUUAUGUCCACUCGAAGUUGUGGGGAGUUAAUGCAUGUAUUGAUUUAUUGGGAGUGUUAAUGCAUGUAUUGAUUGAUUGAGUGAUUGAAUACUGUUUGAUUGCUUCAUAUCAAUUCUAGAAAGUUUAUUUCUUUGUGAAAUUUCAACGAAACGUGUUUUUUUAGAAUAAUAAGGGUGUUUUAAGUAAUUUUAAAAAAUGAAUGGACUAAUUAGAAUUAAUUAUUAGGUAAUUAACUCGAAUUGUAGAGGGUAAGCAAACAUUUAUCCUAAUUAUAUUAUGAUAAAUCCUUUUCCAAUUAGAAUUAGGAAACCAUAGAUAUACUGAAUUUUUUUUAUUUCCCUUCGCGAAAACGGAUUAGAGAAUUAGAAAACAAUCCUAGUGAUACUAUUGUUAGGUUUAAAACACUGCAUAGAUGGUAAAAACAUUGGAAUUGAUGUAGAUUAAUUUGUUAAUUGCUAUCGUACUGAACAUUGUUUUAUGCAAAUUAAUUUGAGAAUUAGAAAAUAUUUUGUUGCAUGCAAACUUUUUGUUUUAUGCAAAUCGUACUGAACAUUGGGACUGAUGUUUAAGAAAAAAAUUCUGUAGUUAAAGAAAAACAAAAAGGCAUGUUGAAUAGAUUACGAUAGUUUAUUCAAUUGGGAAUUUUUUUUUUUAAUUUUGUUGUACUUGAUUGAGAUUUCUCUUUAGUCCUUUCGUACUUCCUUUGUAAGCUGAGUAUAAGGAUGAAAUUCUUUUAAGAAAUUAAAAAAGAAAAAAAAGCAUGCCACUACGCAAUUAUAAAUAACCACAAAUAAAUAUAAACAAAAUGUUUAUGAAGUAAAUUAAACAUGCACAUAUUAUUUUCUUUUAUUUGCUGCUUGGAAACCCAUAAAUGCACUAAUCCAAUAUUACAAUUAAUUUCAGACAGAAAAAAUUGAACUCUAGGCUGCAGUUUGACUCAAAAUGAUGACCACUGGCUUCGCACCAUUCAACCGGUAUACAUUUCUACAAACCGAACAACGCUAUUGAUUUUUAUUAUUUUUUUAAUUUUUUUAUAAAUUACUAUUUUAAUUUUCACUUUUUAUUGGGUUGUUUAACGGAUUAGUGAAGCUGGUGGUCGUUGAUGCACUCAUAAGGUACAAUUUUAUUUUAGAAUUUCAAAUUCGUAUUUUAAAAUGCAGGCACAUUAUGUAUACAUAAUUAUUGAUUUUCAUAUGUGGGUGUUUUGAAAUAUUGCCAAAAGACCAAACUUUAAUAAACUAUUUUUGAUUUUUUUUUCCUUUUUACCUAAAGUUGGAGUGAUAUCCGCAUUUUAAAUUCAUGUGGAACAAAAGCUAAUGUAAGCACAAAAUUCUUUUAUUUUUUCCGAGAAAAAUGGGUAAGAGAAGAAGAUUUUUCUCUUGAAAAAGAAAAAAAAAUACAAUGCAAGCAUAGGAAAGAGGUCAGUGUUUUGGAUUUGAAUUUAGUAUUGAGCUGAAUUUUAUGCUAAGCUCUUUUAUAGUACUGCGAUUAAUAAGCUAGCUCAGGAUUUGCUUUUGCUUUUACUUCAAGUAAAAGAAUGAGGAAGCCUUUUGUUUUUUUGUUUGAUUUUUGACUAUAUAUGUUACCUAUAUAGAGAGUUGAGGUAGCAGCCUUAAGUGAUGGUGAUAAAAAGAUUAAGCAGCGCACACAAUCUUACUGUCGUCGAGACCAUCCAGUGAUGGCUCUUGUUUUUUUGUUACGUUAGCUUUAGUGGAAAGAAGGACCAAUUUAACAAAGACUAGAUUUGGUGGCUUACUAUGUUUAAUGUAAUGCUUAUUCUCAGCGCACACAAUCUUACUAUGUUUAAUGUAAUGGUUAUGUUGAAUGAUCUUCUAUGAUUGUGAGUAGUAUAGUAUAAUUGCAAGGGGCCUGGGCUCCUAUGAUGAAUAACAGUAACACAUUACUGUGAUUGAGAAAACUCAGUUCCAAUAAACUCUUCAUUUACUCAUUGCGGAGAUUGAAUGGCAAACAGAGAAUAGAAUGAAGCAGAAGAAUCUCAUUGUUAGGUUUUGAUGAUUUCAGAUGCUUUUUAAAAAAAAACAAUUGUGACAUCUUUGAUUUAAGGUAGUUUUGCAAAAAACAAAACAUAUAAAAAUUAAGAGGGAUGAUUUAACUGACGAUUACAAUCAUUACAGCAAUGCUGAUGAGUGAUAAAUCACUUGAAAUUUACUUGUCAGUUGCUGAAAUGAUGAAAAAAAACAAUAAACGAUAACAGUAAUAAUGUUCCCUUGCUGAAAUUCAAUUUUGACUUUCGACUCUUGGCUUUUAUGGAGAGUAAAAUGACUUGUAUAUUAUACUCAUACAAUCCACUCUACAUAAUGAUAUCGUUUUAGUAAGGCAAUGGCUGAUGAUCUCCAUUUAAAAACUACAUCAAUUUUUUUUUGCUUCAUUUAACUUUUUGGUUGUUGAAAAUAACCUUAAUUACCAAAUAAUUGGAGAAAGAGUUAAGAACAUUUAACAAAUUUAUGUGCAAAAAAAAAAGAAGGAGAAGUUGAAGAGAAAGGGUGCUUGCAGAAGUGGGUGUCAAAGAUAAAUCGGUCCAUAAGAAUUAUUGUGGUUAUUUUUUGGCAAUAUAAAAAAUUUUUAGUAAGUAAAAAUAAUUUUUUUUUCGAUUUACUAAAAAAUUAACUAAAAACUUCUGCGAUAGCAUUUUUUAUGGGUGCAGAUACCCUCCCUUUAAAAAAAAUAUAAUAAUUACUGCUUAAUAUAGUAUUAAAUACGAAAAUAUCAAUAUUUGACUACUCAAAUUUAUGUCAUUAGGUCCUUCAAAUUUAAAAUGGAAGAUAUGAAAGGAAAUAUAUAUAAAUUUCAUUGUCCUGGGAAAGGACCCUCUUAUAAUCUUAUAAUAUUUGAACUUUGAUAGAUUUUUUGAAACAAAUUUAGAUAGAUUUUUUGAAACAAAUUUACUUUUAUUUGUGUACAAUCAAUAUUUACUUAUUUAUUAUAUUUUAAUUUAUUAACUAUCAAUCAUGUUAAUAUAUUUAGUCAGAAAAAUCAUAUCAAGAGAAAAUCAUGACCCCACGCACGGAUAAAUACGUUAAUUUCUAUACUAUUCACUUUCCUGUAGAAUCAAUUAUUUAAAAUGCAAGUUUGUGGCUACAGAAAACUCGCCAAAGAAAGAAGAUAAUAACAAUUGAGCAUUGAUAGCAAAACUAAUGCAUCCAAUUCUUCUUGACUUGAUGAGAUGGCGCCAUAACGUAGAAACAAGUACCUAAAUUGACCGGCACUGAGUGGUGUGAAUACUACCAGCCAGUUCAUCUCUUCCAGUCGUGCUUAAUCACAAUCACAAACACCACGAGAUCGACAUUUGCAUUAUAUAUAUCUUCAGCAAUCGAAACACCUUGCAUUACCAAAUUAACCAGCAACAAACAAAGCAAUCUUUCAUGGAGAGAAACCUUAGUCUCAGUAUGAUCACUGUGUCAUUAACCCACUGCCUGCUUCUUUGCUUGGUUGUUGCAGCAGCAGCAGCAGCAAGCAGCAAUAUUACCACAGACCAACAAGCUCUUCUUGCCCUGAAAGAUCAUAUAAUUUAUGAUCCGACCAACCUUUUAGCCCAUAAUUGGACCUCGAACACCUCUCUUUGUACCUGGAUUGGCAUCACUUGUGAUGCCAAUAGCCAUAGAGUCACAACCUUAGAUAUUUCUCAAUUCAAUCUACAAGGCACCAUCCCUCCUCAACUUGGAAACCUCUCUUCACUCACAACGCUUAAUCUUAGUCAUAAUAAGCUUUCUGGAAGCGUUCCCCCCUCCAUCUACACCAUGCAUACGCUAAAAUUUCUAGACUCCACUGCUAACCAGCUCUCUGGUUCAGUGUCUUCCUUCGUCUUCAACAUGUCUUCAAUAUUAGACAUUCGUUUGACCAAUAACAGACUUUCUGGUGAGCUUCCGAAAAAUAUUUGCAACUAUCUUCCUCAUUUGAAAGCC